rnacentral:lncRNA from 1 species
GUUGGUAGUCUAUUGCAACUCCAAGAGCUACGCAUAUGGAACUGCAGUCAGAUAGAGGUCGUGAUUGUUCAGGAUGCAGAUGUUUCUGUAGAAGAAGACAAAGAGAAAGAAUCUGAUGGCAAGACGAAUAAGGAGAUACUUGCGUUACCUCAUCUAAAGUCCUUGAAAUUACAACUUCUUCAAAGUCUUAAGGGGUUUAGCUUGGGGACAGCAUUUGAGUUUCCAAAACUAACAAGAGUUGAAAUUAGUAAUUGCAACAGUUUAGAACAUGUAUUUACUAGUUCCAUGGUUGGUAGUCUAUCGCAACUCCAAGAGCUACAUAUAGAUUACUGCAGACAAAUGGAGGAGGUGAUUGUUAAGGAUGCAGAUGUUUGUGUAGAAGAAGACAAAGAGAAAGAAUCUGAUGGCAAGACGAAUAAAGAGAUACUUGUGUUACCUCGUCUAAAGUCCUUGACAUUAGAAUGGCUUCCAUGUCUUAAGGGGUUUAGCUUGGGGAAGGAGGAUUUUUCAUUCCCAUUAUUGGAUACUUUGAGCAUUUCCAGAUGCCCAGCAAUAACCACCUUCACCAAGGGAAAUUCCACUACUCCACAGCUAAAAGAAAUUGAAACAAAUUUUGGCUCGUUUUAUGCUGCAGGGGAAAAAGACAUCAACUCUCUUAUAAAGAUCAAACAACAGGUAAAUCAGAUCUUUGUUUCUUUAAUAAUUCUUAAACUACAUUUGAAAAGCUUCAUGCAAGUUUUUUUUGUUAUAUUGUCAAAAACCGCAACCUACAUUUUCAGCUUUAUAUUUAUGUACUUUAUGCAGGAUUUCAAACAAGACUCUGAUUAAUGUGAAGUGAAUAUUAAAGGUAAAUUAUAUUUUCAUGUUCCUAGUUGCCUAUUAAUUAAAGGCCUUUUAGUUCGUGAUUUUUGGAUGUAUUCUUCAUGAUGAUGUCAAUCUUCUAAUACCCCAUUCAUUGUUUGGUUGAAUGUUGACUCUAUGUCAGGAUGAAUAUUCAAGGGAAGAAUUGUUCAUCAUAUGAAGGACAUUAAAGAACAUGGAUGCUAUGAAGAUGUUGGGAAAACAUAUGUAUCAAGUGGCAAGCUGCUUAAUGAUCUAAGUUUGUUGGUUGAGGAUGUUGAUUUCAAUAUUUCAAAUUCAUUGGUUAUAUGGGCUUAUCAAUAGUGUUAAUGGGAUAAUGAGUGACUUAACCUAAAUUAUGUUGUUGGUAAAUGUUGGACAAGUAUGGAAAAUUAGGAAUGACUUGUGAAAAAUAUAUGCAAAAGUAGGAUUGAGAUUUUCAAUGAAAAUAUUAUGAAACUAUAGUAUAUAAAUAAAUGCAACAUCCUGUUUGGAUUUUCAAUGAAAAUAUCAUGAGAGUAACUAGAAGUAGAGUUUACUCUACCUUUGGUGUCUAGGGAUUAACCGGUUAGGCGGGGAUUAAUCGGAAACCAUUAAUUAUUAAGAAAAUUAUUCAGGAAUUUAUAAAUCUAAUUUUAAUCAUAAGAAUGUUAAUAAAUAAGCAUAAAAGUUUAAUAAUAAGUUUAACAAGCACAAUAAUUUAUCAUCCAAUUAAUAAGAAAAAUUAUUCAAAUUUUAAUAUAUCUUAAGAAAAUAAGUAAAUUUAGAUAUUUGCAUAUUUGAAAAAAUAGAAAUUUUGACCAUUCUGGAGAAAAACUUUAAAAUUUAAUUUUUAUUUUUUUUAUUUAUUAGUUGAACAUUAAAAUACUAUGAACUUUUGAAAUUUUGAAAAAUUUGGUUUAAUAUUUACAAAUUUGAAAAGUUGGCCGAUUAGGCCGCCUAGGAUUGAUUAGAACCGUCUAGUUUCGACUUUGACCCUCUUUGACCAAAACCGAUUAAGCCGAUCGAUUAGCUUUAAUCCUAUUCGGUUAAAGACCACCUAGUGAUUAAUCCCAAUUAAUCGUCCGCCUAGAUUGAUUUUUACAACACUGGUUUAUUCCCAUCUUCAGCUACUUAUAAUUUUCAUUUCUUACCUAUAAAAAUCUGAUUAAACUUUAGAGUUAUUUCAAUUUUUUGCCAACCAAGAAAAGAGACAGGUGCAAAUUUUCAUAUAAAGGCCGCAAGUAACUAUAAGUAUAAAAACGAUCACUAAAUAGUGACCACAAUAUACUGAUCAUUAAAUAUGUGACAAACUGUUUCGUCAUUUAAUGUUGUCACUAAUCAAUGAAAUGUUUUACCUAAUUAGUGACGAUAAAAAGUUGUCACUGUCUUAUCCGACUUGUGACCAAAGUCAUCGUUGAUUUAUCCAAUUAGUUACAAAAAAAACUCGUCAUUGAUUUUUGUAUUUAACCAAUUUAAGUAACAAGCAUGGAACUUGGUAAAUGGUAAGAUAUUUCAUGAGCAAUUUAAAAAUAUAAAACUUGUCCUCAAAUUAUAAAAACGAAAGGUUGGGGGUAAUUAUUUUCCCUUUGGCAUUGUCUCAAUUAUCAUGCAAACUUACAUCAUGUCCUCAAUAAAACCUUAACACAAUUUUCCAGCAAAUUACAUAAACAGAAAACGAAAAAAAAAAAAGAUUCAACUCUUCGGGUUAUUCAAACAACAUGAUUUGCUUCAAGAUGUUUUUUUUUUCCUGCAAUAACUGUCUCAUCUGUUUGCAGCCCCUAUGUAACGCCCCGUUCGAAAAGUACUUAUUUAUGAAUUUCUGAGAUCAAGAGUAAGGGCGUUUUGGUCUUUUAUGGACAAUGGGUUUUAUUCGAGAAGGUUUCGGGCUGGGGUGUGUUGCUAAAAGCGUAGGGCUUCUCGCUACCUUUUCAUGGAUAUAAAGUUCGUCGGAAACGGACUUAGGAUGAAGGAGUUAUGACAUUUUAAAGAAAGUUACAUUCAUGGCCCUUAAUGGAAAAAGUUGUCAAAGUAGGCCAUGCAUACCUUUGGGACACGCGUGGGUACGCCUAACAUAGGUUGGGUUACGCCCAACGUUAUAGAGCAAAUGGUCGCGGGUGCAAGGACGCGUACGCCCAACAUACGCUCAGAGUCCUUAAACCCUAAUUUGAGGGUGAGCCACUAUAAAUAGAACAUAAUGGCUUCAACCCUAGCCCCCAUAUCAGCCUCCCUAACCUCAGAAGAAACCCUAGAACGUUCCAACCUCCAUUUUAGAGAUCUUGGCCUUGAAAAGCUCAUCUUGGUGGUUUAAGCUUGGAAGAGGAAAAGAGUAAGUUGUCAAGGAAGGAGUUGGGUGGCUGGAGCUCGUAGAUCUGGGAAGGCAUCAUCUCCUGGAACCCUUUUGAGGUAUAAAGUCUCUUGCUUGACAUCUAUUUUAUGUAGAUCUUGGUGUUAUGAAGUUUUGACAUCAUUUCUUGUCCCAAAGCCCUAAAGUGAUGCAUGAUGUGAGUUGGUUGAGAUUAGCUGUCCUUUCAGACCUUAGGAGAGGUCUUGAGUGAGAAAAAUGAGGUCCCAAUGGCUUUGGUUGUCUCAUGUAUGAUGUAGGUGGGUCUUAAUGGAUUAAGACUUUGAGUUAAGAGCUUUAUGGACGUCCCAAAGGAUAAAGUUGGAGACUUUAUGGAUCCUAGGCAUGUUUGGUCGAUGGAUCUGAAGUUUGGGCGUAAGAGCUUAAGCCAUUAAGAACUUAUGAGGACUUUUAGUUCAGCGAGUUUACGCCCCGCGUAAAGUGAUGUACGCCCAACGUACUCACCAUUCUGCUUGUACGCUUAACGUACAUGGGGGGUACGCCCCGCAUACUCUGUCUGUAUGGAUCAUGAGUUUUUGGGCCAUGGGUUGGGGCAUGUUUGGGUAUUUGGGCCUUAGUGGGCCAUCAGAAAUAAUAUUAUAUGGACCAAGGAGUAUAUUUUGGGCUUAGGGUGAGGCCCAUUAAAGGAUUGGGCCCAAUGUAGCAAAUUGGGCCAUUAGUGGGUCACCAGUGGGCUUGAGAAGCUUACCUAGUGUUGGGCCUUAGUCAUGGACCAGAUUGGGUUAAGGGUAAAAUGGUCAAUUUACCCUUAGGAGAAUAUUGUUUUGGGCUAAGUGUUAUUGUGGUAUUGAUAGUUUGGGGAGCUAGAGGAGCAGCAGUGCGGGGAUUGUCAGAUAGCAGCCAGAAGGGUACCAACAGUGUUUCAGCAGUUCAAGUUGAGUUAUCCUCACUAUAUCGACAGGGUCUACGGCACCAAGGCCGGCCCUUUAUCGGAUGGAAAUCUUGGUAGUUGUUGUUUUGUUAUUGCUUUGCUAUGUUUGCAUCAUGGUAGUUAGGAUGAUAUGUGUUAGAGACCUGGUUAAGGUCGGUACCCGGGAUAUAAGGUAAUGUUAUGCUAGUGACCGGUUAGGUCGGAAUCCUGGUUAGGAUAUUGAUAUGCUAUGUGAUCUGUUAGACUGUUUGUCUGGUUGAGGAUUGUAUAUGAUUAUAUGUUUAUGUGCACAUGAUUGUUGGACUGGGGUUGGGUUGAAGUGGGUCCUGCUUUGUGCUGUAGGCCAACAUACCCAGGGCGGACCGGAUAUUCCGAAGGCCCAACGAGCGAUCCGGAUAGGCUGAAGGCCCUAAGAGGGCGGACCAGACGUGCCGAGGCUCGGAGAGUGGACCAGGCCGACUAAAGGCCCGGAGCGGGCGGACCAGUCAUACUGUAGACUCAGAGAGUGGAACAAGUGGAUUGAAGGCCCGGUGCGGGCGGACCAAUCACACUGUAGACUCGAUGUACAUGCCUAGACUCGGAGGGUGGACCAGGUGGACUGAAGGCCCGGUGUGGGCGGACCAGUCAUACAGUAGACCCGAUGUGCGUGGCUGUUCUAUUUGUGAUAUGAUAUGAGUAUGUUAUUAUGUGUGGUUGGUAUUUUGGGGGUAACUCACUAAGCUUUCGGGCUUAUAGUUGUAGUGUUAUGUUUCAGGUACUUCAGGAGAUCGUGGCAAGGCGAAGGCGUGAUCGUACCGCUCCUCAUGUUUUAUGAUUUAAGAGAUAUGGUUAUAGGGGAAACUCUGAUAAUAAACUAUUUUGAAAACGAGAUGUAUGAACUUAAUGGUUUUGAAAUGAAUUAAAAUGUUUUAAUUUGGCUUAAUUUUUUUGGAUGUUAUACUCUAUAAGCAAUCCCCCCAAGUCAAUCUACAAUCUAUAUAAGAUAAUUCACAUGUAUUUGAUACCCCACCACAAGCUAAAAGCAUCAUCACAAAUAAUUAAUGUCAAAAUAAUAUUCAAAUGGAGAAUCAUGUUGCCUAUUGUACACUCUUAAACACGGAACACCUAAAUAAGGUUAUGACAAAAAUAAUAUUUUUUUAGUUUAUAAAAUAUAAAAAUUAUAGUUUGGCUAAAAGAAUUAAUUUUCUUUUACAAAGAUUUAAAUCACUAAAAAUUACACGGUUAAAACUGGUAAUAUUGCAAUUUUUCAUUCCAUUUAAUGAUGGAAUGAAAAGAAAUCACCCCCUCUAAUAAGGUUUGAAAAAUAACAAAAAGGAAGGAAUCACAUUUCCUCUAUAAUGCUCACAUUCCAUUCUGUCAGCCAAUUCAAAAUGUUUCUUUCAUUCAAAAAGUUUUUUCAUUAAAAUGGAAUGAACCAUUUCGUUUUUUUUUUUCUAAUUAAGUAAAUUUAGAAUCUUACAUGAUUAAGUGGAUUAUCCUCUAGUGGGCUUGAAUAAGCUUUUUCAGCCUCAACCCAUGCCCUUUGCUUUAAGUAACAUGUCUUCUAACCUUCCUUCAAUAAUCAACUGGUUAAUUUUUUUUAAAGCACAACACCUUAAUAAAAAAGAAAGUAUAAAGUAAAGUAAUUGUCCAUUUCUGAGCAGGGGCAGAAUGGUUAUAAAAAAAUUUGGAAGUGCAAUGCAUUUUCACCCAAAAAAUAUCUUUUAUAAACUUUUCUUAUGUCAAACUCAAAAAAUUUGUAAACUAUAAGGAUACCCUUUUCUCUAAUGAAACCAAUCCCCAUCAAACUGCAUCCAAAAUCAAAAUUAACACAACUAGAGGACUAGAAUUAUAGUUACACCAGGUCUUAGAUCCAUUAAACUCCAAAAAGGACCAAAAUACCCCUUGGAAUUUUUAUUGUACCAGAUCUUUAGAACAUGAAACCAACUCUUUCUAAUCCCUUGCCAACAAUAGUCACAGUGUUUUAUAAAAUCUUGAAUAUACAUGUCGCAUUUAACAGUAACCCACAAAAGACAACAAUGCCCUUUGUUUUUAUUUUCGCACCAAGCCGUUCCUCAGUAUUGUACUUUGUUCCAGUAAACCUAAACCCCACAAAAUUGCACCAAAGAACAAGGAUGACACAAAUAGAACAAGUUUCCUUCAUUUAACUCAAGUUUUAUACGCUACACUACAUCCUAAAUCCACAUUAUAUCAUAUAGCUAUAUUGAUUUGGAUUAUCUAGCAUAUACAAAUUUCCAAUAACAAAAAUACCCUAGAAAUAAUUCAAAGUGCAAGUAACUUUUAAAUUUUAUAAGAUAGACUUACUUACUUCAUCAUGUAGGGAAGAUGCCUCAUGUUGACCUCCCAUAUCUUUAUCUACACGUCCAAUAUCCUUUGCAAACUUAAAAUGUAAACUCAUACAGUCACAUAUUUAAUAUCUUGUUAUAGUUAUACUAUUACAACAUUAUAACUAUGCAUUUGUUACCUAUUUUGAUCAUGUAUGUUGCCAGUAGGCGGAAUAACUUGUCCUGUUCACCAAGGUACAUUUUAAAUAGGUUGAAAGUACAAUGUUGUUAUAGAAAAAGAAAUGGAAGCUAAAUGCUAUAAUACACAAAUAAACACACAUGUGAUGCUAUUUAUUGUAUCUAUAAAAGCAUCAGUUGACAAAAACAAUAAAACAAUCAACAACCACCAAAAUAGAUUUCCAGAAACAGUUUAGUUUACAAAGUGUAGAACUACAUACACAGGUAAUGUAUCCAAUGAAAAUGAUAUUUUGCAAGAGAAUAUGAUUUUCAUUUAUACCAAAAUAGGGAAAUUUUGGUUACCCAAAUCAUAAUAGUUUGAGCUUUUGUAUGUGACCUAAACAUAGACCACGUUCUUAAAUUGAUACAUAACAAGUCUGAUAGCUUAAAGAACUAUUUAGGCUGGAGGGAGUCGGCCGCUACGAACGCUCGCCAAGUGCUCGCUAAGCACGUUGCACACCACCCCUAGCAUGCGCUACGGGCUUGCUACCGAUGAGUUGCUAGGAGUAUAGCGAGAGGAGAGAGAGGGUUUGGUUUGCAGUGAUUGGUGCUAGCGGAUCCCACUUCACAUUUGACAAAUUCAUAAAAAAAUCCCUCCGUUUUUGGAUGUUGGUAGGUGUCGAAGCUUUGAUUUUUGUUGUAAAAUUUGGUGCGUUUAAACAGAGAAUUGAGGAAGAAAGAUAAAGAACUUACAUAUAUGGUCCUUAAAGUUUCAGUAAUUUGGUAUUUUUUUUUCCCAAAAUUUAAACAACUUGAUAUCCAAAAAUAGAAACCUUUUUAUUUAGUAUUAUAUUUUAAAUUAGUGUAACCUUUUUUUAUUUUAAUAGUAAGUGUUUGUAUUUAAAAAAAUAGAAUUUAUGUAAUAUUAAAUGCUUGUGUAUUAAUAAAAAGAAUUUAUGUAAUAUUAAAUAUUUGUGUAUUAAAAAAAAAUAAUUUAAUUAAAUUUGAAAAAGAAAAAAAAACAUGAAAUGCUAGUAGUAUUACCACUAGAUAUGAAAUGCUAAGAAUUAAAUGCUAAGACAAAAAAAAUGAUGUGGCACUCAAAAAGGUGAUAUGGUAGGAGUGUUACCGCUCCCUCUAGCCUUAAGAUAAUGAAUUUGGAAGCAUUUACAAUGGAUUUCCUUAUCUGAUUGAAGAAUAAAUUACAAGAGGAAAUAACAUAAAACAAAUAAACUCACUGUCAAAAGACAAAUCAUAGAGAUUCACAGCCACAUAAAAAGAAAAAAAAUCGGAAUUAAACCUAAAAAAAUCGGAAACAUAGAAAUACACACAAUUGAGAGAGAUAUCGAGAGAGUGAGAGGGAUACCAGAAACACAAUGACCAUAAAUGGUAGAUGUGAUGAACGUAGAAGGAGAGACGAAUGGAGAUAUGAAUAUGGUCUACAUAUCAGUGUGAAUAUGAAUGUCGUCACCAAAAUAGUUUGUUUCGAGAUGGCCUGUCGAGCUUUGGGCACGCUUCCUCAGUUUUGGGCUUUCAAAUACUACUUCAACUCCUCUACCCAGUCUGGCGUGCAUACGUUCUCUUAGCGGUGAGGCAUCCAUGCAUUCAUCAUAAACCAGAAAGCCCCUAAGAAGAACGGGUAUGACAAAUAGCUAUGGGUGAACCGUAACUUGGUCGGUUUUGGCUAUCCCAGUCGAACCAGUUUCUCUGACCGGAUGCCUCAACACUUAAGGCAGUUAUGCGAUGGGAGAUGCCGAGAUCGCCAUCCGAGAUUAGGAGUUUUAUGGGAUUAGUUGGAUACUAUACGAGAUUUAUCAAGGAUUUCUCCAAGAUUGCGAUUCCUCUCACCAGAUUGACCCGGAAGGGAGAUUGUGUGAAGCUCAUUCGAGAUCUGAGCAGCAGGCAUCAUUCGAGACCCUUCGCCAGAGAUUAUGCGAAGCUUUGGUGUUGGACCUUCCGGAGGGAGUGGAGGACUUCAUAGUCUAUUGCGAUGCGUCUAUUUCAGGGAUGGGUGCGGUGUUGAUGCAGAUGGGUCACGUGAUAGCAUAUGCGUCGAGGUAGCUGAAGCCUCAUGAGACGAGGUAUCCCACCCAUGAUUUGGAGUUAGGAGCGGUGGUGUUCGCCCUCAAGAUCUGGUUCCACUACCUUUAUGGUGUCUGGUGUACUAUAUACACGAACCAUAAGAGCUUGAAGUACCUGAUUGACUAGCCCAACCUGAAUAUGAGACAGAGGAGAUGGUUGGAUGUAGUGAAAGACUACGAUUGUGAGAUCUUAUAUCACCCAGGCAAGGCUAAUGUGGUAGCCGAUGCCUAGAGUGACAGAGUUAAGAGCGCUCCGAUCCAGGACGUGUGUAUGAGGAUCACAGUUAUGACUCCAGUCUUAGAUACCAUCUGAGGGGCUCAGGUGGAGACUACGAGACCGGAGAACCUUAAGAAAGAGCGUGUGAUUGGGCAGGUUUUCGAGUUUGUGACAGACAGUAAUGGGCUUAUAACUUUCCACGAGCGGAUUUGGGUGCCCUAUCGGUGGGGCUUGCCGUAUUCUGAUGGAGGAGGCACAUAUAUCGACGUUUUCAAUCCAUCCAGGUGCCACCAAGAUGUAUUUGGACCUGAAGAGAGACUAUUGGUGGCCCUGUAUGAAGAGGGAUGUGGCAUGCGUAGUUGAGAGGUACUUGACCUGUCGCCGGGUUAAGGCUGAGCACCAACGUCCACAUGGUCCGUUACAACCUUUAGAGAUUCCCUGGUGGAAGUGGGAACAAAUCACCAUGGAUUUCAUCACCAAGCUUUCGAGGACCGCGCGUGGAGUAGACGCGAUAUGGGUGAUUGUACUCGCUAUCAGCAAGAGUUCGUUUGCAGAGAAAUUGGCCAAGAUCUGUGUUUGAGAGGUGAUGGCACGGCAUGGAGUGCCAACCUCGAUAGUAUCGGAUCGAGACGUGUGUUUUACUUCUAGCUACUAAAAAUAAAUUUCAUGAGGAGCUGGGUACCCGGUUGCAUUUUAGUACUGCAUACCAUCCACAAACAGACAUGCAGAGUGAGUAGAUGAUUCAGACGCUUGAGGACAUGUUGUUGUUGGAUUAGUGUCUAAGUCCAUAACUAUUUUGGUAUGAACUUAACCCGAUGGUGCAUGGUCCUUUUGGGUUGCCUUCACCAAAGCAACUUGAUAGGAUGAAUUAUGGAAAGAAAGGAUUAAAUAUGAUUUAUUAAUAUAUUAUGAGAAUAUUAGAUUAAAGGAGAAAUCAUAUUGUUUAAUUAAUAUUAGUCAAGAAUUAAUAAGAAUUAAGUUUGUGGCUAAAAAAGAUUAAUUAAACUUAAGGGUCUAGAAUUGUAAUUAUAAGAUAAUUGAAUUUGGGCUAUGGAUGACCUUAUAAUAUAAGGUUGGAUGGAUUCUAUGGGGAAACCCAUUAGAAAUCGUCCUAGGGCCUUUAAGGAAGAAGUCAAUGGGUUGCUUAGGGCUUAAGCAUCCAAAUUAGGGUUUCCUUGUUAGAUAACCCUAAUAGCCUCUCUAUUUAAAGAACCCUUAUGCCCCAAAAACGUGGUGAACUAAUUGGUUAGGGUUUCCACACGUUUUGGGCAGCCUCCUUCUCCUCUCUUCUUCAUCCUCUUGCUCUUGGUGUUUGUGAACCAUUAGAGGAGUGACAUUUGUGACUCUAAGCUUUCUAAAGUCAUUACAAGGAGGAAUUGCAAUUGUUAUUGCUACAUAACAAUCAAGGUAAUAUCUUAAACCCAUUCUUAUGUUAAUAUUGAUUAUCAUAUGCUAGAUCUAGGGUUUAAAGUCUUGGAUGAAUAGCAUGUACAAUAGAGAAACCUAGAUCCGAGCAUUAGGGUUUGUAUGAGCACAUAGGAUGUUCUUGUGACCAAAACCCGUCAGUGGUAUCAGAGCUUUGAUUGGUUUCUAUUGUAUUGAUGCCUUGUUCAAGCUAAAAAUUGAUUUUUUUUGGCCUCUGCCCGACCUGACUCGGUGAGUCAAUUGAUGAACUCGGCGAGUCCAAUCCCUGACUCUGCGAGUCCAAGCGUCAGACAGAGGGAAUAUCGGGAUUUCUUGCUGUUUUGCUAAAGGAUUAAUACCAAAAACGUAUUUUUAUGAUAAAAUCCGAUUUUUAUUAUAUUUGGGUGAUUAUCCUUCAUAAAACAAAAGAUAAUUACCUAUUGAUUGGAUAAUAACUUCCUUAUAUGAUAAAGUUUGAUUAUUUGUAUUAAUUGGGUAUCUUGUUUUCAAGAAAUUGAAAUUAGGUCAAAUAUAGAUAAUGAUGAAAUUGAUUGUUUAAUUUAUAUUAUUUGUUAUUUGAUCCUUGUAUUAUGAAAAUUUUCAAUUUUUCCCCUUUAGGUUUUAUAGUUUAAAUUUGAACUUAAAAGUUUUGGUUUUGAAAUUUAAAUAGUUAAAACCCUAAUGUUUUAAAAUGUUUCAAAACUUGCCCUCAAGUUUUUGGAAUUUAAAAGUUGAUUAAAAGUUUAAUUUAGAAAUGUUAAAUUCUAAAACCCUAGUAUUGUUUUGAAAAGUUCAAAUCACACCCUUAUGGUUUUAUUAAUUAAUUAAGGUGUAUAAUUAAAAGAGAUUUAAUAAAUCCAUAAAGUUUUGGUUUACAUUUAAUUAAAUUAAAAGUAUAAUUUACUAAAUUAGACCACCUAGUAUUUUAAAAGUGUAAAAUACACCCUAUACUAUAUAUAACAUUAAAAGUCUAAUAUUAUAUAUGUAUGAGUAAACAGUCAGUCUUACCGUUAGUAGGCCUCAUUCACGAAGCUGGUCUAUAAGGGGUGUUUAAGGAAAUUGCCUAUAAAAUGGCGAUUGAAUGGGUAUCCACUCUUACCCACCGCACUCUUGACUAGUGGAGGGUCGUUAGCCGAACGGGUAGGAUAGGACAAAACCUUCCAUUAUAAGUAUAAUGAAGUAUAAAAGUAACUAAAUGUUUUUAUAAAAUUCCCAAUCUUAGUUACUUAGGCAAAAGUGAAUUGAUGCAAUUCCAUGAAAUUACACUUUGUGCCCUUGCGAAGACGUUAGUGGAGCGUGUGUGGUUAACCGGCACACUAAAUGGUUCUAAGCAAAGGUAGCAAAGGGUGACUCAAUGUUUGUCAUAGUUCGGUGGAGCGUGUGUGGUUAACCGGCACAUCGAAUAGGUGACUGUAACAUGUGGGGGCACCAUGUAAGUUUGCAUGGUUAUUCACACCCUCUUUUGUGAUCCUCGGCAUCCCAGUCACAAAUCGAGGGGCAUAUCGAGAUUUAAACAUGCCAUUGAAAAGUUCAAUGAAUCUCAAAAGAUCUAGGAGUUUUCAAUACAUUUAAAACUUAAAUUUCUUUUUCGUUUUUCAUGGUGGAAAUUAGUGAAUCGUCAUUCACUUACCUUCAAAUAUUCUGCAAUUAGGGUUACGGCAUCCCUCUCCCGAGUUGUAGAAUAUUGUGUUGGGUCCUAGCCUUAGUAUCUCAUUUGGGUGAUUUACUAAGGACUCAAUCAAUCAACUAACUUGAAUUCGUUUUCUCCCGUUUUGUAGAUGUCAAAGUUCGACAACUAUGGUCUUCUCAAGUCCCGUGGAACAAGCAUUCCACAUGAAGAUGAUAUUUUACGAUUCGAUCGAGGAACAAGAAAUCAAGCUUCACUUCCUCCUCCUCCUCCUGUUGUUCUCCCUAACCCACAAGUUCAAAGGCUUGAAAAGUUCAAGAUCACUCAAGCCCUUUUGGCAAGUAAACAUAAAGAAGGAAAGUCGGUGUGUGCACACGUCCUAGGGAUGAAGUCACACAUUGAUAGGUUAAGAAUGUUGGGAUCCGUUGUCUGUGAGGAAAUGGCUGUUGAUUGGGUUCUUCAGUCACUUCCUAACUCAUAUAGUGAGUUCGUAAGAGAGUACUAUAUGAUGAACCGCGACGUGACCCUUAUAGAUCUCACCUAUAUGCUUAUUGCUGCUGAAUCAGCAAUGGUUUGGCGCAAUAGAAAAGCAAAGUUGAUUGGUGAAUCUGCCUUCAAGACCUCUAUGGAUAUAGACAAUGGCAACGAAAGACAUGCUAUGAUCGAAAAGUUUGAUCAUAAGAGAAAGGCAAUGUCUGAAGUAGUUCCAUGUCAUGUUCCAAAAGAGUCAAUUUGCUUUUAUUGCCAAGAGAAAGGGCAUUGGAGACGAAGCUGCCCCAUUUACCUAAGAGAUCUAAGAGAUGGGAGAGUCGAAACGUAUGGCUCUAAUAUAGGUAAAAUCCAUUAACUAACUCUUUUAAGCUUCUAUUCUAGAUUCUUAAUACAUAAUGUGAUAAGAUUACAAUUGAUGUUUUGUAGGAUCGAAGAAAAGAAAGGAAGCUUAAGGGAAGAAGUGAGCAGAAUCUAACCGUGAAGGAAUGGAUUUCGAUCGCAUUUCUCGAAGAUUAGAUUCUUGAGCUACUACUUAGAGUUAGAAUUAGAUUGCUAAGAAAGAUGUAUUAGCAUAGUUUUUCAAUGAAUUGCAUUGUAAGGACAAAUUUUUCCGCAAUAAAAUAAAUUUUGUUUUUAUAUUAUUUAUUUAUCCUUGCAAUGGCGUGUAUGAAAAAUUGAUGUUUGAAUGUUUCUAUUAUUAGCAAUAAUGGAUGUGAUUCUUAAUUAUGUUAUUUGUGGAAAUGUCGAGAAUUUACCAAAUAGGGAGAGUUUCUCAUCGCCCAAGUUUCAAUUGGACAGAAACUUGGAAUCAUGCAACUUGGUUGCAUGAUGAAUGAGAAAUUUCAUAUUUGGAAAUUAGACUAAUUCGUUGACAAAGUGUCAAGUGAAGGACUAGGAGAUCGAGUACACAAAGUUGUGUGUUGAUCAAGUCCACCACAAGAGUAACAAAGAUAUUCGUCAUGAUUUACUAAAGGUUUAGUAAAUAUGAUUAUACUUAUAAGAUUAAGUGUAAUUCCGAGUUGAUUUGAAAGAGUUUAAAUCAAUAGCAGAACGAAUAAGAAGAAUCAAGUAGGCAGAAAGAUAAAAGUUUCUCUAUUCUAAGAAGAAGGGAGAGUACCUUUUAUUAUGUUUUAUGAUAGGUCUUAAUGAUUAAGAACCAUAUCUCAAUUGAUCCUCUAAGUGAGUCUUUGUGCAAUUGUAUGUCUAAGAAGAGGAAUCGAGAAUUGAAGAAAUGGUUAAAUCAAGAAGUCAAUCAUACUUCGUUCCAAAACAAGUCUUAAAGUUAAGAUUAUGAUAUUAAGUGACAAGUCUUAAGAAGGUUUAUAACACUCAUCAAUUGUAGAAUAUGGAAAAGGUUUUUCUUAUUCUUGCACAUUUGAAAUUGGAAAGUUGUGAUGUCUUGGAUAAGACAAAGAUCAACUAGGACCAAAUUUUGUGAAGUGUUUUGUCUUGAUAAAAACUACACUAACUCUUGAAUAUUCGUUUGUCAAGAAAUGUUUUAUUGACAAGAGAAUCUUAUAUGUCAAGGAGUCAGUGGGAGUCUUAAUGAUCUUGAAAAGUUUCAAGAACUAAUCAAGAAUAAACCUUAUCGAUCAUCACUAGCACACGAGUUGAGGUUUACAACCUAUCGUGUUGACACUAUCUUGUUUCUGUGCCGUUCCAAUUGAGUUAAUUAUGCAUGUGAGUUCUAUGAGUUCUCAUUUGAAUGCAUAAAAGGCAAGGACCUUGAUCAAUGAAAAGUACAUUGAUAGGAAAGGGUGAUCUGCUUAGCUACUUGGAAGACAUGGUGGGCAGCCGUGUUACCAUAAGGCAAGAAAUCAAGAUUGAGAAAGUUCGGUCCAUAAGAGUUUGGAUUUGUCGCAAACUUUGGUUUUGACAAUUCGCAUGGAUAUGAACACAUACACCAUUGAAAUCUAAAUGUCAUAAGAUUUUCUCCUUCAUGAAAAUGACUGUGAGGAAAUGCUUUCACUAAGAAAGAUUUUAAGAAGAUAGUGAUUGUGAAAUUGUAUUCUCGAAUUCAAUUAUGGUUACGGUAUCCCUUUCCAUGAUUCGAAUUGUGAGAUUUGGCAAUUAGUCUUAAUAUUUUAGACACACAUAUGAGUUAUCUAAGGCAAAGGUGUAUAAGUUUGAGAAGCUUUGAUAAAAGAUUAUCAUAGCAUUAAGUAUUAGAAACAUGAACUUAAAGAAAUUCAAUAGGCAUUGUUUUUCUGAAAGUUAAGCUGUUUUUGAAUACAUGUCAAAACUAGUGGGAGCAUAAGUGUUAUGUUUGUAAUAAUCAUCAUGAUAGUGGUAGCAUAAAUGUUAUGAUUGGAUGAUUAUUAAGGCAAGUAUUGCAAGUUAGCAAUAUUAAUUAUAGAAAACAAUAGUUAUACUUUGCAAAGUCGUAAGGGUUGAAAAGUUGUUUUGCUAUAAUUAAGGGAAAGAAUAUUAUGCUUCAUUUCAAAUCUAAAGGCUUAGGUUGUGGAAUGUUAAUAAANGUGGAAUGUUAAUAAUAUUAGUCAAAGAUACAUAGUGUGUUCCUAAAUUUCGAUUAUGAUUACGAUAUUCCUCUUCAUAGUUCGAAUUGUAAGAACGAGACACAUAAAAUAUUAUGGCAGAAAAUUGAUAAAGUAUCAUAUCUUUAUGUAAGACAUUAUGCGUCGUGUCCUAUACACUUUGGGUAUAGGAUUGAUUGCUAGUGCUAUAAUAUUUGACCAUUUUAAAAUUUUCCAAAUGUCUAACGCAUUUAGAAGGAAAAAGUACUAGAAUUGGUUUUGAAUAAGAUAGGCAAACAACUAUCAAAGGAAGAUCCAAAGCUUGCUGAGGAUUGGUCGCUUGUGAGUAGUUGGAAGUAUGGUAUUGGAUAGAGCAUAUCGACAUUAUUAUGAAUAGAUAAGAUUCUAUUAAGAAUGAGUUGUGAUAUGGUAAGUAUGGAAAGGUUUCCAUAUUGGGAGUUAGAUAUUGAGAAUCUAUGUCUAGAUUAGAAACUUUAUGCAAAAGGAUGUUCAAAGAAAUGUACUUUGAGUGAGAGACAUCACAUCUAUGGAAUUGUCUUGUAACAAUCUCCGAUAGAGGACUUUGUAAUAUCAUUGGCAAUAGUCAUUGUGACUUUAGUGCAGUGACAUUACGAAAGGAUCAUUGCAUAAAAUGUUAGAAUCUAACAUAUUCUAUAAGUGGCAAGAAUUUGAUAUUCUAUCACUUGUGGAAAGGAUUAGGAGUUGUGAAAUGAGUAUGAUUGGAAAUGUGUUCAUUUGAUCUAUUUCACAAAGUAAGAACCAUAGGUAAACAUUGUGUGUAUGUUGAGAGCAUGAGACAAGUGUUGUAAUUCAAGUAAGAAGUUGAUUACCCGAAACAACAAAUAAUGAGUAUUCGAUAUGGUGAUAAAUAAAAGGUGUUUUAUUUAUACUCAAAGGUUUGAGGUCAUAUGGGAUUAGCAUUAUUCUUGUGUUUCACUUUGCAUGUCUUGACUUCCUGAAUAAUUUAAUUGGUUAAGAACAGUCAAAUUAUUCAAACGGGCCACAGUCGUUCAUAUGUUGGAAGUAGGUAUGAAUGAAGACUGUCGUGAAUUGGUGUGUGGAUUGUCUAAAGAGUAUUAGACAUAAGCAAAUGUUUGCUGCAACGUUCAUGAGUGCUUAUGAAUAUGAUUUGAGCAUUGGAUUAAACCCACGCUCACUUGGAUCACUUCAUGGAUUUUAUCACGAGUGAUUGGUGAGACGAUAACAUCUUAUAUUCUUGAAACCGAGAUGUGUGAGUUGUAUCUUGCGAGUCGGUUGCACAUUGAUAAUAUGUAAACGCACCAGUAACUUGGUGUUAUAAAACAUAUUGUUGUGUGUGAUUUGGUGAGUGAGUGCAAGCGAGCAUUGAGUCAAAGUUUAUCCGUUCCUUUUAUCCAAAGUAGGAUAAAAGCAAUAUCUGUGGGCCCCUCGAUGAUUUAGUGAUGGCACCUAAGCGCUUGGCCAAGCCGGGACUAAAUUGAUGUGUUCAAUUGUAGUCUGUUGUUAGUCGUCAUAAAUCUGAAUUCGGGAAACAACACAUAGACAGAGAGAAUGAUUUAAGAUCCAUGUCUCAGUCUAUACGAUAAUGUCUAGAAUGGAGGAAUAUAUGAUCCCUUAUCUAAAGGACACACGUAUUUGAUAAGAUCAGAGUUGACAAUGGCUUUAGAAAACUAUGAUUGCAGAUCAGGAUCUGAAGUCAUACGCAGAAUAGUUGUUUGACUUAUCCAAGUGGGAGACUGUUGGAUUAGUGUCUAAGUCCAUAACUAUUUUGGUAUGUACUUGACCCGAUGGUGCAUGGUCCUUUUGGGUUGCCUUCACCAAAGCAACUUGAUAGGAGGAAUUAUGGAGAGAAAGGAUUAAAUAUGAUUUAUUAAUAUAUUAUGAGAAUAAUAUAUUAAAGGAGAAAUCAUAUUGUUUAAUUAAUAUUAGUCAAGAAUUAACUAGAAUUAAGUUUGUGGCUAAAAGAGAUUAAUUAAACUUAAGGGACUAGAAUUGUAAUUAUAAGAUAAUUGCAUUUGGGCUAUGGAUUACCUUAUAAUAUAAGGUUGGACAAAUUCUAUGGGGAAACCCAUUAGAAAUCGUCCUAGGGCCUUUAAGGAAGAAGUCCAUGGGUUGCUUAGGGCUUAAGUGUAGGCAUUUAUAUUGAGUUGAUAGUCUAUGUUAACAUUUGUAAAUCAUUUUGAAGAAAUGAAAAGGAAUUAUGUGAAUAUUAUGUGAAUUAUGUGUUUUAUGCUUAAUUAUUAGGGCAUAAUGAAUUAAGAAUAAAAAUAAGCGUCAAAAUUAAAGUGUGAGAUAAGUCCGAUAUCUUUACAUAAAGUUUUAGUGGUCGAAACAAGGAUUUUGGGGAUAUAAAGAAUACCAAAUUCCGAGUUAUAACGAAGAAGUUAUGACCUGUCGAAGUUUCGCAACAAAACCGGCACAGUGCUGAAUGUCGUAAAAAGUGAGUUUUUGAUAAACUACAUUUUAGCCUUAGUAAUAUAAACUAAAGUCGUAGUAUUUGUUAAACCGAGAAGUUCGAUAAAAAAGAACGCCCAAAUCUGACUUCGUAUGAGGAAGUUAUGAUUUUUCGAAGUCUCAGCUUAGCAGUAGACAGCUAAAAACUCGAAUUUUAGAUCGAGCGAUUUUUAGCCGACACAACCUAAAUGAGAAUUGAAGGUCUCGUCAUUAGGAGCACAACGGUAAAAAGUCUGACGAAAACGGACGUCGGAUGAAGAAGUUAUGAAUUUUUGGCGCAAAAAUCGAGAAAAUUUGCAUAGUCACGAGUUGCCACAUCAACCUCGCUGAAAAAGUGCCACGUGUCCUGCUGAGUCACCAGGCCGCUGAGUAACCAACCUGCUGAGUCACCGAGCUGCUGAGUCAUUCGAAGCCGUGGCACAUCCGAGAAGUGACGUGUGUGCAGCCUAGUUUCGAGCCUCGCAUAGCCUAGCUCCGAACCUCGCAGGUGCACCAGUAGGCCGCGGUCCAAUCAAAAGCUGCCAGCGAGCCCUCGCAGGUGCGACCCAUGUGUGAGCCAUGCACAGCCCUCGUGCGAGCCACCUCCUCUGCGAGCUUCGGAUCCAUGACGCGUGUCUUCCUCCUGACCAUCCGAUCAGAAGCCUCGCCCCUAUAAAUAGAAGGGUGCGAGACCUCUUAGGUAAUUUUAGAAUUUUGCCAUAUUUAACCCCUAAACCCAUAUUUUCUUCAUCUUAACAUCCCGCAAAGCCCCGAUAUCGAUUGUAAAGCCCGGAAUACUCCACGAAGUGCCCGAGAAGCCCGAAAAAUUUAUCUUUUCGGUUUCGAAGCCCGACUUUUGCAGAGCCCGGUUUCUCAAUAAAACUCCCGAUUUUAUUAGAAACAAUUGUUUUAGGAAACGGAUUGCUGCCCGAUUUUCAUCAAAAUAAGUGAGUGUGUAGUUACUUUCAAUUUACACAAAGAUAUGAAGUAUUUACCUUGAAAUACGUGUUAUGUGUAAAUAUAUUAAUUGUUUAAUUGAGGUGACUGUUGAAUUGAUGUUUUAUACAAGUUUUAAACUGUAUAUGCUUUUUAUCUACAAAAUAUGUUGGGUAGAACAUGGGUAGAUGAAAUAGUUGAUGUGUGUUAAAAAGGUGAGAGGCCUCGAUGUCGAUGUUGUGUUGUUGUUGUAGUCAUCUAGCGAAGUAUAGAUGACGACCACGGACUUUCUAGAUAGUCCAGUGGAACACUAGCAGGUUCGCAACUUGUAGGUGUUGAUGAAUUAAAUGUUCAUUGGCAUACUUCAUCCCCCUCAUGGUUGCCUUAAGGACAUGUAUGGCUGAGGAAACCCCUUAGCAGUAGUGUCCAUCCCGAUGAUAAUCCUUAGGCUAGGUCCCUUGUGAUAGGUGUUUAGGGACGUAAAGUGAGGACAACGGGAAUGGGUAAUCAGGGUUAUUGUUGAUUGGUGAACUUAAUAAGUAUAUUAUUAUUGUGGGUUGAAAACCCUAUAUGCUCACCAGGCUCCCAAGCCUGACCCACUCAGUUUUUUGAUUACAGGUAGUGGACCCCGAGCAUAGUCGGAGGAUGACGAGAGAUUUUUGGAUUAUAGGCUAGUAGUUGUAAAUAACUAUUGAAAGGCUUAUAAUGUCUUGUUUAUGCUUUUGAUCUGUAUCGGAACAUGACAUCCCGAGGUUUUGAUAUAUAUAUGGAAAAUAUAUACCUUCUUAAUGAAGGAUUUUGAUAAACUUUUAUCAUAUAUUGUUUGGGGACCAAUUCCGCAAUAUCUUAUAAAAAGAUUUCUCUGAUUUUAUUUUAAAAAGCAUAAAUUAAAUCGGUCUUUUCUGGCCGAGAAAUAUGGGGAUGUCACAGUUGGUAUCAGAGCAUUAGUUUAAGCGAACUAAGAAAUUGUAGAAUUUCUAGACUUGAACUUAGAAUGCUAAGUGAUGAUUGUGAGAUGAGUGUCUACCAUAUUUUAGACACGAGCACUAGUUUAUUUUAGGGAAGAUGCCUAAAAUGCCCUUAUGUGCUAAAUGCUAUGUGUUUGCCAUGUGUGCCAUUAUUUGUUCGGAUCUAUGGUCUGUUGCCGACCGGAUCUGGAAACCUUAUGUGUGUAGGAUUCUAAGCGUAUGAAUACGAGAUUAGAACUAACAUGUAAACGUUUCGGAGUGAUAAGGGAAUUGACAUGUCUAACAAGGAUAAAGACCUAAAUUUCGCCUUAUUCGGUAUAUAGAUUGUAAUGGCAAGAACUCGGAGUGGAGCUGGAAAUGCAAACAGAAACCAACAACCUCAACCCCAAGUGGUGGAACAGGUGCCUAUAGUAGGAGCUGCACCCGAAUCCAUCACCAUGGCUGGAGUACGAACUAUGAUUCAGACCAUGUUGGCUGAAUAGAGGGAAGAAUUGAGGCAAAUGUUGCUGAACGACAGGGAUGAACUUUCAGUUCCUGUUGAACAACGUGAGCUAAAUGACGAUCGGUCUGAAGAAGGGAACAACAGUAGAUCGGUUGGUCAUAGUGAACCGCUUGUGGUUGGGAGGAAUAACCACGAGGGUAGAAUGGAGAGAAAUGGGUGCAAGUAUAAGGACUUUAUGACUUGCAAGCCAUCGACCUUCAAUGGAAAAGAAGAUCCUGUCGGAGUAAUGGACUGGAUCUCGGAAAUGGAGUUGGCUUUCAUGACUUGUGAUUGCCAAGGCAAGUUACAAACUACGUUUGCAGUACGUCAGUUCAGGGGUAGUGCUGCUCGUUGGUGGAGCACUUUGGGGAAUACCCUAAGCCCUAAUGAGCCACUGCAAUUAACCUGGGCAGAGUUCUUAAUGCACUUCAAGCACAAGUACUGCUCGGCCCAAAAUGUACUUGAGUUAGAAAACCAAUUUCUAAUGUUGCAGAAGGGGAGUAUGACCGUUGACGAAUAUACGAAUAACUUCACAGACAAAAUGGAGUUUGCUUUGCGUAUUGUCCUAGAUGAGUUGGAAAAAAUGGAUAGGUACACAAAGGGACUUCCAUGGGAGUACGCGGUGCCAGUACAUCAGACACUUACUUUGGAGGCAGCUAUCUGGGCUGUCAAGUCUGUUGAAGAUACGAUAAAAGGGAGAGCCGCCAGCAAGGUUGAAGUUGGCGAAAAGAGAAAGUUUGAAGGAACUUCAGGUUCCAAUAAAAAGAACAAAUUCUUGAAGACUGGUUCGAGAAUGUUUGGAGGAAGAAGCGAAGCCAAGUGGUGUGACAAGUGAAGGAAGAAACAUGCUGGGAAGUGCAGCGUGGAAGUCACUUGUUACAAAUGUGGGAAGCCUAGACAUUAUGCCAAUGAAUGCACCUUCAAUAAGAACGUAUGUUUUGGGUGCAAUGAAGACGGGCAUAUUUUGAGGGAUUGCCCGAAGAAGAAGGGCGCAGCAAAACCCAAUCUACCACCAAAGCCGAAGGCGAGAGCCUUUCAUAUGACACUCGAAGCUGCGAAAGAAGAAGCCGAUGUCGCGUCAGGUACCUUUCUCGUAAACGAAUUGCCUGCCGAAAAUUUGUUUGAUUCUGGAGCCAAUUACUCCUUUAUCGCAUGAAUUUGGUAGAAAGCUAGCUUUGCCUGUAGAUAUGCUAGUUAAUGCUAUAAUAGUCGAGAUUGCUAGUGGCAAGUUUGUAUCUGUUAGCCAUCGUAUGAAAAACAUCCUUAUUGGCUUGGAUGGGAAUAAGUUCCAAGAGGAAUUUAUGCCUAUCGAGUUAAAUGGAUUCGACAUAGUUUUAGGAAUGGAUUGGCUUAGCGCCAAUGAUGCAGAAAUACUAUGUAGAAAGAAGAUAGUAAAAGUAAACCCGCCAGGGAAAGAGUCGUUUAUGGUGUACGGAGACAAACGCAGAGUAAACUCUGGAAUCAUUUCCCUAAUGAAAGCCAGAAAGUGUUUGGCCAAGGGAUGUACAUCAUAUCUAGCGUUCGUGAGUGAUGCUAAGAUGGAAAAGAAGGAGGUGCAGAAUAUUCCGGUGGUGUGUGAUUAUCCAGAAGUCUUUCCCGAAGAUCUUUCCGGAUUGCCCCCUGAUCGACAAGUAGAAUUUCGUAUCGACUUGUUACCAGGAAUGACGCCGAUAGCAAAAGCACCUUAUCGAUUAGCGCCAACCGAAAUGAAAGAACUUAUGACACAACUUCAGGAGUUAUUGGACAAAGGUUUCAUUCGACCUAGUUCAUCACCCUGGGGAGCCCCUGUGUUAUUUGUAAAGAAGAAAGACGGAAGCAUGAGAAUGUGCAUCGAUUACAGAGAGCUGAACAAAGUGACGAUAAAGAACAAGUACCCGUUGCCAAGGAUCGAUGACUUGUUCGACCAGUUGCAGGGUUCGAGCUAUUUCUCGAAGAUCGAUCUUAGGUCGGGAUACCAUCAACUAAAGGUGAGAGAGCAGGAUAUCGAAAAGACUGCUUUUAGAACGAGAUAUGGACACUAUGAAUUUUUGGUUAUGUCGUUCGGACUAACCAAUGCCCCAGCAGCUUUCAUGGAUUUGAUGAAUAGGGUUUGUAAACCAUUCUUAGAUAAAUCCGUGAUAGUAUUCAUAGACGAUAUCUUGAUUUAUUCGAAAAGCAAGCAGGAGCAUGAAAAGCAUCUGCGUGAAGUGCUAGAAGUCCUGAAAAAGGAGAAGUUGUAUGCAAAGUUCUCCAAGUGUGAAUUUUGGAUUCAAGAAGUCCAAUUUUUAGGUCAUGUGGUUAACCAAGAAGGGAUAAUGGUCGACCCAGCAAAGAUUGAAGCUGUAAUGAAGUGGGAACAACCAAAAAGUCCUACGGAGAUUCGAAGCUUUUUAGGAUUAGCUGGAUAUUACCGAAGGUUUAUCCAAGGCUUUUCUUCGAUUGCUACUCCAUUAACAGCUUUGACCCACAAAGGAGCUACUUAUGCUUGGAAUGAGAAGCAUAAGGAAGCCUUUGAGAAGUUGAAGAAGAGAUUGUGUGAAGCACCGAUUCUUUCAUUGCCUGAAGGAGUUGAUGACUUCGCAGUUUAUAGCGAUGCAUCUGGAGUUGGGUUAGGUUGUGUUCUGACCCAAAGGGAUAAAGUGAUCGCGUAUGCAUCGAGGCAAUUGAAGGAACAUGAAAAGAACUACCCCACUCAUGAUCUGGAGUUGGCAGCGGUAGUAUUUGCCUUAAAGAUAUGGAGGCAUUAUCUUUAUGGAACAAAGUGUAAACUUUUCACUGAUCAUAAGAGUCUCCAAUAUCUCUUUAAUCAGAAGGAAUUGAACAUGAGGCAACGACGCUGGCUAGAGUUACUCAAGGACUACGACUGUGAGAUACUUUACCACCCUGGUAAAGCAAAUGUUGUUGCUGAUGCUCUCAGUCGGAAGGUAAACCUUGAAAAGAAAAGGCCAAGAGCGUUGAGAAUUGAAGUUGUCUCGACAAUUGUGGAAAGUAUAAAGAAAGCUCAAGAGGAAGCUUUAGAGAAAAGUGACCGAAAGGAAGAACGUUUGGGCAAAACGUUAGUGUUCGGUACAAACAACCAAGGGUUGAAGGUAUUCCAAGAUAGGAUUUGGGUACCUAAGACGGGCGGAGUAAGAGAUCUUCUGAUGGAAGAAGCUCACAAGACCAUGUACUCGAUUCAUCCCGGCAGUACAAAAAUGUAUAGGGAUUUAAAACCCUAUUAUUGGUGGCCAACGAUGAAGCUUGAUGUUACUAAGUACGUGGCCGAGUGUGUAACUUGUGCUAGGGUUACGGCACAACAUCAGAAACCGUAUGGGAGUUUAGAACCUUUACUCGUACCCAUGGGUAAAUGGGAAGACAUCACCAUGGAUUUUGUGACUGAACUACCCAGAACAAGGAACGGUCACAACAUGAUUUGGGUGGUCGUUGAUCGCUUCACUAAGAGUGAGCAUUUCGUAGCAGCCAAAGAGAAAUGGUCUAUGGAUAAACUUGUGAAUUCUUACGUGAAGGAAUUUGUGAGGCUUCACGGUGUUCCGUUAACGAUUGUAUCCGAUUGUGACAGCCGUUUUACCUCAAGGUUUUGGAGGAGUCUACAAGAGGAAUUGGGUACCAAGUUGUGUUUGAGUACAGCUUACCAUCCGCAAACCGAUGGUCAGAGCGAGCGAACGAUUCAAACAUUGGAGGAUAUGCUGAGAGCAUGUACCCUAGAAUUCCAAGGUAACUGGGAUGAACACUUACCUUUAGUAGAAUUCUCCUAUAAUAAUAGUUUCCACUCAAGCAUUAAGAUGGCACCUUAUCACGCUUUGUAUGGGGAAAAGUGUCGAACGCCAUCAUGUUGUCUGGAAGCUGGGGAAAAGCAGUUUAUGGGACCUGAAAUAGUCCAUAAGACUGCUGAAAAGUUGAAAGUGAUAAGGGAAAGGAUGUUAGCUGCUCAAGAUCGACAAAAGAGUUAUGCUGACAAGAAAAGACAACCGAUAACCUUUGAAGUUGGAGAUUCGGUUUUACUUAAAGUCUCGCCGUGGAAGGGACUUAUAAGAUUUGGUAAGAGAGGGAAGUUGAGUCCAAGGUUUAUUGGACCAUUUAAAGUUCUUCAGAGGAUCGGGAAUCAAGCUUACAAGCUAGAGUUACCGGAAGAACUAGAGGGUAUUCAUAACACCUUUCAUGUGUGUUAUUUGAGAAAGUUCACAGGAGAUGUGCCCGACAUAAUUCCGAUUUCUGAGUUAAGGUUGGAUGAAAACAAGAGGUUGAUCGAAGAACCUGAGGCAAUCGUUGACCGUAAGACUAUGAAGUUACGACGCAAGAUGGUCGAUUUAGUGCUUGUGCGCUGGAAACAUACGAAUGGACCAAAUCUCACUUGGGAAACGGAGAGUGACAUGAUGAGUCGCUACCCGCAGUUGUUUGGUGAUAUGUGAUUCCGGGGACGGAAUCAUCCUAAGGGGGAGAGAAUUGUAACACUCGUGUUUCUAGCCUAGGCAUUUAUAUUGAGUUGAUAGUCUAGGUUAACCUUUGUAACUCAUUUUGAAGAAAUGAAAAGGAAUUAUGUGAAUAUUAUGUGAAUUAUGUGUUUUAUGCUUAAUUAUUAGGGCUUAAUUAAUUAAGAAUAAAAAUAAGCGUCAAAAUUAAAGUGUGAGAUAAGCCCGAUAUCUUUACAUAAAGUUGUAGUGGUCGAAACAAGGAUUUCGGGGAUAUAAAGAAUACCAAAAUCCGAGUUAUAACGAAGAAGUUAUGACCUGUCGAAGUUUCGCGACAAAACCGGCACGGUGCUGAAUGUCGUAAAAAGUGAGUUUUUGAUAAACUACUUUUUAGCCUUAGUAAUCUAAACGAAAGUCGUAGUAUUCGUUAAACCGAGAAGUUCGAUAAAAAGAACGCCCAAAUCUGACUUCGUAUGAGGAAGUUAUGAUUUUUCGAAGUUUCAGCUUAGCAGUAGACAGCUAAAAACUCGAAUUUUAGAUCGAGCGAUUUUUAGCCGACACAACCUAAACGAGAAUUGAAGGUCUCGUCAUUAGGAGCACAACGGUAAAAAGUCUGACGAAAACGGACGUCGGAUGAAGAAGUUAUGAAUUUUUAACGGAUUUCCUGUCCCGGUCUGUUAAAAAUAAUAAUAUAAAAUUUAAAGUCAAAAUUAGCCGACGAAGUCUAAACGGAAGUUGUAGAGCGUAAUUUUAGCUACGCGUGCAUAUAAAGAACGUCAAAAACGGAGCUCGUAUGCGAAAGUUAUGGAUUUUAGAAGUUUUGGCGCGAAAAUCGAGAAAAUUCGCAUAGUCACGAGUUGCCACGUCACCCUCGCUGAAAAAGUGCCACGUGUCCUGGUGAGUCACCAGGCCACUGAGUCACCAACCUGCUGAGUCACCGAGCUGCUGAGUCAUUCGAAGCCGUGGCACAUCCGAGAAGUGACGCGUGUGCAGCCUAGUUCCGAGCCUCGCAUAGCCUAGCUCCGAACCUCGCAGGUGCACAAGUAGGCCGCGGUCCAAUCAGAAGCUGCCAGCGAGCCCUCGCAGGUGCGACCCAUGUGCGAGCCAUGCACAUCGCUCGUGCGAGCCACCUCCUCUGCGAGCUUCGGAUCUGCAACGCGUGUCUUCCUCCUAACCAUCCGAUCAGAAGCCUCGCCCCUAUAAAUAGAAGGGUGCGAGACCUCUUGGGUAAUUUUAGAAUUUUGCCAUAUUUAACCCCUAAACCCAUAUUUUCUUCAUCUUAACAUCUCGCAAAGCCCCGGUAUCGAUUGUAAAGCCCGGAAUACUCCACGAAGUGCCCGAGAAGCCCGGAAAAUUUAUCUUUUCGGUUUCGAAGCCCGACUUUUACAAAGCCCGGUUUCUCAAUAAAACUCCCGGUUUUAUUAGAAACGAUCGUUUUAGGAAACGAAUUGCUGCCCGAUUAUCAUCAAAUCAUGUGAGUGUAUAGUCACUUUCAUUUUACACAUAGAUAUGAAGUAUUUACCUUAUAAUACGUGCUAUGUGUAAAUAUAUUAAUUAUUUAUUUGAGGUGAUUGUUGUGUUGAUGUUUUAUACAAGUUUUAAACUGUAUAAGUAUUUUUAUCUACAAAUAUGUUGGGUAGAACAUGGGUAGAUUGUGAUGUGUGAUAAAAUAAAAUUGAUGAGAGGCCUCGAUGUGUUUUGAGAUCCAGUCAUCUAGCGGAGUUUGGAUGACGACCACGGACUUUCUAGACAGUCCAGUGGGAAACAUUAGCAGGUCCGCAACCUGUAGGUGUUAAUGAACUAAGAGUGUUCAUUCGCUGUACUCCAUCCCCCUCAUGGUUGCCUUUAGGACAUGUAUGGCUGAGGAAACCCCUUAGCAGUAGUGUCCAUCCCGAUGAUAUUCUUUAAGCUAGGUCCCUUGUGACAAGUGUUUAGGGACAUAAAGUGAGGAUAACGGGAACGGGUAAUCAGGGUUAUUGUUGAUUGAUGAACUUAGUAAGUUUAUUAUUAUUGUGGGUUGAAAACCCUAUAUGCUCACCAGGCUCCCAAGCCUGACCCACUCAGCUUUUUAUGUUACAGGUAGUGGACCCCGAGCAUAGUCGGAGGACAACGAGAGAAUUUUGGAUUAUAGGCCAGUAGUUGUAAAUAACUGUUGAAAGGCUUAUAAUGUCUUGUUUAUGCUUUUGAUCUGUAUCGGAACAUGACAUCCCGAGGUUUUGAUAUAUAUGGAAAAUAUAUACCUUCUUAAUGAAGGAUUUUGAUAAACUUUUAUCAUAUGUUGUUUGGGGACCAAUUCCGCAACAUCUUUUAAAAAGAUUUCUCUGAUUUUAUUUUAAAAAGCAUAAAUUAAAUCGGUCUUUUCUAGCCGAGAAAUUAGGGGAUGUCACAUUAAGCAUCCAAAUUAGGGUUUCCUUGUUAGAUAACCCUAAUAGCCUCUCUAUUUAAAGAACCCUGAUUCCCCAAAAAUGUGGUGAACUAAUUGGUUAGGGUUUCCACACGUUUUGGGCGGCCUCCUUCUCUUCUCUUCUUCAUCCUCUUGCUCUUGGUGUUUGUGAACCAUUAGAGGAGUGACAUUUGUGACUCUAAGCUUUCUAAAGUCAUUACAAGGAGGAAUUUCAAUUGUUAUUGCUACAUAACAAUCAAGGUAAUAUCUUAAACCCAUUCUUAUGUUAAUAUUGAUUAUCAUAUGCUAGAUCUAGGGUUUAAAGUCUUGGAUGAAUGGCAUGUACAAUAGAGAAACCUAGAUCCGAGCAUUAGGGUUUGUAUGAGCACAUAGGAUGUUCUUGUGACCAAAACCCAUCAGUUGCGUGCAUGCGUUAUGGACUUCAGAGGAAGUUGGGACACUUAUUUGCCCUUGGCUAAGUUUUCUUACAACAACAACCAUCAUGCGAGUAUCGGUAUGCCUCCCUUUGAGCUUCUUUAUGGGAGGAGGUGUCAGACUCCCAUUUGUUGGGGAGAAGUAGGGCAGCGGGUAAUGGGGUGGCACUGAGAUAGUGUUGAAGACGACCGAGAAGAUUCAACAGGUCAGGCAGAGGUUUCUGACAGUCCAGAGUCGCCAAAAGAAUUACACGGAUCGCCGACGAUCCGAGCUAGAGCUCCAGGUUGGAGAUUUUUUUCUCCUGAAGGUAUCCCCUUGGAAAGGGGUGAUGUAACGCCCGCGUUUCCAUGCUAGGCAUUAUCGUUGAUGUAAUAGUCUAGGUUAACCCUUGUAACUCUUUUUGGAGUAUUAAUGAUGAAAUAUUUGAGUAUUAUGUGUUUAUUUUCUUAAUUAUUAUAAUUUAAUGAAUUAAGAAUAAAAUAAGCGUCAAAUUUGAAGUGUAGGAUAAGCCCGAUAUCUUUGGAUAAAGAUGUAGUGGUUGAAACAAGGAUUCCGAAGAUAUAAAGAAUGCCGAAAUCCGUGUUAUAACGAAGAAGUUAUGACCUGUCGAAGUUUCGCGAUAGAACCGACAACGCUGAAUGACGUAAAAAGUGAAAUUUACGUUAGAGAACUAUUUAGCCUUAGUGAUCUAAACAAAAGUCGUAGAGUUCAUUAAACCGAGAGCGUGCAUAAAAAGAACGCCCAAAUCUGACUUCGUAUGAGAAAGUUAUGAUUUUUCGAAGUUUCGACUUAGCAGUAUGCAACCCGAAUACUCGAUUUGAGACCGAGCGGUUUUUAGCCGAAACAGAGAAUCGAAGACCUUGUUAAUUGUAGUGAAACUAUGAAAAGAUAGGCGAAAACGGACGUCGGAUGAAGAAGUUAUGAAUUUAUAACGGAGUUUUCCUGUCCCGGCCUACUAAAAAUAAAUAAUAAAAAUAAAAGUCAAAAUUAGCCGACGGAGUCUAAACGAAAGUUGUAGAGCGUAGUCUCACCUACACGUGAAUGUAAAGAACGUCGAAAACGAAGUUCGUAUGAAGAAGAUAUGAAUUUUCGAAGUUUAUUAAAUAAUUAAUAUUUAAAUUUAAUUAUUAAAUCCCGAUAUUAUCCGAAGGAGGGGGGAGUCAUCGAUCCGAUCCGAACUACGCCCAGCGUACCCCGAUGCAUGCAUCGCCUCGGACUCGAGUGCUCCGAUGACGCCUGUAGUGACGUUUCCGAGGCAUUACGCCUCACGUAGAGCAUUACGCCCAGCGUAAUGCGAGGCCUCAGCCUCCUAUAAAAGGCUUGCGAGGGCAGCCGAGAGUUUUGCUCUUUUUCUCUUCUCUCUCUCUCUCUCUCUCUCUCUCUCUCCCGUUUUGCAUCGUUUUGCGUGCUAGAAGUAUCCCGAAGCCCCGGUAUUAAUCUCGAGCCCCGAAGCAAGUUCCGAAGUCCCGAAGAUCCCGAGAAGUGCAAUUCUCGAGCCGAAGCUCUGCCNNNNNNNNNNNNNNNNNNNNNNNNNNNAAAUACGUGUUAUGUGUAUAUUUUGUUGUUAUAUGUGUGAAUGUAUAUUCACUUUCUUCUAUCUCAUAGAUCUGAUUUAUUCUCUAUGAAAUACGUGUUAUGUGUGUGUGCCUCAUCUGUUAUGUGGAAUAUGUAUUGAUUAGAGCAUGCUAUACAGGUUUUAAACUAUGUAUAAAAAUGUAUAUUUUUAUCUACUAAUAUGUUGGGUAGAACAUGGGUAGAUAGUUGUGUGAUAAAUAGAUGAGAGGCCUCGAUGUUGUUUUGAUUCAGUCAUCUAGCAGAGUUUAGAUGAUGACCACAGACUUUUCUAAACAGUCCUGUGGAACGCUAGCAGGUUCGCCACCUGUAGGUGUUAAUGAACUUGGGUGUUCAUUCGUUGUACUCCAUCCCCCUCAUGGUUGCCUUAUUUGACAUAUAUUGCUGGGAAACCCCUGAAUGCAUGUGUUGUCGCCCCGAUGAAAUAUUCUAGACUAGGUCCCAUAUGUUAGUUGUUUUAGGGAUGUAAAGUGAGAAUAACGGGAAUGGGUAAUUGGGUUAUUGUUGGUUGGUGGAAUUAAAUAUAAUUAUUUAUUGUGGGUUGAAAACCCUAUAUGCUCACCAGGCUCCCAAUCCUGACCCACUCAGUUUUAUUUGUAUUACAGGAAGUGGUGCAAGGGCAUAAGAUGGAUGAAUCAUCAAGUUUUUUUGUUUGCAAGUCUGUAUAUGUAUAUAUUUGUUGAACAACUUGUAAUGUUAUCGUUUAUGCUUUAUGGUCUGUAUCGGAACAUGACAUCCUGAGUUUUGAUUAUAUAAUGAAAAUACAUUUCUUGAUGAAAUGCUUUGGUAAAUAUUAUUUUAUCAUACUUUGUUUUUGGGAACGAAUUUCGCAAAUCUUUCAAAUCAAAAGGAUUUACUCUGAAAUUAUUUUAAAAGCAUAAGUGAAAAUCGGUCUUUUCUGGCCGAGAUUUUGGGGAUGUCACAUGUGAUCCGAUUUAGGAAACGGGGCAAGCUGGGGCCCCGAUACAUUGUUCCUUUCAUAGUGAUCACCAGAGUAGGUAGAGUAGGCUACAUAUUAGAGCUACCAGUAGAGUUGAGCCAGAUCCAUAACACCUUCCAUGUGUCUUAGUUGAGGAACUGUGUAGCCGAUGAGACAGCAGUGGUAUCCCUAGAGAACAUUUAGGUGGAUGCAAGCCUGAAUUACAUUGAGAGGCCGAUAACGAUUUUAGACCGGAAGGUGGAGGUGUUGAGAAACAACGUGGUACCCUUGGUUCAGGUCCAAUGGAAACAUCGGAAGGGAUCCGAGUGGACGUGGGAGCCGGAGUACGAGAUGCGUGAGCAGUAUCCGAAGUUAUUUCCAGAGCAUGACUUCGAGGGCGAAUUCCGAUUCUAGUGGGGUAGAAUUGUAACAUCUGGGCUCCCAGGUAUAUUAUUUAUGUAUUUAUUUUUGAGUGACUCGACGAGUUGUGAGCCUAACUCGUCGAGUGGAGUCGUUUUAACCUCAUGAUUUAAUGAGCUGACUCAAUGAGUCAGAGAGCCGACUCGCCGAGUUGGUGUUGUGUGGUGAAACCCUAAAUCCCCGGGGUUGGGGCCUAUUUAAGGGGUCUUAUACCCUCAUUUCCGCCUCACCAGUCACCCUUCACCCUUGAGAGAAACCCUAAUCGUUGGUAGUGAGCUAAGAAAGUUAUUGAGAUAAACCUUGGGUGUUUUAGUGCAUCUUUUGAAGAGAAGGGAAGGAUUUCAAGAAAAGAACGAGAAGGGGCUUUCAUAUAUGUUGUUGUUUCGUCCAGAGCUUCUAUAAGAGGUACUAAGUCGACACCUUUCUCAUUAUGUUGGAUAGAUCUCGUGUUUAUGGAGUUUAGGGCUUUUUCCAUCCAUUAUUUUGGGGCUUUGAGUGUUUUCGAUUCAUCUAGAGGUUUGGACUUUAGAUCUAGACCUUGUGAGGUCCCAAGAGUCCAAAAGUCCCAGCUUUAUUCAUCCAUAAUAGAGCUCAUUAGUGAAAACCCUUAUUAGAUCAUGUUUUUGGGCAUUCUAAGUCCUAAGUGCCAUGCAUGGACGUAAAGCUUGUGGCUUUACAUGAUAAUUGAUCCUUAAGAGGUUAGAUCUAGAUUUUGGGGUUGCUUUCUGCCUUAAAAACGUCUGAAUAAGAAAAUAGUCUGAAAGGACUCGAUGAGUCGAUGAACCGACUAGACGAGUCGGUUAGGGUUUAUCCCGAUAAGCUUGUUUAUGCGAUAACUCGGCGAGUUGGGAGAUCAACUCGACAAGCUGAGAUGGACGUUCAUGAGACUUCUGAGGAAACGAGGGGACUCGACGAGUUGCAUGAGUGCACUUGACGAGUGGGGACAAUUUUGACCGUUGACUCGAGUUGACUUCUGUUAACUUUAGGGUUUGGUCAAAUAUGAGGAAUGGAGACCAUGGAGGGGUAAAAUGGUCUUUUAAUCACUCCAAGAAUUAGAGAGAUGGAGAGAAUAACUUGGGUUUGUUUCGAGUCGUGAAUAGAGUAUUAACUAGAGAUAUUUACCUUAUGUGUUAGGUGGAGGCUAGUUCGGGAUUCGUGUUCGGGUUUAUUUGCUAGCUUGCUUACGAGGUGAGUCUUCUCACUAUACUUACCUAGAGUGGUAAUCCUUGUGUGAACAAAGGGUCAUAUGUUUUAUAUUGAGUAUUGUGAUAUCCUGCUUUAUGUCUUGUAAUUUAUGUUAUGUAUUAUUCUGAGCCUGUUGAGUUAGGACCAGAGGGUCCACCCGAGUUGUGGGACUGGAGGGUCCCACUAAGACACAUUGAUCGGAGGGUCUUAUUCGAUCGUGGCCAUGAGAGGCUAAUGAGUUAAAGUGUGGUAUUUUGGGGAACUCACUAAGCUUCGUGCUUACCGUGUUAUGUGUGUCACUUACUUCUCGGGAUCAUAGGAAGGCACCGACUUGAUUGUACACAUACAACACACUUAUGUUGGGGAUCCCGGAGGGUCUUUAAAUAAAUUAUGAUCCCAUGUUUUCAUAAUUUGACAUUUUGGGAUUUUCUUAACUUGUGUUUGAUGGGAUUUAUGAGAUUCUAAAAAUGAAAUUUUUGAUUGAAAAUUUACGGUGUUACAGAUGAUGCCUUGGUUCUUUNNNNNNNNNNNNNNNNNNNNNNNNNNNNNNNNNNNNNNNNNNNNNNNNNNNNNNNNNNNNNNNNNNNNNNNNNNNNNNNNNNNNNNNNNNNNCCCCCCUUUGUACAUAAAUCUCGAUAGGGUGAAGUCAGGGCUUUACCGAUCCCCUUAUAUAUGAUUUGUUUUUUUGUUACAGGUCGCGAGAGGAUCAUUCCUUUCGAUAUGGUCCUGCGAGGCAGGUUCCAAGGCUGUUGUUGUGGAUUAGGUGUCUAAGACUAUAACUAUAUAUGGUAUGUACUUGAUUUGAUAGUAGCAUGGUCCUUUUGGGUUGCCUUCACCUUAACAACUUGACAUGAUGAUUUUUGGAGAGAAAGGUUAAAUUUAUUAUUUGGAUUAAUAAAUUGAUUUAUUAAUGUAUUAUGAAAAUAAUAUAUUAAUUAGAAAUCAUGUAAUUUAAUUAGUAUUUAAUCAAAAAUUAAUUUCGGGAUUAAAAGAACUGAUUAACGGAAUAGGGGUUGUUUUGGAAAUCAUUGAUAGUUGUGAAACUGGGUUGAUGGACUCCUUAAUUAGGAAUGGACGAAAUCGUAUAGGGAGGCCCUAUAGAUUUCGUUCAAGGCCUAUUGGAAAGGGUCCAUGGGUUGCUUAAGUCCUAAGCAGGAAAUUAGGGUUUCCUCUAGAAACCCUAGCAGCCUUCAGCUAUAUAAGGAACCCCUAGGCUUGGGAUUUUCGGCCAAUGCUUGCUAAUAAGAAACCCUAGCUGAAAAUCUAAGAGCCUUCCCUCCUCUCUCAUCUCAUCCUUUUUCUAGUGGUGUUUGUAAGCCAUUGGAGGUGCAACAUUUGAGGUACUAAGCUUUCAGAAGUCAAGGAUCUACAUAACAAGUUAAGGUAAUCAUCAAAUACCCUUUUGUUAUAUGAUUUUUCAAAAUUGUAUGCUAGAUCUAGGUUUAUAUUGCUUUGGUAUUCAAUUACAUGUUCAACUAGUGAAAAACUUAGAUCUAAAGCAAUUAGGGUUGCAUUAACACAUAGUUAUGCUCAAAACGCUUCAGUGGUAUUAGAGCCUAGGAUGUUUUUUAGUUGUAUUUGAUGCUUCUGUGAAUUGUCCAAAGGAGGAUGGAACAGAUUCGUCGCUCUGUUCAUCAGACUCGACGAGUUCCUCAUGGGACUCGACGAGUUCCUUAUGGGACUCGACGAGUUGAGCCUACUCAACGAGUUCAUUGCACUAACUCGUUGAGUCGGGCUGUCAAAUCCCUGAUUUUUCGAUUUCCAUAUCAUGGUUUGAUUAGGGUUAUUACCAAAAUUCGUUUUUAAUACCUAAAAUUGAAUUUUCUGGAAAUAUAUAUGUCACACCCCGCUAAAGCGGAAACACGAGGCGUGCCAGUACAAAGGGUUUCAUAGCAAAAGUUUAAAGACAACACCAACCAUAGUAUUGAAAACCAUUACAAAUUUAAAAUGGGUUUGAACAACUUUUAAAAGAAAUUACAACGUAAAUUGAAAUGCAACACAUGCGAAUGCUCCUAAAAGUGAUGUGUCCUUAAGUGCCACCUACUUGAUGAUUCUUGAAAAAGCAUGUAAAACGAGCGUCAACUAUAAAAAUAGUUGGUGAGUACUCACAGAUAAACAAAAUAAUAUUGGUUCCAUGAAUUGAAAUCAAUGUUUUGAUAAAGUUUCCAAUAAUAAAAGUAUAUUGUUAAAUUGAGAAAAUAAGUUUGUACAAAAACAAAGUUCUUUGUCAUCAUGAAAGAUAAAGUAUGUUGCCCAAAUAAGAUGCAACAUUCAUAUUCUCAUGGAAGAUAAAGUUCGUUACUCAAAAGAGUAAACAAGUUUUAUUGCUAAAAUGAACAAUCAAUUUUGUUGCUACAAGGAGCAAACAAUUUCAUUGCUAAAACAAGUAUAUAAGUUUUCAGUAAUAAAAGUUCCUUGCUAUAAUGAGAAACAAAGUUCGUUGCUAUAAUUGAUAAACGAGUUUAUUGCUAUAAUGAGUAAUGAGUUUCGUUGCUAAAAUGAGUAUUCAAGUUUCAUUGCUAAAAUAAGUAUACAAGUGUCAUUGCUAACAUAGGAAUACAAGUUCCGUAUGUGCAUAAAGAAUAGUAUGUGCAUCAAGUUUCCAUUCAUGAGUUCACAACCCAAGCCUAAUGACCGAAUCGUGCCCUAUUGCUACUAUGUGUAUUGUAAACUUAGUGUAUAAAAUGGUAAAAUGCACUCAAGCGAAUCGUGCGAGUGAGGAGUUGUCUACCUCCUGAUAGCGCUAUCCAUAAUAACCAUAGGCUCAAAAGAGUUAAUGAGUUGUGUCUAGAGAUUCCAGGGACUUAACCGCGAUACAGUCCUCAUGAAUUAAAGUAACAUACACAUACAUACGAAAUAUAGCAACCAAGUUUCAUACAAGUCAAAAUAAAUACAACGUACAGAAAAAUAGUAUAGGGGAUUGCGUGAAUACUCACAAUAUGCAUUGAGAUGAUGCAAAUGAUGCCUUGAGCUAAGAUCCACUCGUACCACUAUCGAUUCCUACAAUAAUGGUAUUCGCUAGUGAGUCUCUAAUAGAAAUCUAACAAUUUAAGUGGAAAAAUUUCCAUUAUUGGAAUGUUAAUAUUUAACAUUUUAGAGGUGUUCCAAUGAUUAAAUAUUCAAAAACUAAAUCAAUUUAGUUCUAAAAUUUCCCAAAGUUUGCAUUUCAGUUUUAAUUGAAGUCAAAUACCUUAAGAUAAAUUUUCUUGACUUUUUGAUUUGUCUAAUUAUUUUUCACCAUUUAAUUCCUUGAAUAAUCAUAAAAUCAUGGAAAAAUAGUAAAAAGUUAAUAAAAAUGACCAAACUUCAGAUUUUGGUUCUAACUACACUAAAAGACUUCCAGAUAAAUUUUCAUGGUUUAUAGAUAUGUAUAACCAAUUUUCUUAUAUUUAAUUCACUAAAUAGAUACAAAUUCAUGAAAAAUAGAAAUCAGUUUCCAAAAUUACCCAAACUUUUUGUAUUACUGUUAAUAAGCAUUAUUAAGCUGGGAAAAAUAUAAAAAUUUAUUUCUAAACUGUUUAACUAAGUUUUAUGAUUUUUGAGCAUUUAUUUUAAUAAAAACUGAAAUAAAUAGAAAAAAGUUUCCAAAAUUAUCCAAACUUUUUAUUUAACUGUUAUUAUACAUAACUAGGCUGGGAAAAAUAUAAAAGAUAUUUUUCAGUGGGUAUUUCUAUUUUUACUUGUUUUAUCCCCUUAUAUAUUCAUUAAUUGAAGAAUAAAUAAUAAACAGUUAAAAUAAAUUACCAAAAAUUUUUAUAACAUCAUUUACAAUAUAAGUAAUCUGUGAAAAAUACCAAAAGUGGUUUUCAUAUUGUAUAAUCCGGUUUUGGGUAUUUAUGUGUAUUUAAGUGUAUUUAAGUGUAUUUAACUUAGAAAAUAGGAGAAAAAUAGUAUACAGUAGAGAAAAAUCAUCAAACUUUUUAGGUAACCUCCUACUGUAUAACAUUAUGUUUUGGUAAACUUUUUAGGUAACCUCCUACUGUAUAACAUUAUGUUUUGGGAAAAAUAGGAAGGCAUGAUGAAAAAAUUUGCAAUUAUUUGUCUGAGUCUCCAACCACAACUAAGAGCUGGGAAAAUUCUUAGAUACAAUUUUGACACUCCCUAAAGUGGUUUUGUGAUUUAUUAUACCCAAACAAAAAGAAAAUCUAAAAUCAUACUAAAAAGCAACAUAAAUCGAUGCAAUUUAAUGAGAGGUCAUUACUCACCAUAGGGGUCAUCCACGAAUUUAUUCCGGAUUUAUAUACCUCUGGAAGUAUUUUAUAUGAUUUAUUGCCCUAUUUUAUUGCAUUAACUAUAAUAAUUCAAGAAAAAUGAAUUAUCUUCUGGAAAUUUACAGAGCAUGUUAUUUUGUUGAUGAAAAUCUGGGAAAAAUCAGAUUUGGUCAGAAAAUGAUUUUUAGAUAUUUAUUUGGAAAUAAAUCUUUCAUUAACAUAUUUGAAAGCUUUUAACAACAAACUUUGAUCAUCAAGCAUCUAAGCUUGAAGAUCAUCACAUGCAUGUUGGUUUAAAGCUCAUUCAUGAGUUUGAAAUGUUCAAAAAUCGUUUUUGAAAGAAAACUUAGAGUGCAUGUGGUGAUUUUUACCCAAAACUUGUAGAAAAGUGCAUUAUGUUGAUUUUGACUUAGGUUUUGGUCCUUGGAUUUCACCAUUAACAACAUGCAUGUUGUUUUUGGGUGAAAUACUACCACCAUCAUCAUCAAAACUGAAGUGAAUGAAGAUGCACACAUGUUUUUCUAAGAGAAAGGUGUAGAAGAAGAAUGAAAUGCAAGAAAAACCUUGAAAACAUGGAGGAAAAUGAAAGGAAAUCGUGUUCUACCUUAAUGAACACCACCAGAUGAUGAAUAUUUUGAGCAUCAUGAGUGUUAUUGGACUUGUUUCCUGGAAAUUUUCGUGAGUAUGGAGAAAUGAAGAGAGAAAUGGAGUGGUGGUGAUGAAGAGUGUGAGAGAGAAUGAGGGGUAGAGUGAGAGAGAAGAUGGAGUGUAGGGGGAAUUGAUUGAGUGUGUUGGGAAGAGGAGAGUGAGGAGAGAGAGGGGAAUCCGACUUUUGAGGGUAUAAUAUCCCUCUCUCCUUCAUUUUUCUUUAUAAAAAUUCAAAUCUUUUAUAAAAAUUAUCCAACUUUUUAUAAAAUGUGCACCUUAACCUAGUUUUUAUGCAUAAAACUCUUGAUUUUUGACUUAUAAAUUAAGAGUAAUUGUUAAUGAGUUAAAUUUUAUUUCCUUAAAUGCAUUUUUAUAAUUUUAAUUAUUAUAAGGUAAUAUUAGAAGCUUCAUAAUUAUUUUUAUAGAAUUUUUAAGGUUAAAGUUUGUGAAUAUGAGUUUUUAGGGCAUUUAGGGUUUUUGAGAGUUUGUAAGUCUUGGAUAUCAAAAUUAAUUAAAUUUUGAGACUUCAAAUUAUUUUUGUGUUUUCUAACUCUUAUUCAAGUUAGAAAUAAUGUUUGUAAUUUAUUUUUAUCGGUUUAUUGGCAUUCUAUGUAGUGAUUCCGAGAUUCAAGCGAAAUUGAGGAAUCAAGUAUACUAGUCCUAGUCUUUAACAUUGACUUAAGUUUCUAUGUGACUUUGACCUAAUUUCUACUACUAGGUCAAGUGCAUGAUGUGUGUAUAUGAUUCAUGAAAUGUUGUUCGAGUCAAAGAGUGACCCAAAUAUGGAUAGUCACUACAGCUCAGUAGAUGUAGAAUUCACAUAUCAAUGUGAAAUCUAAGUACACUAUCCAUUGAUUCUAAUUGUUUCCAGGUUUCUAGUAGGUUAUAACUUAGCUUCCAGUUACUAAGUCUAGUGUGUGUAGUGCCUAUAUGUGCAACUAAGUCUAGUCAAAUCUAGAACCGACUCGAAUUUUUGACGGUUGUCACAAUAUAUAUGUAUAUCCUUAUCAAAUUAAGAGAUUUGGUCAAGUUUUAAAAUAAUGAAAAAAUUUAUUUGAUUAAUUUAGUUAUUUAAAUAUUUGAUCUUGUAUUUUUUGAAAAGUUUCAAUAAUACCCCUUUGGUUGAAGAAUUUAAAAUUUAAUUAAAAGUUUAAUUUUGGAAUCUUAAAUUCUAGAACCCUAGUAUUUUAAAAGUUUAAAAUACACCUUUAUACUAUUAUAAAAUUAAAAGUUUAAUGUAUAUAUGUAUAAGAAAAGGUCAGUCUUACCGUUANCCACUCUUACCCACCACACUCUUGACUAGUGGAGGGUCGUUAGCCGAACGGGUAGGAUAAGACAUUAAAUCCUCAUUAAUAAGUAUAAUGAUAAAUAUAAAGUAACUAAAUGUUUUUAUAAAAUUCUCAAUCUUAGUUACUUUAGGAAAAUGUGAAUUUGAUGUUAAUCCAUGAAAUUGCACAUUGCACUUUGGCAAGUUGUUAGUGGAGCGUGUGUGGUUACCCGGUACACUAACUUGGACUAACAAUGGGUGACAAUGGGUAACUCGUAAAUUAUCACUGAUCAAUGGAGCGUGUAUUGUUAACCGACAAAUUGAUUAGGUGGUAAAUAACAACGAGAGUACCAAGCUAAUUUUCAUGGUUAUUCACACCUUAUUUGUGAUCCUCGGUAUCACAGUCACAAAUUUGAAGGGCAUAAUUGAGAUUAAACAUGCCACUAAAUAGUUCAAUGAAUCUCAAAAGAUCUAGAAAUUUCAUUCAAAACCUAAUUCAUUUUAAAAUUUUGUUUUCAUGGUGGAAUUGGUAAAUCUUCAUUUACCUACCUUCAAAUAAUUUACAAUUGGAUUACGGCAUCCCUUUUUUGAAUUGUGAAUUAUUGUGUCGGGUCCUAGCCUUAAUAUUUCAUUUGGGUGUUAUAUUAAGGAUUUCCUAUCUAAUCAAAACUUGUUCUUCAUUUUCAGAUGUCUGGCUCAAACUACAACAACAACAACUCCUCGAACUCCUUCUCGUUCUUGAACAUUUGUUCAAGGGUACUCAGUUGGAGUUUUUGGACCAAAGGGUAUUUCGGUAAUUUAUCAACUCCGACCUUUGUGGAAAGUGGAUCUUAGUUCGGAAUAUUUGUGGUAGGCAGGAAUUGAUAACAGUGUUGAGCAUCUCAAUACCUUUCUAUGGAUAUAUGAAUGGUUGGAAUCGGAGUUGUAUCGAGUAAGUUAUAGCCUUCAGAAGAAUUAGGGUUUUGGGAAAAGCCCUAGUGCGCGGGGCGUACCAAAGUGGUACGUAGGGGGUACCGAAGAGAAGGAACUAUGCGGGGUGUAGCUGGAGGAACACGUAGCGUAUAUGCGAGGAUUGGAUCGGGGUGCGCAGCCUCGUACGCAGGGGGUACGAGAAGGUACGCUAGGCGUACGAGGGUCAGGUUGAAAACCCUAAUUCAAGGGUUGUACCCUAUAUAAGCAUAAUGUUAAGCCUCUUUCUUCAUUCUAAGUCAGCCUUCACCCUCUAAAACCCUAGAACUCAUCCUUAAUCAUUCAUGGUGGCAUUUUGAGAUUAUGAAGUCCAUUUUUGGAGUGUUUGAUCUAUUUUCAAGAAGGUGGAGUUUGAUGCAAAGAUGGGGAUCGAGGAAAAGCUUAUGGAUCUGGCUUUUGGGACUCAUUGUCAGCUUGAUGUAGGUAUAAAGCUCUGAACUUGAUCAUUGAUAUCUUAGAUCUCUCAUUUGUGAGUUUUAGUUCAUUUUGGUCCCAAGGAUGAGAUCUAGUGGUCUUGAUUUCAUUCCAGGAGCUUUGAGUUGCCCCUCUUAGUGUUUCUGAGGUUCAAGGUCCAUAAAGUUGGUACCUUUAGAGUUUAAUACCAUCUAUGUUGGAGUUUGAGUCAUUUCCAUGAAAGUAGAAUGCUAUUUGGUCUUUUUGGGGUAUGUAAAUUCACCAAGUCAGUGACUAUAUGGUUCUAGUCGUUCAUUUAGAAGUAGAUCUGUGAUUUGGACUUGUUGGAUCGAGCAUUAAGAGCUUAAUGAGACUUCGGCUUAAAGGAGUAGUACACUGGGCGUGCAAGCCAAACAGCUUGUACGCUUAGCGUACAGCUGAGUACACCCUGCGUACUUGGUCAGAUGUAGUUAUGAGUAUUAGGCUUCGGUGUGGGCCAGCUUUUGGGCUUGUUCAUCUUGGGCCUUGUUGGGACAUCUGGUUUUGGGCUGUUAGUGAUGUUGAAAAGGUCCCGGAAGGAUUUGAGCCCAAUUGGCCACAAGUGGUUUUUAGCAUUUUGGGCUUAAGUGUUUGGACUAUUAUUGGGACAUCAGAAUAUAAGUGUGUUGGACUGAAAAGAAGGAUUAGGCCUCAUGGCAAGACCCAUGUAGAGGUAUGGGCCCAAUUUGGAAAAUUGGGCCAUUAAUGGAUUUAUGGACAUUAUAAUGUUGGGCUUUUAUUUUGGGUUUGGGCCGUAGUUUUGGAUCAUAGUGGGCCAGGGGUAGAAUGAUCAUUUUACCACAUGUAUGGAUUAAGGAUUAUAGUAUGGGACCUUAUUACUAAUUGGGUAUAUUGAGUAGUAUUGAUAGCUCGGGAAGCCGACGGGGAAGUAGCUAAGGAUUUCAUCCGGGGAGCUUCUGCAUUCGAGGUGAGUCUCCUCACCAUACCAAUGGGUCAAAGGCACCAACGUCGGCCCAUUAUUUGCUAUUUGGUAUGCUAGUUGAUUAUGUGGUAUGUGGUAUGUGAUAUUUGCAUAUUUAGCUCAUAUUAAGUAUAUAUUUUUUAUCAUUUAUUAGCUAAAUUAUCGCAUAUCAUGGACAAAAGAUACUUAAAAGUGUUUGAAUUACGUUUUCAGUCCAAAAGUGAAGCUCGGAAGCAAAAGGAAGCAGGAGAAGCGAUUAAGAGCUCGGGAAUUGAACAAAGAAGAAAACCACCAAAAACAACACCGUCUCGGCAAGUAGGGUCGACUACUCGGCGAGUCCGAUUGAAUAUUCGAGAAGAUAAAGACUUAAAGACUCAGAGACUUAUCGCAUACGGGGAUUAAGAGAUGGACUCGGCGAUUCGGCAAUGGACUUGAUGAGUCGGUUCGCAUUUAUAAAGAUAACUUCUCAGAUCGACAUAAAAAAUUCGAAAAACCCUUCUGGAGAGAUUAGUUGCGAUUGAAGAGCCAGAAGAACCCUAGAGAACGAAGAUACAAACUAGAAUCCAAUUCCGAAGGAGAUUUGAGGCAAAAUUCUCAUCAUUCUACUUAAUCUUUUGUUUUCCAUUAUGGCUAGACAAUUAGAAUUCAUUUAUUUGUUGUUAUUUACCUCAAUCAUGAGCUAAAACUCUUAAACUUCUGUUUGGGGAUACAAAAUUGAGACUAUGGUUUGAUUAUUGGUAGGAUUAAUUCAAUGUUGGUGAUUUUUGUUAGUUUUAGCUUGCUAAAGAACCUUGUGUGUGAAUGAUAAUUAAUUUUCUGUUAAUAGGAAGGUAAUUAAAUAGUAUGAACAUCUUUUGAUUAUCAACCUCAUAUGUUUAUGUGACCACUUUAUCAUAUGUCUAGGAUUAAUGAACAUGAAACUAGAAUUAAUAAGAAAAUUAGGUAAAUUCAUGUGUGAGCUUGUGUGAUGACCAUCAACAAGAAGUUAACUAAAGGACCAAAUUAGUUAACUAUUGCAAGUCUAAAUUAACCCGAAUAAUUAAUCUAGUGAAUUUAAUUAAAUUAGACAACUGAUCACUGUUUGAGUUAGUUUGUUCACUAAGGGUUAGUCAUGUAGUGAACGCGAAUCUAAUCACUUGAGUCGGUAACCAACAAAAGAGUUAGUCCAUUGCACUAUUACCAUAAUAUCAACCAUAGGAUCAAUUGAGUUGAACUAAACAGAAGUCCUUCCCAUUAUUGAAUCUAGUAAUUCUUGUUUUUUGAGCUUUUAGUUUAAGUGAUAGUUAGCAAGUUUUCUAGUCUUGUAAAACUAGAGAAAACCCUUACUUAUUAAUUAAAUUAGAUAAAAUUAGUUUUUUUGUUUUAAUUUACCGUUCCCUGUGUUCGAUACCCUACUUAUUUAGCUAUACCAUAAUUGAUAGGUCCACUGCAUUUGUGUGUUUAUUUUAUAAUUAAAAGUAGGUUUAAAACUAGUUGAGUUUACACACAUCAAGUUUUUGGCACCGUUGUCGGGGAACGGUCCUAAAUUAGCACUAAAUUUUAGUUCAAUCGAUCCUUUGUGUGGGAUUUAUCUUAAAGAAAGUUAAUUCUUAGGUAAUUUAGUAAUUAGUAUAAGUUUUAAUAAAAAUCUGUUUUUAAAAAAGUAAUUAGAUUUUUUUUUCUGUUUUUGCCUUCAACUCGCCGAGUACACUUGUGCCGGCUCAACGAGUUCAUCGUUGUUCACAGUCUUAAUUUUUAUUUAUUUUUUGUUCUUUUUACACGUAUUUUUUUGUUUUGUUUACAAUUGUUUCAUGACCCGGGGAUCUGAUACACCUCUGGUCCCUCCUCUCGAAGACCCGGAGUCCGCAUUACGGAGGAGCAAAGGAAAAACCGUUGGAGAAUCCACUUCUUCCAAGAAUUCGCCACUAAAGAACCUCAAAUCCGUUUUCAGCAAGAAGAGGAGCAGCAAAUCAGGAGCAUCCAAUGCCUCUUUGACAAUCGAAGACCCAAUUAAAGAGGACACCGUGUACGAGACCGAGGAAGAAGAAGAACCUACAUACGAACACGAAUCCGAUUUCGAAGACGAUUUAGCUAUCACUAUGGCUAAUAUCGAUGAAGUCCCCAUGGGGGAAUGGAAGAAGAGGAUGCGCGAUGACACUGGCCCGGGACUUGUGCAGCCCGUAAUUCCCGCUAACGCUACUUUCGAGCUAAAGGGUCAUAUCCUCGCUCAACUCAAGGAAAUUCCUUUCAAUGGAAAAGACCACGAAGAUGCCUACAAGCACUUGGAUGAAGUAAAUGAUGUGGCUGACUACUUCAAUGCACCAAAUGUGCCACGCGAGACCCAGCUACUUCUCAUGCUUCCAGUCACAUUCAAGAGUACUGCAAAGGAUUGACUCAAGUCACUUCCUCGCGGGUCGGUCACCACAUGGGCUAAGAUGAAAGAAGAGUUCAUAGCAUCCUAAGUAAAGAUCUCGGGGGGUUCCUGAGGCACUAGGGUGUAAUACCUUGGAGGGUUUCCAUGGCAUCCUUAGUUAAUAUCUCGGGGGGUUCCCGAUGCAUUGGGCUAAGACCAUGUGGGGGUUCCCAUGACACCCGAAGUAAGACCUCGAAGGGUUUCCAGGGCAUCCUUAUAUGUUUGUAUGUAUGGUUUAUAUGGUAGUUGGGUUAAGACCAUGUGGGGGUUCCUAUGGCACCCGGAUUAAGACCUUGGAGGGUUUCCACGGCUUCCUUAUAUGUUUAUAUGCAUGGCUUAUGUGAUUGAUAUGAUUUAUGUGAUUAUGUGGAGUAUGCUCUGGGGAACUCACUAAGUUUCAUGCUUACAGUUUUGUUUAUGGUUUUACGUAUCAUUGGUUUGGAAAGAAAAAGUCUGACUUGAUCGCAGCGCACACACCCGUGUUUUCCACAAUGUGUGAUUUUGGGAAGUACUCUGAUAAUUGUUUUUAAUUAGCAAUUUUGUUGGAAUGUUUGGAUUAAACGAUAUCUGUGUUUUAACUAUAAUAAAAACAAAAUUUUUACCCUUGAUUUUUGGGUCGUUACACCACCACACCCUACCAUCCUUCCACCUCUCUCCUUUCCCUUCCACGAUUUUGUUCUCUUCAACGUCUUCUCCACCACCACCACCCAACCUAUCAUAACCCUUGCUGGAAAAUUGAUACUAGAAAUCAAAAUCGUAGAACCAGAACAAAUGUAUACCAGGAAGUUCUAAAAUAAAAAUGUAAACCAAAACCUGAAACAUAUGUAUACCAGGAAGUUGUAGCAUUUCAAACAUUCAGUUGGUUUAGCUCGGCUAGACUAAUCAACCCAAACUUGUUUAAAUGAAUCUCUUAAAGUGAUUUCCGAGUUAAUAAUGGAAACCCGAUUAGCCCUGGUCAAGCUAUUUCUUUACAAUAUGCAAUAUACGCUUAUCAUAUAUAUUNUAUAUAUCGAUGUAAGUGUCUUCGUUGUCAUGCAACUAGUUAGAUCCUACUAUGGACAUGUACAAGAGUUAGAUAUGUACUAGUUAGAUUCUAUAUUGUUCUUUGUUUUGGUUAAUCAUGAUAGCUAGGGGGCGUAAUCUUGUGUCCCGACUAAUAAGAGUAUAAUUUUGUUUUGAUGAAAAUUAAGAACAAAAGGUGUAUCCAAGUUAUGUUGUGGAAAGACGUUACAUGCAUGCAUGAGGGAGGUUAACGGUGCGUGUCAAACGGUGUAUGUGUGAGGGAAUAAAAAUGAUGCUAAUUUAGUUUGAAAUAGGAACCAAACUUCCAACUAUCAAAGGUGUGUGUCGAAUUGGUAAACACAAACCUCUACAACCAUAGUCAAAACGUGUCCCACAAAUCCACACUCAAUUCAGUUGGAAAAUAAAAAGUUCCCAAAAUAAAUCUAGUGUUUCGAUUAUAUUGACCUCACACCCGUGUCUGUUGCCUCCCUUCCAUCCUUCCCUCAAACAUUCAACUAGCCACAAUAAAAAAUGCAGUUCAAACAAAGAACAACAUUAAUAAUAACAUAUACUUGUCGCAUUAAAACAAUACUUAGAAACAUUGUAAACACAGAUAGUUAAGAAAUCAUCAAACACAAAUAGAACAAACGGGUCUAAAUAGUUGUAGGAACUCCUAAAAAAACCUAAGAGCAACUAUAAAUUGCUCUGAAUACAUCAAAAACCUCAGUUUUUCUUUAACAUCAACAAACUCCUAAAUUUCCAUAAUCAAUCCCAGAAUCUUGGCUCCAACAUGAAGUGAGCAGGAGACUGGGUUCGUGCCACAUGGCCAUAUUUGGAAGUGCCAUAUUUCUUGAACACUGAAACAAGUUUCCCUGUGCCUGAUUUUUGGUGUAAACUAACCAUCAUCUUCGAGCAUUCCCUACAUUAAUAUAUAACUCAUUUCGUUAAUUUCCUUUCAAACAAAACAGGAGGAGAAUCUUAUGCUAAUUUCCUGGAAUUUUCCUUAUAAAAAAUGAUAAAAAUAGGAGCAGAAGUUGAAAAAAGGAGGGGAGAAAAGAUCAUACAAAAGUUGAUGCAGAGAAUAGUGUGAAUGGAGUUGAGUUGUUUUUGUCCAUUUCUUUGAUCCAUUGAGAGUGCAUUCUGCAGUGAAGACUGAAGCUGCUGCCAGUAAAGAAGGUGGGAACUUCACCAUUUCAUACUCCACAAGACACAGAUCCAUCAAAUAGAAUGCUAAUGGCUCCAACUACAUUCAAAAACCAAAAUCAAAGAAAAAGAACCUUUUGUUUUCCCAAAACAUUAAUUCUUUCACAAAAGCAUAAAGAAACUUGAAAAUUGAAUAGUACAACAAUGUUAUUAACCAAUUAAUACAUAAAACUAUUCAAGUUGAGUUCAUCCUGCAUUGAGGAUCAAUAAAUUCACAGGUUUUGCACUACUACACAAUUUUCAUAGAUUUGGCUUCUCUGAUUUGAGGUAUUAAAUUUUUGACCUAACUUUCUAUAUACUGAGUGCAAGUGGUUGAAUGUGGCAGUUUGUUUGCAUUUCCCCAAUAUUACUCUUCUUUUUCUGUUUAUCAAGUUCAUCGUUUGUUAAAUAUAAGAUAAGUGUUAUAUCAAAACCCAAUUUCCCAGUUGGAUAUUAAAAGUGUGGAAUGCAUAUAUCAGUCAUGACAAAAAGUUGAUUUUCAUUCCUCAUGAAAAUUAAAUGCCAAAACAAUAACCAACUUAAUCCACAUUAUCUGAAUAAAAUUUGAUUCUCGUUUUCUCAAAUUUGUUCAUUAAGGCAUAAAAUUAAACACCUAAUAUGUGUCAAACAAAGGGUGGGUCGUUACUCCUUGGCUCACCUACCUUUACUUUACUGAGACAUUAUAUCAAACACCUGGUGUGAGUGAAUAAAAGGGUGGGCACUGCACCGAGGUUUCUAUGUUUCCUGUUACGAUCAUCAGCUCCAAACCCCAAAAUAACUAUAUGCGUGUCACCAAAACCCAAAAUCAAAUAUCUACAAAUCACAUGAGACUGGAUUAACCUGAGGUUAGUGAUAACCUCUGCAACCAGAAGAAUCAGUUUUAGAAGAUGCGUAUUCAUUGAAUGGACUGAUAGCUUUGUGGACUGCAUAGAAGAAAGUGGUAAUUAAAAUAUUAUUAGGUGAUAUAUGGAACGCUUCCCACAAGGGUCGGACGUAACCACACGGGUGACCAUGAUCAUUUUUAUAAUUGCAAAAUAAACAUAGAGACUUCAUGUUUUUAUAAGUUUAUUACCAAAUACGUUUUGAAAGACAUCAUCAGCAACUUAAAGUGUAAAUGUUAAAUAGACGAAUUAACUAAGAACUUCCAUCGAUUUGGUAUGCCACCUAUGUUUCUUCUAAAUACAAUAUUACACUCUGAAAUAUCCACCCAAUUUAGCAAUGUUAUACGAAUACAAUGCAACUUCUAGAUAUAUAGCUCAAUAGACUUUUAUCUGAAUGUAUAAUUGAAAGUACAAUGCUUUAGUUGAAAGAAAUAAAAAUAGGAUGCUACUUCUUGCAUUUAUCCGAAAAUAUAAUAAAUUGAAUGCUAAGAACUGACUUUAAUAUAAAAUCACAAACAAGAACAGGAAUACAAGCUUCACUGAAUGUAUUGAUGAUACUAAAAUACAAGAGAAACCCCUAAUGAUUUUGCUACAGAUAUGAUAGCCUAGCCUCUCACAAAGGUUCUAAGACCAGAUUUGACAAAAGAUAAUGAUACCCUGUUAUAAUUAAGCACUAUGUACGCUGUAACAAACUAAACAUAUGUUUGAAUCUAAAUAAGAAUAACAGAACAUAGAGCGAGUGAUAAAGGAUUGAAAAAGAAUCGGAUUUUAUAGAUAGCUUGUGCAACACAACUUUUGUGGAUACCAUCACAUUUUCAGCACCUCUUUACCCAUGCAUCAAAAGCCUGUACAUCUACUGUUUCUCUUAAUAAAAACAAGUUACUACAAUAAGCUUCUACAAGAGUAGAUCUUUAUCCCACAUGUAACCAUCCUAAUUCAUAUUACCACAAAAUAGUCUGACCCAUAAAAAAAUUAACCAAUACAUCACAUCAUGAAAUAGAUGAAAUCAGAUUUAUCACCUGAGAUAGAACCAUAACCCAUCACUAACAAACCAUGUAGUAAAAAAAAAUAUGCAAGCAUUGACAAAGUAUCUAGGGUACCAAAAAUAAGCUUGAUAUUGUAGGUCAAUGAAAAAAAAAAUCUCACUUUUUAGGUCCAUUGUGAUAUUCAUUUAAGAGAAAUUGAUUCAAAGAAGGGUAAAUCACAAUUAGUAUCACCUUGACUUUGAGUAGUUGAUCAAUUAAGAUGCAUUCGUCAACUUCCUUAUAUCAAUGAUUUCUAAGAUCAACUUUGUUCUUUGAGACAGCCACAGUACCAUGGCACUUGUUUAGUUGCAAAAUACAGCACAACUCCUGAUUUUCUAACAAAUUCAGAUGAAAGAAAUACAUGAUUCCAACUCAAAUUAAUUACAGCCGGGCAUAUGCAAUAUCUGUUCAAAACUUGUCUGUUUGACUAAAAAGUCAAACAUCCAUACUGCAACAAUCUAAUCAUCAAUCUUAAAUGUAUUAAGUUUUUUUUAAAUUUGCUAAGCGGAAUGUAUAGAUACCCGUCACUGAACCAUAAUUACCCAUUUGUCACAUGGCAAUCCUCACUUUUGAUUCUUAAAAUUUGCUAAGUGGUAUGUAUAGAUACUCUUCACUGAAUUUUCUCAGUAAGUUACAGUUUUUAUGAGAAUUUAAGAUUUCACAUUAAAGGCUCAUGUCUAUUUAAGCUGUUCUAUUUUGGAAGAUGACUACAUAUAUCACUUAACCUUCAUGCCAACAACAACAGAGCUACAUUACCUGCAUUUCCUUCAUCAAACCAUUCACCCAAAUUGAAGACGAAUCUCCGUAGAAGCAUUACAUCCCUAAUUUACUGCAAAAAAAAAAAAAAAAGAGUAGACAACAUAUAUAAUACACUCGUUAUAAAUCAAUAUUAGUUUGAUUAAUACAAAUGAAUAUGCGAUGAAUUUUAAUUAGAAAUAAAUAAAUAAAUAAAUAAUACAAGCUGCUGGGUUAUCUGAAAUGCUGCCACAAAAGGUUUACACUUUAGUUUGAAUUAGAUGAAAAAGAGCAAUAAAAGUGAUAUUUUGUAAGGAACCCUAAUAAAAAAGAAACGAAUAACGAAGAAAGUGCCUUAUUCAGGGGUGUUUGGAUAAAUAAUUUUUAGCUUAUUAGCUUAUUGCUUAUUUGCUUAUUGCGGUGGGAAUGAACAUCUUUUUAAAAUGCUUUUGGAUUAGCUUAUUGCGGUGGGAAUAAGCAAUAAACAAUAAGCAUGUUAAGUGUUUGGCAAACAAAACAAUUUAUAUGAGUAAAAUGACCAAUAAGCAAUAAGCAAUAAGUAUCCCCCCCUGCUUAUUAAAAUAAGCUUAUUUUGCUUAUUCCUACCGCAAUAAGCUGAUUUUUAAAGACUCCUAUCCGAACACUUAAAUUAGCUUAUUGCGGUAGGAUUAAGCAAUAAGCAGCCUAUUUUUUCCCUAUCCAAACCAACGAAAGAAGAGAUCAAAUUGGAGAAAGAGAAAGAAUAGGGGGAUGGGUCCUGGGAAAGAAAACAAAGAAUCAUGGGGACGUUGUGUUCACAUGGGUAUACGGGAAAUUGUGAUGUCAUUUUUUUCCUUCACCCUUAUUUUUAUAUAUAUUAAAAGAAAAACCUCAUUAUUAAUUUAACACUUGGAUAAUUUGAUGAUGACAUCCUAAAAUAAAAUAAAAUUAAAUUAAUAUUGAUUAAAUUUGAAAGUUUAACUAACUGAUUUAAUGUUAACAUCAUUUAUAAUUGGAAUGUAUUCAACUCAUUUAAACCUCAUUAUAAUUUUUGAAAGUAAAUUCCAUUCCUUCCUAAUUAAAAUCACGUUCUUAGCUGGCACCUUUCGUAUAUUCUUUCAAUUCACAUCUAUUAUAUGAAACGUAUCUACAAGAUUACGGGAUAUCGUCUCUCAAUUUUAAAGAAUCAAAGAAUUCGAAAUUUGAUAUAUUUUCCAUAAUCAUUGUUGAAAGUUAUGUAUAAAUCAUGUGUUGUUGUUCGUACUUUAUUUUUUCUUUAGACCCUUUGCAGUAUCACGUUCGAACAACAUCAUCCUUUGCAACAUCACGUUCGUCAUCCAAGUUCCUUCUUUAAUAUGAUGUUCUUAAUUUUUAUUAAUUGUAUUCGAUUUUUUGAUUCUCAUUAGUGUUGUAUUUGACUGUGAUCUUUGAAUGCAUGAAUGAUCUUGAUUAUAAAUGUUGGUAUUAGUUUUUCAAUCUUUUAUUUUUGUCUUUUUAACCUUGCAUUUGAUGUUGCACUCUACAUGUUUGAUAAAAUGUCCAUGAGAAAAGCACAAUGACUUUCAAUUAACUGUAUGUAUGUGUAUCUUACGUAAUUAAAUUUUUCUGAGAUUGUUUGGAUUGCAUGGUAGUUGAUGAUUGAAUAUUACCAUUUACCCAUAGUAUUUUUAAUUAUCAAUAUUAUAUUGCUACUAAUUUGACAUAUUUGCUCAUAAUUCUUGGUUUUUAAUAGAUUUAGUUAAUAGCAAUGUACUUUGACUUUAAUCUAUAAUGUUUUGAAUUGCUAUUUCUAAAUUUUUUUAGAUAUGUUGUAACUGUGUUUAGUGUAUACAAAGUGCAUUGUAGUUUCUAUUUUGUUUUUAACAUAUUUAGUUACUAGCAAUGUGCGUAUGUGGUUUUUUUUAUUUAAAAAGUCAAAGCUCUUAUUUCAACAUUUUUCCCUAGCAAUAUAUGUAUGUAGUUUUUUUAUUAAAAAAGUCAAAGCUCUUAUAGUACAUUGUACAUUUUGAAAACGAUUGGCCUUAGUACAUUGUAAUGAAAUAUAAGUACAUUGCUAUUGCUAGUAAAAAAAUUUAGGAAGAUUGUCUGUAAAAAAAAAAAAAAAAGUAAAGUAUGUUGUUACAUCCUUCAACUUUCCCAAGUAAAAAGUGGUGUAGUUUUCGUGUGAUUUUCCAAGUAAAUUGCAAUGCUUGAAUUCAUAGUUCAAGAACUAUGUUUAAUGACUUGUCAAACAUCUAAAAAAGUCUUUAAUACCAUUGAUUGAUUGAGUUUUUGAGGAUGGGCAAUAGGUGACUUGGCUUGGAAUUUUUUUCAAAUUUAGAAGUAAAUCCUUAAUUUUUAUGGUUAGCUAGAUAAGGGAUGUGGUACACUUUUAGUGGGAAGGGGAAACUAGUUAUGAGUAACUCCAAAAGUGGUCCUUUAAACCUUAUAAGCUAGACUUUAAUCUUAUAAAAGGUUAAAUGUAAAAAUAACAACAUACUUUCAAAUAUUUAUUUAUAAUAGCAUUAUACUUUUAUUUCUUUGUAUCACAACAUUAUACUUUGGAAAAUCUAACCGAAAUAUAAAGAUACGAUUGAAAAUUUGCAUUUUUCGUAUUUCUUAAGCCUUUUUUUAUAUUUACAUCCGACCAUUUACAAUUUUCUCGAAACUUUAAGUAAAGGCUCCAUCAUUCUUUUAAUAACUCUUCAGUUGCUAAAAGCACUUCACAAAUACCCAGUUCUUCCAUUUUCCGCUGCUACGUGUCUUGCACUCUUAUUUUGCUAGUACGUUAAGGAGUAACACAACACUUCAUUUCUUUACAAGAAAUACAUACGUCUAAAAUAAACCAACACAAUUAGAUUGUGAACAUAAUUUCCCAUUUAUCUUUAUAUAUAUAUNUAUAUAUUAAUGAAAAAAAUGCAUUAGUCUAAUGCUUUGUUGAGCACUUCUGUAAAUAUAGUUUACUUACAAUAACAAACAAACAUCCACCAGUCAUAUGAAACUAAACAGAAUAAUGAUUGUUUGCCAAACAAAACUCAACACCAUCAAUGGUGAUUAUUACAACUUCAAGCUUAAGAAUUUCCAAACCAUGUUUUAUUUAUCAUACACAUCACAAUCAUCACCUUUGAAAGGCACAACUAGACACGCUCUCAAAAGGAAACAAUUGAAACUUAAAAUUAAAGUUGGACAAUUUUUUUUGUUGAUAGUGUUCACUAAUUUAAAGAUGAUUUCAAUAAGGGAAGUGUGAGUUUUGUCCAAGCUCAGCGAUCAUAAAAGAUGGUCAUGACUUCAGUCUUCAGAGAGGAUGUUAAGGAUAUUAUUAAAAAAAUGGUGUACAGUAAGAUUGAAGCCCUCUGUUUGUCACACCCCGAAACCGAAGGCGGAAACGUUCCGCGGCGGAGGUGACGUCAUGUAAAGUAUCACAACCAAUGUACAUAGUAAGCAUAGUAAACACAACCAUUACAUUACAUAGAAAUAUUUACAUUUGUUUGAAAACCAAGUGAUACAAGUUAUAUACAUGGGUUUAGGUCAUUUUUGGUCACUUAACUUUUGGUUGUGUGCUCAUUUGGUCACUUAACUCUUUUUAUGUUUUAAAAGGUCAUUAAACUUUUGAGUUUGUGCUCAUUUAGUCACUUAACUUUUGGUUUGGUCACUUAACUUUUAGAUUUGUGCUCAUUUAAUCAUAUAACUUUUAAAAUUUUGCUCAUUUAAUCACUAAACUUUUGAAAAAAUUCAAAAGUUUAGUGACUAAAUGAGCAUAAUUUUAAAAGUUAGGUGACUAAAUGUGACCAAACCAAAAGUUAAGUGACUAAAUGAGUACAAAACCAAAAGUUUGAUGACCUUUUAAAACUUAAAAAGAGUUAAGUAUCCAAAUGAGUCAAAAAACCAAAAGUUAAAUGACCAAAAAUAACCUAAACCCUUUUAUACAUAUACAACUUAUAUAAACAAAAGAACAGACGAGACUUCUAUACGCUCCGUCUUCUCCAAAAGAUUGUGGUUUACCUGUCUAACGAGAGCCUGAGAAUACAAGCAGUUUUAAAAAUAUCAGCAUAAAGCUGGUGAGUUCAUAAGCGUUUGGUUUCUAUAAAAGAACAAGUUUUCUUUGGUUUUCUGAAAAGGUUGUUUAUCCAAGAAAAUCCCAUAUUUUCUUAUGUGAAAAGUUUAGUUAUCCAAUGUUACACAAUUUGGUUAAGAACAGAUAAGUUAUCCCAGGAAAAACCCUUAUUUUCCUAAGAGUUGGUGGUUAGUUAUCGAUUCAGAAUGCGGUGUACAAGUAUCUACCAUACUUGUAGCGUUGGUGUGUUGUAUCCUGAAAGCUUAGUUAUCCUUUGAAAAACACAUUAGUUUUAACACGUAUAUAAAAAUAAUAAAUAGAUAGUAAACUAAUUCCUAAAUUAUUAGUUCACUAGGUUCAUUAUUACUGAAAAGUAAAUCUCUAUUAUUCAAGUUUGCGAGUUCCAUAACCAUACGAUAGACUAGAUAUGGCAAUAAGAAGUCCAUUAUCAUUUUAUGACUUUUGUCCCCCGUAGACCUGCCGGUCCCACUGUAGCUAGCAGCAAGAUGCGGGGUAGUCAACCCCGUAUAGAUCUAUACACUCAAGUCACGCUCUCCACCUAGGAGAUUCUAGUUACAGGGGCGGUCCUCCACUCGCGUAUCUCUAUGGAGUGUUACAGAGGACGUGUCUCCAAUCUUAAGAAUAACAAAUUUACGAGUAAUAAGGCGGAAAAUUCUGUUUUAGAUUCUAGUUACAAAGGCGGUCCUCCACUCGCGUGUCUCUGUGGAGUGUUACAGAGGACGUGUCUAAAGUUCUAAGAAUAAUGAUUUUAACGAUAAAUAAAUAUGGAAAAUCAUUUGUGAGAUAUAAAAUAUAACAUUUUAUAAUAAAUUUCGCAAUUAGUUUGAAAUCUAACUCUGCAAGUCAAACGGUUGGUUAAUACGGUUUUCAAUGUUAAAAGCAUACGGAAUAUGAAACAUUUCAUAUAAAAUAAUAAGUUUGAGUACAAGAUUUCCUUGUACUUUUGCUUGUAUUCCCCCCAUGAAAACAUUGAAAACACGGAAAAAGGUGUAGGGGUAUGAACUCACCAGUCGAGAAAACACGUAAACUCUCAUAUGCACUUUCCUUCUGUGUUUUGGUGGUUCUAGGUUAAUCACAUGUGAUUCUAGCUCAAUAUACAAGCCAUGGAAGGAAGUUAGGGCACCAUUUGACCUCCUUAAAGGAUUUUACGGCCAGGGAACCAUUCCUUGGGGGUUUAUGGUCGUAAUCUCCUAAGGACACGGUUUCCUUGAUGAUUAAGGCCCCUAACACAAUUGGUGUUGGUUCUAGACAUUAUUCCAAGGCAUAUGAGGUGUUUAAGGGGCAUCUUAACACCUUAAAUGGUGUUUAUGGCCUUAGAAGGGGUUUUUACGGUCCAAGCAUGUUCUUGGGCCGUAAACUCAUGUUUACUCCCCAAAUGGUAUGAUUUUGGUGUUCUAAGUCCAUUCAUGCAAGCCCUUAGGUCAUAACUAAGCUUUAGAAGUGGUUUGGAAGGGUUUUAGGGCUCCAAAACCCCAUUUAUGUGUGUUUACGGUUUGGGGCUAUUCUUGGGCCGUAAACACAUGUCUUUGGUCCUUUUGGAUGAUUUUGACACUAAUUUAUAAGUUAAUCAAGCUAAUCUAUAAGCUAGGAUGGAUUACUUAUCAAUUUGGGGUUUGAAAUGGGUGAUUUUUGGAUCAAAAAUGGCUUGAAGAGAGAGAGUGGGAAAAAGCUUCAAAUGAAGUCCACUCACCCUUAUAUAGGGUUUGAGUUUGAGACCCGGUGGAAAUCUACCCGAUAUCGACGUUGAACGAGGCUUAUGGUCGUACCCGAUUAAAUUGUCGUAACCCGACGUGGUCGAAACUAAAAAAUUUCCAAAUAAAAAUUGAGGUGUUUUCACACGUUUCUAAUGUGUUUGGACACUCAUGAAGUCAUGAUAAAAGUCUCAAAUUAAAUAACCUAAUUCAAGAUGUAAGCGGAACAAUUCGAUAAAGACGAGUUUUAUUGACGAAAACGGGUUACAGUGACGGAAUAAACUUCGGGUUGUCACACUGUUACAUAGAAAUCAUCAAUAAGAUGCAAAAACAAAUCACCAUAAACCAAAUCACUUCAUCAACAGGAAGCAGGUAAGUAGCAACAAAUUGACAUUAAUAGAAACCAUCAAUGAGAGGGCAAUGAUUAAGAAUAGACAAAAUUGCACAAAUGGUCCUUGUGGUUUGUUGAAAAUUGCCACUUUGAUCCAAAAAGUUUUGGACAAGCACCAUAGGUCCAAAGUUUUCAUUUUUUUGCGAGUUUGCUCGAAUUUACUUUAAACUUUUUUAAUGACUAUUUUACCCUUCUUUUUUGUUUUUUUAGUUUUUUUUUGUUUAUUUAAAUAUUUUUAUGAUUAAAAGAAAAUACUCUCUCUCUCUCUCUAGACUCAUUUUCCCAUCAUCAUCUUCAUCUAAAAACUUGAUUUCCCCAUCAUCAUCUUCAUCUUUAUCAUUAGCUCCUAACAUGACCAUCAUGACCCACUAUCACCACCGAUCUGUAGAUUCUUACUCUGCCGGUCAAAUCUGCAACCAAUAUCUACAAACAAGAUCUGGUUCAAGCGUUAAAUAACUUAAAUUGGUGGAGAAAUUGAGCAUGUCGUCUGGCUCAAGGUUAGAUUUACAAAUGAAUGUUGAGAUUUACAAACCCAAAAAUCUGAAUUUUACCUCACAUUUUGCAAAUCGAUAGUCUCAAUUUAUCAAUUCCAAUCAUGUGCAGAUGAAUUCAAAUUGUUGCAACUCAUUUUAGAGUUUGUCAACACCGAUUUAGAAGAUGCUUAGUGUAAGAUCUAGAUGACUUAAGCAAGAAAACCAACCGAUUUUAGGUUUAAACUUGGAGAUCCACCAUUUUUGCUUGAUUUGAAUGUCGAUAAGGUCAGAAACGAUAAAUCUGAUGAAGAUUCGAGUUUCAAAUCAUUAGUUCAGAAACAAAAAACCCUAGACAUUCUUCACCAUCAACAACGGAAAUGGAAUCAUCCAUUCCUAGGAUGAUUUUUGGGUUUGCGACGGAGAUGAACAGAUCUGAGAAGGGUUUUCUGACCUAUAGACGGAGAGGGGUGAACUCAUGAACAAACCCAUAUUUUGUGUAAGGUUUUUGUUUUUGGGAUGAUAUUUAGGCGUAUAUGAAGUAGAAAAAAUUUAGGUGGAGAUAGAGGUAGCAAACGGUGGUAGCAAAAGAUUGUGGUGGUGACAGACGUUGGUGGUUGCAGAUGGUAGUCCAACGAUGGUGGUGGGGAAAAUGUUCUUGAGUUUAUGUCAUGUUCUUGAGUUCGUGAACCAUAGUGGUAACCAAUUUUCUGGAAAAAUUCAGAUGUGAGAGAGACAGAGAGAGACGUAUUUUCUUUUUUAUUUUUCUUUUAACUAUAAAAAUAUUUAAAUAAAUAAAAAACAAAAAAGGUUAAAAUCGUCAUUACAAAAAAGUUUAAAGUAACUUGGACCUAACUCGCAACAAAAUGAAAAUUUUGGACCUGUAGUGCUAGUCCAAAACUUUUUGGACCAAAAUGACAAUUUUUAGCAAACCACAGAACAAUUUGUGUAGUUUUGUCUUAAGAAUAAUGUAAAAUUAGAAUGUAAGGAAUUUCUAACCUUGCAAAGUUGCAAUGUCGAAUCCAGCCCUUUGCUUUAGGAAAUCCUCGAUGAAGAUAAAAUUUUGAUGCAUCAUAGAUAACACGUCUAUGCUUUAUAGAAAUCGAAUGUGCUAUGGUUGGGCCCUUGGUUCGAUUCUCUGCUGAUUUCUUUUAAUUAGGUUGUACUCAUUCCUAAUCUAAGAUUAUUUUGAGCAAUUAUGUUGUUGAUGAGGUUAGAAUUGGGAUCGAAUGAUUAUUUUCUUGCGAUUUUCUGAGUUCGUAAUCUUUCAAUUGAGGGCAAAGUAGGCAUUUUUCAUUCAAGGAGGAAAAGGAAUGAAAAAACGGGAUUUACCCUCUCUCCCCAUCAAAAUCGGAAAGCGUAUUCAUGAUCACUCUGAAAAUCAGAAAAAUAUCUUCCCGUUAUCUAACUCCAACAAUCGAUUCCACCCAAAUCGCAAAAGAUAUCAGCCACAAUAUCACCGAAAUAACAAAUCGUUUUUAUAAAGCGUAGGGCUUCAUUCGCUUUUUCCGGUACGAAUAAUCCCACUUGAAGCUGUUCUUUGAGGUUGUUGAAUUGUUGAAGCUCAAGUUGUAGUCAUUUUUUGAAGGUUAGCAUCUCCUUACCCUAUUAUUUAUUGAAAUUCCUGAAUGUGUUCUUGUUGCUGGGUCUUUUAUGAACUGGGAUUCCUUUUUUUUUUUGUGGCUUCGAUGAAAUUUUGAACCUGUUCUUGUUUGUACCUAUUAUUGAAAAUUUUGAAGCUUGGCAUCUUUUCUUUUUCUUGUGCUUUGAUGAACUGGGAUUUAACAAGUCAUUAAUUCCAAGUAAACAUCUUAAUUUUUUUUUAUCUAUCUUUGUAAAAAUCGAAACCAUUUUAGUUUAGUUGGGUAUGAUUUAUAUCAUAAGUAAUUAGGAGUGUGUGAAUGGAAGCCCAACUUCAGAAUUUCAAUUAGAAAGGGGUCUUCGUCAAGGUGGCCCGCUAUCUCCUUUGUUAUUCAUCAUUGUUAUGGAGGGGUUACAUGUGGUUGUGAUGGAUGCAAUAGAACCAAAUGUUAUUUGAGGGGCUAAGGUGGGUAAUAUGUUAAUCUCUCAUCUUCUUUAUGUGGACGAUGUUAUGUUCCUGGGAGAGUGGUCAAUAAUUAAUAUGAAUGGGGUGGUUAAUUUAUUAAAUUGCUUUUACAUGGUGUCGGGCUUGAGAAUAAACAUUCAUUAGUCAGUGUUGUAUGGUGUUGGUGGUAGAGGUGAUCAUGUUAAGGAAAUGGCAGAAGUGUUAGGUAGUAAAGCAGAGCAAUUUCCUUUCUCUUACUUAGGGAUUUCGAUAGCAGAUAACAUGAAUAGGAUGGCUGCAUGGUUACCUAUUAUAGAUAAAUUCAAGUCAAAAUUAUCUAAAUGGAAAGCAAGUAUGUUGUCGAUUGGUGGUAGAUUGAUCCUAACCAAGUGGGUUCUGGGCUCAUUGGGAACAUAUUUUAUGUCCAUGUUUCCCAUGUUGGUUCAAGUAAGAAAGGCUUUAGAGACGUUACGAGCUAAAUUCUUUUUGGGUUCUAUGGAUUUGAUAAAAAAAAAUCCCUUGGGUUUCUUGGAAUAUUAUCCUUGCUAGUAGAGAAAAAGGUGGAUUGCAAGUUGAGAGUUAACAUGCUCUUAAUGUAUCGUUGAUGCAGAAGUGGAGAUGGAGAUAUGUGCAUGAGAAGGAGGCGAUUUGGGUGCAAUUGAUUAAAGAGAUCUAUGGGAUAAGGAGCCAUAACCCGUUUGAUAAUUUGACAGUUCUAGGUGGUGGCGCUUGGUUGCGUAUAAUUGGAUCCAUUAACAGAUUACAUGAUAGUGGUAUCAUUCCUAGAUCAGUGAUGCAGAAGGAGAUAGGAGAUGGCAGAAGCACAAAAUUCUGGAUUGAUAAUUGGAUUGGUCCGAUGGCUUUCAAAGAUAUAUUUAAAAGGUUAUUCUAUUUGGAAUCUUCUCCUAAUUGUUUGGUUGCAGAUCGUUGGAAUGAAGGAUGGAAGUGGAAUUGGAAGAGACAAUUUGAUGGAGGCGCUUUAAAGAGAAAGCUUGGCGAACUCUUACUUAUAAUUAACCAAGUCACUAUUUCUCAUGAUAAAGAUAUAUGGAGAUGGAAUCUAGAUGGUCAAAGUGAGUUCACGGUUAAUGAAGCGAGACGAUACAUUGACAGAUUAACCUUACCAGAAAACUUUUUGGAGACUCGGUGGAAUCGUUUUAUUCCUUCAAAAGUAAAUAUUUGUGGAUGGAGAAUUCGGCUUGAUACAAUCCCGACUAGAUGGAAUUUGAGUAGGAAAGGAAUUCAAGUGGAGUCUAUUUUGUGUCGUAUAUGUUCCAGAGUGCUAUGGAGACAAGUGAUCAUAUCUUUAUUGCAUGUGGGCUAAGUAAAUCGAUAUAGGGUUUAAUAGGUCGAUGUUGUGAUGUUGAUACUAGGAACUGGUCCUCUACGAUGGAACUAUUUUAGUGGAUUGAUUCGGUUCAAGUUAUGGCAGGUAAAAGAGUUGUUCUUGAUGUGAUAUGUAGCGUGGGGCUGUGGAGCAUAUGGAGAAUCAGAAAUGAGCCGAUGUUUGGCAACAAAAUUCCAAAAAAAAAAAUUGGCUUUUUGAGGAUGUAAAACCCCAUUUUAAAUAAAAUAAUUAAAUAAUAAACCCGGGACCCCGAGAAGUAAUUUACUAUUAUUUUAUAUUAUUAUAGCCCAAAAUCGAAUAAUAAUUAGUGGGGUGUUGGUUUCGGGAAGCCAAAUGACAAGAUUUGAACCUCCAGGGGUUAAAGUGUAAUUUAGGGAUUUAUUUUGCAAAGGGUUUUAGAAGUCAGGGGUUUGGUAUCAUUUGGACUUAAUAUGAAAGGUUUUUGGAUGGUUGGGGCUAAAAGGGUAAAUUAUAUACCUAAGCUAAAAAGAAUUUGUCAUGGAGGGGCCAAAUGGUAAAUUUUGGGAUUUAAAUUGAAAGAAAAAAGGGUAGGAGGGACUAAGAGUGUCAUUAGGGACCAAAGUUUGGAUGUAUCGGGUAUAUAGUCAUCUACCCUUGUAGCCGUAACCCUAAUCGAAUGAUUAGCCGCCACCUUAUGCCUCCCUUCACACCAGCCGCCACCCUUCCCUCACCACCUCCGGCGACGCCUCCGUAACACUCCAAUGAACCACCGAACGACUGCCAUCACAACUCCAACGAUAGGAUUGAAGCUUGACAUCGUGGAUGAUGUUGUUGUUUUCUCAACCGCCGCCGUCGACGAAGCCGGAAGCCGCACCGUCGAGGACCGCCACUGUUACAUCCACUGCCAGCGAAGAAUGAGGAUCGAUGAGAAGGAACGUCGUGGCCGUUGGUAGAAGCCGGAAGAGCUGGACUGUGGUUGUCGUUGUCGCGAAACCUCCUUCUUUCCCGGUUCGUUGUUGCGACGCCACCAUUCUUCUCAUUCUCCUUCCGGGAAGCCGUUGCCGCCGUCGUUUAGUUCUCCCACUGCACCGGCCGUCAUCCGCCACCCCGAGGAGGCUACCUUUGUGUGUUUCAGCCUGUGUGUCGCAAGCAUGGGGGUGUUUUGGGUGCUGAUUGUGAUAUAAUGCACGAUUAACAUGAAAAGACCCGAAGACAAACCACCAUGGCCGCCGGCUAUAGUGGUUGCCGCCUUCUUGUGUAACCACUGUCGUCGUACGCCACCAGGUGGGUGGUUGGACUCGUUUACAAACAAAAGAGUGUAUGUGUGUGUGUGGUUAUCUUGGCCGGAUUUCAGGAGAAAAGCCACCACCACCACCACCGUGAGGUGGUGGCUGCCACCUAUAACCACCAUCUGCCGCCACAGGGCGGCUGUGUGUGUGAGUGUGUGUUGUCGGGAUUAUCUUGUAAAUUGUAAUCGGUGUCGGAACGAUAAUAAGAAAACUCUAUAUCACAACCGUAAGGUGGUGGCUGCCGCCAAUAGCCGUCGUGUUAGGUGGCGGUGUGCCUAGUCUGCGUUUUGACUCGUUUGAGAGGCUUGGACAGAAUGGGCCUGACAAAACCCUAGUGGGCCCAAUGAAACCCUAAUGGGCCCAAUGAAGCCCUAACUGACCUAAGAUCCCAACCAAGUGACUUAUGGGCUAGUAUUGGGUUGGAAACCCUAAUUAGAGUUUGGAAAACCCUAAUGUCAUGCAACCAUAAUUUUGGGGAUUGAUCGGGACCUACACUUGAAUUAAUUACUAAACUGAAAAUGUUAAUUAAUAACCAUUUGCAAAUUAACCUAAGGCAAUAUUGGACUUAAUGGAUUAAGCCCUUAAGGGGUUAAGUAGGAACACUUAACCCUAAUCUUCAUUUCAUGUGAAAACCCUAACUUCACUUGGGCCUUGAUUUGGGCCUUGGUAAUUGGACUAUUAAUAAGCUAUCUAAAAACAAGUAAAUGGACCAAAAUAAUUAGAUGGGUUUUAGGAUAAGGCCCAUGUGAAGGACUUGGGCCCAAUUUGGACAAUUGGGCCAUAGGUGGGUCAUAAAUUGGGCCUUGAUGAUUAUGUGAUGUUAGGCCAUUGGAAUAUCAAGAGUUUGGACUAGAAUAAAUGGAUGGGCCUCAAGGAAAGACCAGGUAGAGGUCUGGGCCCAGUUUGGAAAAUUGGGCCAUAUGUUGGGCUUUGGCCCAUUACUUGACUACCAUAUGUUGGGCUUUUGCCCAUUUGUCACACCCCCGAACCAGACGGCGGAAACGUCCGAGGGCUAUUCUGACUCAAUUGAAUACCAUCACAAUGAAUAUACAUGAAACAUAACAUCAUACAUUACCAAGCAUUGAAAUAUUACAACUGGUAGCGUUUACAUUCAGUACAUUGAUCCAUAAUAUUACAUGACCAAAAGUAAAUUGUUCGAUACUAAUUAAAACAACAGCAAGACGUUACUAAGUACAUUUUUCCUUUUCGAUUUACCUGUUACCUGAUAAUACAAGUAUUUUGAAAAACGUCAACAUAUGAAAUGUUGGUGAGUUUAUAAGUAAUGUUUGAAAUAUAGUGGUUUGUAUUGUUUUGAAAAUCACCAGAAAAUCCGAUAUUUUCUUAAAAGAGCAUAGUAUAAAAAGUGUGAAGAUCCGUAAGUAUGCUUGUUUGUUUCUAUAAAUGUAAAAGUACAAUUUGUUAAACUCGGUAUGCAUCUCGUAGGUGUAUUAAUUGAAAACCCUAGGAAAACCCGAUGUUUUCCUAAUAUUUUGAAUCAAGUGUUUUAUAUUUUGUUAUUUCGUUGCGACGUGUGUAUUCGUUGAGUCCCGGUGACAUUGGAUUAAUUAUGGAUUGUGAAUUGUUAUAAACACACAUUAAUGAAAAUGACUAGUUUACAACUAUACAAACGAUCCCUUAGGCGUCGUUCGCACUAUUCACUUAAUCCAAUCACCCGGACUUCUCAUAGCCCCACAACCGAGGAGGAAAAGAGGGUGCGAAGCCCCCGAUAUUUUCCAUAAGUCGUUCAAGGCUAUCGUGAAUGCGAAGGGCCCUUAGCCCGACUCGCAUUUGGUGAAUUCUCGACUUUACUAGCAGCACCAGAGGACCCUUGGGGUCCAACAGCACAAAGCCUGUAAAAGUCCUUUUACACGGAAUUAGGUCAUAUAAGACCCAACUACAUGUAAGCGAGUUUCCUUCGGGCCUAAAGAUCAUGUCAUUGGGCUAGCUAGGCCCAACAAGCACGAUUUGAAACUUUCGGGCCCAAAGACGGUGUAUCGACGUCUGGUGUAUUCCCACGUGUGUAUUGACUUCCCGAAAUUUCCGCGUGUGUAUUGAAUUCCCGAGAUUUCCGCGUGUGUAUUGAAGUAUCGUCGUGUUAUUAAUUUCGGAUUCAUUAUUGAUUCGAGACCGAAUCAAUUCGUUUGAUAACGAUUUUUGGUGUUGAAGGUGUAUUAUAUUUCGCCGAUAGUCGAGGUACUAGUAUUUCAUCAUGUCGGAUUUAUUGUUUAAAACAUUAGAAUUUUACAUUUUUCAGCCCCUUUCUUUUGGAUAAAUUUACACUUUUGACCCUUUGUAUAAAAGAAUUUCUAUUUUAGUCCUUAAACCAUUUUUCUUGACACUUUAGUAUCAAAACUUGUAGAAAAGGUAUUUUUCAGCUCAAAGUUAUUUGAAAAACAGUUUUAGUCCCUCAAAUGAAAUUUUUCUCGGCUGAAACCCUUAUUUUCGCAAUUUUUACACUUUUGGCCCAAAGUAGAAAAUUUUUGCAUCUUUGGUCCCUUUUAAAUAUGAAAAGCAUUUUUAACCCUUGAAAUGGACUUGGAGCACUAGUAGUCCCCUGUUUUACAGAAAAAUACAGUUUCAGCCCCUCUAAUUUGAAAAUCUCGCAAUUUGGGCUUUAUUGGGCCGAAAAGUUCAUUUUUGGCCCAUUAUGCUUAAAAUUUCACAUUUUAAUCCUUCAAAAGAGAAUAUUUCCAGAAAAUACAUUGUUGAAACUGUUUUGACUCAUUUCAUCCAUCAGAAUUAGUAUUUUGUCAUUUUGGGCCCUUUAACCUUAUAUUUUUAACAUUUUGAGUCCAAAAAUGGGAUUUUUAGCCCAAGGAGUUCAUGUUAACCAACUUAGUUAUUUUUCUAGAAAUGAUUUGUGUGUAAUAAUAUGUUUUAUACUUGUUUCAUACAUCCUAAUGCAAAUCUCGGUUUUAAGGACUUUUUGACUAGAUUCAACACCAUAAUCACAUAAGAACAUGUAAAUAAACAUAGAAAUCAUACAAAGCAUACAUAUACUCAUAGAUCUACACAUUUGCUUGUAUUCUCCCCCCACAAAACUCAUAAAAACCGAAAAAUAGGGGGUAUGAAGCUCACCUUUGGGUGUGGUUUCGGCUUUUAGAAAAAGUGAGAAGAAAGUUUGGCCUUAGUACCUCUCCUUGGAAGAUCUCGAACUUAGAGAGUUUCUAGGAGAGUGAUCAAGAUUUUUACAUGGAUUAGAAGAAGAUUUUGAUAAAACAAAGUACCAAAAUCAUAGAUCCUAACUUGAUCUUACCUUAAGUGGAGAAUUUGUGGAGAUAUUUUCUUGAAAGCUCCUUAGAUCUCGAAAUUUAGGAGGAGAAAUGAGAGAGUUUCUUGAGAGAAAUGAUGAGUGAAAUGUGUGUGUGUGUGUGCUUGAAGUCGGCUGAGAGCAAGAGAGAGAGAAAGAAAUAGAUCUUGAGGUGAUAUAUGCAUGGUAGUAUGAGAUAGGUUGCAUGGAGAACCAACAUGCAAAAGUGAGGUGGCUAUGAAAGUCAACUCUCCCUUUUUCAUGGGCUUGGGCCGAAAUUUGAAGAGAAGAAAAAGAUUUUUGGGCUUUAUUGCCUCUAAGCCCAUACUAGAGUUAAGUUGAAUGGUUGUUGGCCCUAUAAAAUAUAAGUGUGAUUUUUAUACUUUGUUGGGCUAGUUUAGGUUAAUUAUGGUUCAUAAUGGUUCAUAAUAUUUAAUUUAUUUCAUUCUAGGCCCAAUAUGACCCAAAAUGUUGAAAUAAAUGAAAGUGGGUCCAAUUAGAGCCCAUUUAAGGAUUCUAAGCCCAAGAUAGUCAAAUUGGAAGCUUAUUGGUCCAUUGGGCCCAAUAAGGAAGUCCUAGUCCAAAGUGGACCUAAACAAGAACUUCUAGGGUUUCCCAUUUGCUUGUUGACUAUUUGUAAUGCUUGUAUGGUGUAUUAGAUUGCAAAUUUUGAUGUCAUAAAGUAAGCAUCAUACAUGCUCUUAAGACUUUGAUUCAUAAUUUUUACUAAAUUGUUGUAGUUUGUAACAACCCGAAGUUGUUCGUCACCGAAAACCUAUUCUACCCGUAUAGCUUGCCGUAUAUCGGUUCGUUCCGAUGUUGUUUUUGAGUCGAAUAAAUUAAACUUAUAUGUUUAAUUGAUUCUAAUGAGUGUCCAAACCUGUUAGGAACUCACGAAACGAACCCAAAAUGCUUAUUCCAAAAAUUUUAGAAUCAAUCCCGCCAAGUCACGGAAACUUAAUCGGGUGCGGCCUAAAGCCCCGUUUAGUGCCGGUAUCGGGUAGAAUUCCACCGUGUCCAAAUUCCUCGACCUAUAUAAACAUGUUUCAGCUUCCAUUUGAAGCUUUUGCUUCCUCUCUCUACUCUCUCUCUAACUUCUCUUUUAAAUCUAACUUCAAGGGUCCAAAACUCACUUUUAAGGCCUCAAAUCCCUAAGGUACCUUUCUAACUUCAUUGUAUAGCAUAUUAGACCUUCAAAUCCGGGAUUGAAACAUAAAAUUUGGCCUUGUAUAUGAGUUUACGGCCCAGGCAGAUGCCUAGGCCGUAAACACUAAGUUUGAAGGGUUUUAAGCCCUUAAACCCCUCCUAGACAAUGUUGGGACCUAGAUAUGGCUAAAUGACUUCAUGGAAUGGAUUUAUAACCUUUUAAUCAUGCAUUUUGAAGGGUUUGAAGGAGUUUACGGCCAAGCCUCAUGCUUAGGCCGUAAACUCAUAUAAUUGGGACUUUUAGGACCUUAAACCCCUCCAAUUCACUUGUAAGGCUUAGAUAUGAAUUUUAGGAUAAUGGUUUUAGCAUUUGGACACCUUAAACAUAAUUUUAGAAGGAUUUAUGUGAGUUUACGGCCAAGGCAUGUGCUUGGGCCGUAAACUCCUUGAAACAUGGUAUAAAUUCAAUUUCAAGGUGUUAGAAAGCCAUCCAACACCACCAAAAGCCUUGGAAUAAAUCAUAGGACCAACCAAAAAUAGUUUAAGAACCUUAAACACAUUAUUUGAGGGAUUUAUAUGAGUUUACGGCCAAGGCUUGUGCUUGGGCCGUAAACUCCUUGAUUCAUGGUGUUAGAAUGCCACCUAAACACCCCUAAAGCCUUGGAAUGAAUUUUAGAAGUCCUUACAAUCAAGUUCUUGGCCUUAAAACACAUGGAAUCACUCUCUAAGAGAGUUUACGGCCAUGAGAGGGGUCUCAUAGGCCGUAAACUCCAAAAACCCAUUCAAAACAUCAAGUAAUUGCAUGUAUGGCCUUGGGAUAAAUUUACCAAUCACAUGUGAUUUGUUUUAACAUCAUUUAACACCUUUUUCUUGGAUAUUUAGGAGUUUACACCCAGGAGCCUAUGCUAGGCCGUAAACUCCCAUAAAUAAGUCAAAAUGAGGUUAAAAAUCCAUUCCAAUACUUUAAUCCAAGCCUAGAAAAAUUCCCCUAAGUGUAUGAAGUCAUUUUUGCCCAUAAACCACCCCACCAUGAGUUUACGGCCGUAAACUCAUGGGGAAUGGGAGUUUUAGACCUUAAACUCUUGUAUGAGUUUAUUCAUGGACAAUAAACUCAAGUUCCAAGUCCUUAGUGCCAUUACACGUCCUUAAAUGCCACCCGGGUCCCUCCAAACGCUUGUUUCGGGAUGAUUUCACGACUAGAAGUUUUGGUCCCUAACAAUCGAAUAAUCUAGUCCUAAUUAGAUACAAAUGUGUAUCUUGUCAUUAUACAUAGGAACCUCGUGCGUUUGCAAGUCCCGAACCAUUGUUUGACGUCCGAAAUCAUCACAUUUCUCGUCCGGUGAGUUCAUACCCCUACCCUUUUUCACUGUUUUUAACUGUUUUCAGGGGGGCGGAAUACAAGCAAAAGUACGAGUGUAUCUUGUACUUAAACUGAUUUUCAACUUAAUGGUUUCAGUUUAUAAAUGUCUUGAUUUUUAAAGAUUUAGAUAACUGAUGUUUCGAAUUGCAGGUUAAAUAUAGAUUUCUUUUGAAAAGUGUUUCGAUCUAAAUUGAUUUUAUAAAGAAAUCAUUCUAACACGAAUAAUAUGAAUGUAGCUUAGUAUGAAUACGAAUACGAAUACGAAUAUGAAUACGAAUGCGAACACGACUACGAAUGCGAAGUGACGCCUUUGGUUGACACAAAGACUUCGAUUAUACAGUUGUUGUACCCUCUGAGUGUCACCAGAGUUUCGAAAACGAAUACGAAAAAUAUGCCUUUGAUCCUCUACUGAGCUUCAAGUAUAUCCGCCUCAGAAUGUUGACAGAGCUUCGAAUACACAACGAAAUGUACUCUUUUGGAACUUAGCAGAACUUCGAAAAUACUGUAGUGUACGCUUCUGUGUGGUUCCAAAACUUCGAAAAUACAACAAAGUUAGUAGAUAGUAGCCAUCUGAAGAUAGAAUAACUAAGGGUUAGAAUACUUAACUAAUGCUAUACAUACGGUAACAACUAGUAACGAACGUAGAAAACGAGCAGACAACUCAACACAUAGGAAAAUAUGGGAUUUUCCUGGGUAGUACAUUAACACAUAAUCGAAUCAGCGUCGUAACAAAUCACGAAAUACUAUGGGAGUAUUUCUCGAGCCAAUCCUUGGUAGAAAUCCUCGUUCAUGCAUUGUUCUUUGAUCAUUCCCUUAGCGAUAAUUUUCCCGCUUUGAUAACUCUUUCCUGCUUUAUCGCUUGUUAGCAUAUAUCUGUCAUAUCUCUUGAUUCAAUUCAGAGGACUUAUCAUCCUCUCUUCCUUGAUCUUAUUAGAUCAAAAUGCCUCCAAGAAAGAGACCCAGCUCUAAGACCAACAACCCUCCGUCACCACCUCCUCUUCAAAUCGAUCUGGAAACUCUUCAAGCAACCAUUUCUGCCACAAUAUCAGCUCUCCCACCUCAAUUUAACCCCAAUGGUCCAGGAAGUGGUUCCCAAAACCAAGAAGGUAAUCAAGGACACCGGAAGGAGUGUUCCUAUAAAGACUUUAUGAACGCAAAACCCACAUUCUUCGAUGGCACAGGGGGUGUCAUUGCUCUAACUCGGUGGUUAGAGAAAAUCGAAUCUGUUUUCGAGAUCUGUGCCUGUUCGGAUUCCGACAAAGUAAAGUUUGCCGCCUGUACUCUCCUCGAUAAAGCUUUGACUUGGUGGAACGGCCGAGUCAAAUCCCUGACCUUAUCUGUAGCUAAUGCUAUGGGAUGGGAAGUAAUGAAGGAACUACUACGUGCGGAGUAUUGCCCUCGGGGUGAAAUCCAGAAGCUGGAACACGAGCUAUGGAACCUGAAGAUGAAAGGUUCCGAUAUCGCCUCUUACACUUCAAGGUUUGAUGACCUGGCACUCCUUUGUCCGGGAAUGGUUACCCCAGAAAGCAAAAAGGUAGAAAGGUUCAUUUGGGGAUUAACCCAGCCAACAAAAGGGAACGUUAUAGCAGCAAAGCCAGAUACCUAUGACAGCGCCAAAUGUCUAGCGCAAACCCUGAUCGACCACAGCGAAAACCAAGAAGAAGCAGAUGCCACUCCCGAGCCAACAGAAAAGAGUGGCGAGAAAANNNNNNNNNNNNNNNNNNNNNNNNNNNNNNNNNNNNNNNNNNNNNNNNNNNNNNNNNNNNNNNNNNNNNNNNNNNNNNNNNNNNNNNNNNNNNNNNNNNNNNNNNNNNNNNNNNNNNNNNNNNNNNNNNNNNNNNNNNNNNNNNNNNNNNNNNNNNNNNNNNNNNNNNNNNNNNNNNNNNNNNNNNNNNNNNNNNNNNNNNNNNNNNNNNNNNNNNNNNNNNNNNNNNNNNNNNNNNNNNNNNNNNNNNNNNNNNNNNNNNNNNNNNNNNNNNNNNNNNNNNNNNNNNNNNNNNNNNNNNNNNNNNNNNNNNNNNNNNNNNNNNNNNNNNNNNNNNNNNNNNNNNNNNNNNNNNNNNNNNNNNNNNNNNNNNNNNNNNNNNNNNNNNNNNNNNNNNNNNNNNNNNNNNNNNNNNNNNNNNNNNNNNNNNNNNNNNNNNNNNNNNNNNNNNNNNNNNNNNNNNNNNNNNNNNNNNNNNNNNNNNNNNNNNNNNNNNNNNNNNNNNNNNNNNNNNNNNNNNNNNNNNNNNNNNNNNNNNNNNNNNNNNNNNNNNNNNNNNNNNNNNNNNNNNNNNNNNNNNNNNNNNNNNNNNNNNNNNNNNNNNNNNNNNNNNNNNNNNNNNNNNNNNNNNNNNNNNNNNNNNNNNNNNNNNNNNNNNNNNNNNNNNNNNNNNNNNNNNNNNNNNNNNNNNNNNNNNNNNNNNNNNNNNNNNNNNNNNNNNNNNNNNNNNNNNNNNNNNNNNNNNNNNNNNNNNNNNNNNNNNNNNNNNNNNNNNNNNNNNNNNNNNNNNNNNNNNNNNNNNNNNNNNNNNNNNNNNNNNNNNNNNNNNNNNNNNNNNNNNNNNNNNNNNNNNNNNNNNNNNNNNNNNNNNNNNNNNNNNNNNNNNNNNNNNNNNNNNNNNNNNNNNNNNNNNNNNNNNNNNNNNNNNNNNNNNNNNNNNNNNNNNNNNNNNNNNNNNNNNNNNNNNNNNNNNNNNNNNNNNNNNNNNNNNNNNNNNNNNNNNNNNNNNNNNNNNNNNNNNNNNNNNNNNNNNNNNNNNNNNNNNNNNNNNNNNNNNNNNNNNNNNNNNNNNNNNNNNNNNNNNNNNNNNNNNNNNNNNNNNNNNNNNNNNNNNNNNNNNNNNNNNNNNNNNNNNNNNNNNNNNNNNNNNNNNNNNNNNNNNNNNNNNNNNNNNNNNNNNNNNNNNNNNNNNNNNNNNNNNNNNNNNNNNNNNNNNNNNNNNNNNNNNNNNNNNNNNNNNNNNNNNNNNNNNNNNNNNNNNNNNNNNNNNNNNNNNNNNNNNNNNNNNNNNNNNNNNNNNNNNNNNNNNNNNNNNNNNNNNNNNNNNNNNNNNNNNNNNNNNNNNNNNNNNNNNNNNNNNNNNNNNNNNNNNNNNNNNNNNNNNNNNNNNNNNNNNNNNNNNNNNNNNNNNNNNNNNNNNNNNNNNNNNNNNNNNNNNNNNNNNNNNNNNNNNNNNNNNNNNNNNNNNNNNNNNNNNNNNNNNNNNNNNNNNNNNNNNNNNNNNNNNNNNNNNNNNNNNNNNNNNNNNNNNNNNNNNNNNNNNNNNNNNNNNNNNNNNNNNNNNNNNNNNNNNNNNNNNNNNNNNNNNNNNNNNNNNNNNNNNNNNNNNNNNNNNNNNNNNNNNNNNNNNNNNNNNNNNNNNNNNNNNNNNNNNNNNNNNNNNNNNNNNNNNNNNNNNNNNNNNNNNNNNNNNNNNNNNNNNNNNNNNNNNNNNNNNNNNNNNNNNNNNNNNNNNNNNNNNNNNNNNNNNNNNNNNNNNNNNNNNNNNNNNNNNNNNNNNNNNNNNNNNNNNNNNNNNNNNNNNNNNNNNNNNNNNNNNNNNNNNNNNNNNNNNNNNNNNNNNNNNNNNNNNNNNNNNNNNNNNNNNNNNNNNNNNNNNNNNNNNNNNNNNNNNNNNNNNNNNNNNNNNNNNNNNNNNNNNNNNNNNNNNNNNNNNNNNNNNNNNUAAAUCUAACUUCAAGGGUCCAAAACUCACUUUUAAGGCCUCAAAUCCCUAAGGUACCUUUCUAACUUCAUUGUAUAGCAUAUUAGACCUUCAAAUCCGGGAUUGAAACAUAAAAUUUGGCCUUGUAUAUGAGUUUACGGCCCAGGAAGAUGCCUAGGCCGUAAACACUAAGUUUGAAGGGUUUUAAGCCCUUAAACCCCUCCUAGACAAUGUUGGGACCUAGAUAUGGCUAAAUGACUUCAUGGAAUGGAUUUAUAACCUUUUAAUCAUGCAUUUUGAAGGGUUUGAAGGAGUUUACGGCCAAGCCUCAUGCUUAGGCCGUAAACUCAUAUAAUUGGGACUUUUAGGACCUUAAACCCCUCCAAUUCACUUGUAAGGCUUAGAUAUGAAUUUUAGGAUAAUGGUUUUAGCAUUUGGACACCUUAAACAUAAUUUUAGAAGGAUUUAUGUGAGUUUACGGCCAAGGCAUGUGCUUGGGCCGUAAACUCCUUGAAACAUGGUAUAAAUUCAAUUUCAAGGUGUUAGAAAGCCAUCCAACACCACCAAAAGCCUUGGAAUAAAUCAUAGGACCAACCAAAAAUAGUUUAAGAACCUUAAACACAUUAUUUGAGGGAUUUAUAUGAGUUUACGGCCAAGGCUUGUGCUUGGGCCGUAAACUCCUUGAUUCAUGGUGUUAGAAUGCCACCUAAACACCCCUAAAGCCUUGGAAUGAAUUUUAGAAGUCCUUACAAUCAAGUUCUUGGCCUUAAAACACAUGGAAUCACUCUCUAAGAGAGUUUACGGCCAUGAGAGGGGUUUCAUAGGCCGUAAACUCCAAAAACCCAUUCAAAACAUCAAGUAAUUGCAUGUAAGGCCUUGGGAUAAAUUUACCAAUCACAUGUGAUUUGUUUUAACAUCAUUUAACACCUUUUUCUUGGAUAUUUAGGAGUUUACGGCCAGGAGCCUAUGCUAGGCCGUAAACUCCCAUAAAUAAGUCAAAAUGAGGUUAAAAAUCCAUUCCAAUACUUUAAUCCAAGCCUAGAAAAAUUCCCCUAAGUGUAUGAAGUCAUUUUUGCCCAUAAACCACCCCACCAUGAGUUUACGGCCGUAAACUCAUGGGGAAUGGGAGUUUUAGACCUUAAACUCUUGUAUGAGUUUAUUCAUGGGCAAUAAACUCAAGUUCCAAGUCCUUAGUGCCAUUACACGUCCUUAAAUGCCACCCGGGUCCCUCCAAACGCUUGUUUCGGGAUGAUUUCACGACUAGAAGUUUUGGUCCCUAACAAUCGAAUAAUCUAGUCCUAAUUAGAUACAAAUGUGUAUCUUGUCAUUAUACAUAGGAACCUCGUGCGUUUGCAAGUCCCGAACCGUUGUUUGACGUCCGAAAUCAUCACAUUUCUCGUCCGGUGAGUUCAUACCCCUACCCUUUUUCACUGUUUUUAACUGUUUUCAGGGGGGCGGAAUACAAGCAAAAGUACAAGUGUAUCUUGUACUUAAACUGAUUUUCAACUUAAUGGUUUCAGUUUAUAAAUGUCUUGAUUUUUAAAGAUUUAGAUAACUGACGUUUCGAAUUGCAGGUUAAAUAUAGAUUUCUUUUGAAAAGUGUUUCGAUCUAAAUUGCUUUUAUAAAGAAAUCAUUCUAACACGAAUAAUACGAAUGUAGCUUAGUAUGAAUACGAAUACGAAUACGAAUAUGAAUACGAAUGUGAACACGACUACGAAUGCGAAGUGAUGCCUUUGGUUGACACAAAGACUUCGAUUAUACAGUUGUUGUACCCUCUGAGUGUCACCAGAGUUUCGAAAACGAAUACGAAAAAUAUGCCUCUGAACCUCUACUGAGCUUCAAGUAUAUCCGCCUCAGAUUGUUGACAGAGCUUCGAAUACACAACGAAAUGUACUCUUUUGGAACUUAGCAGAACUUCGAAAAUACAGUAAUGUACGCUUCUGUGUGGUUCCAAAUAUUCGAAAAUACAACGAAGUUAGUAGAUAGUAGCCAUCCGAAGGUAGAACAACUAAGGGUUAGAAUACAUAACUGAUGCUAUAUAUACGGUAACAAAUAGUAACAAAUUAGAAACGAAUAGACAACUCAACAUAUAGGAAAAUAUGGGAUUUUCCUGCGGUAACAUAACAGUUAGUAACAAACCUAGAAAUGAUCACACAACUCAACAUAUAGGAAAAUAUGGUAUUUUCCUGGAUAGUACAUUAACACACANCGAAUAAAGUAAAAAGUGAAUAACUAAAACUAUAAGGAAAAUAUGGGAUUUUCCUGGAUCGACAUAACCAACGUUUUCGAAAUUGUACAAAGGAUAACCAAACUGUUUUCAUAAGAAAAUAUGGGAUUUUCUUGAACAACAACUUUUCAGAAACAAAGGAACUCGUUCUUUCAAAACUAAACCGCUUAUGAACUCACCAGCUUUAUGCUGAUUUUCAAACUGCGUGUAUUCUCAGGUCAGAGAUAGACAGGUACACCGCAACCUUUUGGAGAAGACGGAGCAUCCCGAAGUCUCGUCUUUGCUUUUGUUUAUAUUACUUAUGUAAAACACUUGUGCAACUUUACUUUUGAACCGAUGUAAACAAUAUGAUGUAAUGUAAUGUUUUGUGAUUACUACUUUACUAUGUGCAUUGGAUUUGAUACUCAACGUGGAGUCAAGCCCGGAAACGUUUCCGCCUUUGGUUUUCGGGGUGUGACAUAGUUACAAGGCACAAAAUUUCUAGUUGUGACACCAUUACUUGACUAUUGGGCCUUUGGAGUGUGAGUUGGACCUUGGGCUUAGAACCCAAUUAUUAAUUGGGUAUUGUUUAAUGUUGGCAGUUCGGAAAUCUGUCAACAAGCAGCUAGAGUUUCAUCUGCGGGACUUCAGCAGUGCCAGGGGAGUUAUCCUCACUAUACUAAGGGGUCUAAGGCACCAAGGUCGGUGCAUUGGAUAUGAUAUCCUAGCAGUUGGUAUUAUGUUAAGUAUGAGUUAGUUAUGCAUGCUAGUCUGCUAUACUAAAGGGUAGGUCUGUAGGACUACCUGUGAUAUUGUCUUUUAUUUGUAUGUGCACUUAUUUGUUAUAUAUUGACAUAUUAUACGGGUUGGGUUGAGGUUGUACAGCCCCGUACAGUAGCCAACAAACCCUAGAGUAUUCCAAAUAUGAGCUGAGGGCCGGGACGAGCAUGUCAAACUCAUACUGAGGACUCGGGAGCAUUCCAGAUACGAGCUGAGGGCCGGGUAUGGCAUUCCAGACUCGUAUUGUGGGCUCGGGAGCAUUUCAUAGACGACCUGAGGGCCGGGUAGGGCAUACCAGACUCGUACUGUGGGCUCGGUAGCAAUCCAAAUGUGAGAUGUGGGCCCGGAAGGCAAGCCAGACUCACACUAUGGGCCCAGGGGUAAUCCAGUCGGUAAAGUUGUGGACCCAAUACAUGUUGUUAUGUGUAUAUAUGUGUUAUUUGCAGUGUAUCGGUAUUUUUUGGGUAACUCACUAAGCCUUCGAGCUUACAUUUAUUGAUUAUUGUUUCAUGUACUUCUGAGAAUCGCGGGAAGGCAAAGGCGUGAUCUACAGCUCCUCACAUUUUAUUACUAUGUUUCUGGGAUACUCUAAUAACGAACUGUUUUGAAAACAAAUUGGUAAUAACUGUUGGUUUCUAAAUGUUUCAAAAAGUUUAAAUUUGUCAUGAUUUUUAUGGGUGUUAUAGAGGAUAUAGUAGAUAAUUCGUUUUUAUGGUUUGUGAAUAGAAACUAUAAAUCUAAUGUUUUUUGGAACAACUAGAUCCAAAAUCCUUUCUUAACUAUCUCUUUGUAAUAUGGUUGUUCUUUCUUAGCCUUGGCUAGUUUUAUAAUAUUAUAGUUGUUCAAAAAAAAUAGUAAACACAAAUAAUUCAAUACAAAUCCAAAAUGGUAACUACUAUUCAAUACUUCAACAAAAUGAUAGUAAUUACUAAAUAUCCACAAAAUGAUAGGUACUAUCUAAGUAUCCAAAACUUCAUCCAAAUAAUAGUGUGGUGGGACAAAUCGCCGAUGGCUAGAGGUUGUUUGGGGAGUCGUCGACCAUGGUUUGGGGAGACCGGUACAUUUUUUUUCAUCCAAAUGUAAAAAGCGGCUAGGUUAAACGAGAGUAAGGGCUUUUGAUUUUGUUGGAAAUCUGUCGAAACUUUCCAAAAAAUUUACAACAGAAGCCAAAAGAAUAAAUAAACAACUAAAGCUGGAAGGAACUAAACUUGGCGUUUUGUUUGAAAAGUCUUGUUUUUAUUAACUUCAUAACAAAUUAAUGUUUUUAUUUGUUUUCUAGGUUUUUUGUUUUCUUAUUAUUUCUAAUGUAAAUAACUUCAUAAUUUUAGUUUUUUUAUCCAAUUCAAAUUCUAUAUUUUUAGUUUUUUUGUAAUAAUUGUUUUUAUUUUUUUUAUAUAAUGUAUAUUAAAAUUUAAAAAAAAUAACUCCAAAUAUUAGGAGGGAGAAGCAAAGACAAAAGGUGGGAAAAUGUUUUCCAUUCCCGCUAUUAUUUUUUCUAUGAAUUUCCAACAAAAUACUAAUUUAAAAUAUUAAUUAAUAUUUUCGUUGUUGUCUUGUAGGAAAAUAGCUACACUUUUACAAAGGAAUAUUUAAGGUAUCUAUUAUGGUGGGUAUUUUGUUGGAAUUUUGUUGCACUACUUUUGUUGCAAUUUUGUAGGAAACUAGAUGGAUAUUUCCAACAAAAUUGUUUUGCCGGAAAUAUUUAGUAGCUAAAACCAAAAUUUCUAGUAGUGCGUGCGUUCCAAAUGAACAUGCCCAUACUGCGAAAUCAUGUUCCAAAGUCAAUCUAUACAAAUUUAAAGCACAAGCUUUUCUAGCAGGAAAACAAAAAAUAGAAAGAGAAAAACUUACCGUUGAUGGAGGACGAAGAUCAUGCAGGAACGACAAGGAUGGAGCUUGGGCGGAGGCGUUUCAGGAGGUAGCAACGGAGGAGAUGUCGUCGGAGGACAUAAAUCGUAAAUGCAUGGGAAGCAAUGUUGGCAAGGAGAAGAAGAAUAAGCGCAAAUAAGGGAGAAUAAGGUUUCGUUCUCGGUCACGGUGUCUGACGUAUAUGCUGCAUAUGGACCGAAUAAGAGGUAUUAAACGGUGUUAUCAAACAACCUGGAUUGAGGCAGAUGAAAGGUCUGACUGACCCAAUCAGAUUCAAAUCAAACAGGCCCUCACUCUAAUGUAUAUAUAUAUAUAUAUAUAUAUAUAUAUAUAUAUAUAUAUAUNACAAAGAAAAUAUGUAGUUUUAUAAUGUGAAUACGUUCAAUUUUACAUAACUAUUAUCAUUAUCACACAUUCUCACUAAUUAAAUUGUCUAUAAGGUUAUUAUAAACUUUUUAUUAUUAUUCUCAUUUUUUCAAAAUGUUGUCAGAGUCGUAUUCUGUAAGAAUGAAAAUUAGUAAAAAAAAGAUGCCUGAAAACAAAAAUGAAUAAAAAUUAGUGAAAUGCAUGAAAAUGACGAUAGUUGUGUGAGGUUAAACGUAUUCAUAUUAACAAACAACCUAUUUUCUUAGUAAUUCUCAUAGAAUAACAUUAUCCACAUAUCCGCACAAUAGUUUUCCAUCCACAUUAUAACAUAUAUAUAUAUAUAUANNNNNNNNNNNNNNNNNNNNNNNNNNNNNNNNNNNNNNNNNNNNNNNNNNNNNNNNNNNNNNNNNNNNNNNNNNNNNNNNNNNNNNNNNNNNNNNNNNNNNNNNNNNNNNNNNNNNNNNNNNNNNNNNNNNNNNNNNNNNNNNNNNNNNNNNNNNNNNNNNNNNNNNNNNNNNNNNNNNNNNNNNNNNNNNNNNNNNNNNNNNNNNNNNNNNNNNNNNNNNNNNNNNNNNNNNNNNNNNNNNNNNNNNNNNNNNNNNNNNNNNNNNNNNNNNNNNNNNNNNNNNNNNNNNNNNNNNNNNNNNNNNNNNNNNNNNNNNNNNNNNNNNNNNNNNNNNNNNNNNNNNNNNNNNNNNNNNNNNNNNNNNNNNNNNNNNNNNNNNNNNNNNNNNNNNNNNNNNNNNNNNNNNNNNNNNNNNNNNNNNNNNNNNNNNNNNNNNNNNNNNNNNNNNNNNNNNNUAUAUAUAUAUAUAUAUAUAUAUAUUAUCAUCCAAUUAUUAAUGAUGUUGUAUGCUUCCGAAAAGAUCUCCAAGCUAAUGCUCACAGAGAGAGUAGUCUAAAGUAUUUUUGCAAAAAAUUCAAGAAGAAUAUCACAAGAAUAUAUCAUUACUCAUUUAAUGCAAACACCUAUCAAAUUCCGAGGAUAUUAAUUCACAAUAUUAUUUAACACGUGCAACCCUCCUGGUCGUGGAACCAUAUUGUGUCACUGUUAUAUAACAUCAUCUAUAAUUCGUCAAAAGUUGUAGUAGGUAUGAUGCCAUCAUUUGUAAAAAUUGAAGGAAAUUAUUAGUAAAACAUGCCAAGGAUGUUGAUGUUCCUGCAAUUUUCUCAUUUCGUUAUUUAUUAAUGAAACAAAAAAAUGUGAAAAACACACAACUCCAUUAGAUAUAUAUACCCCUACAUGAGAGACCCUUAUCCUUGGAAUAAGUUACACUUUCUAACUUCUUCUAAGCAUACUAAUUUCCCUAAAAUAUUAAAUUUAGAUUCCAUAGAUCAUUAAACUAAAAUCCCUAAAUCAGAUAUCAUAUUUAUGAAAGAGAAAUUAAAUAUCUAUAUACUUUUUGUUCCUAUUAUCUUCCUACCUAUUUAUUUUAGAUGAUGAUAAGUGUUAUUAAAUUUAACUUAAAUUUGAUUAGGAUGUUAAAUUUGUACAUUUGUCAUCAUCUUAAAUAGGUAUGAAAAAAAUAGGAACAAAAUGUAAGAACAUAUUUAAUUUCUCUUUACGAAAAUAGGUAAUGAUGAACAAAAAUUGAACCGACUAAUAAAAACCCGACAAAACCGCAAAAAACCGCAAACGAAAAGCCGAAACCGAUACAAAAACCGAUGGUGUGGAUUUCGUUUUCCCAAAAACCGAAGGUCUGUAGGUCGGUGCAGUUUUUAUCAAGAAACCGGUCCACCAAAACCGAACUGCACAAAUGGCAUAUAAAAUAAUAAAUUACUAAUUUAUAUCAUAUAAUAAAUAAAUAUUAUUUAAAAUAUUAAGAAAUAUUAUUACAUAUUAUAUUUUGAGAUUGACGGUAUUUUUAGCCGUUUAAUCACAAUUCAAACUUUCAAAAUAUAUUAUUGGUCAAACUUAAUUUCUAUUUUGUUUUUAUUGUAUAUUUAAAACCACAACAUGUCGCUUAAUGAUUACAUUUGUGUUAUAAGGUUAUACCAAAGUCAAACAAAGUUCAACUCUUAAUAUAUUAGUCACCUGUUGUAUUUAAAUCCAUAUUUGUUUUGGGUUGAAAAUUAACUUUUGCAUAUGAACAUUUUUGAAAAAUGUAAAAUAAAAAACGCACCAUAAAAUAAACAUCAAAAAUACCGCACCCAACCAUAUAUUAAGAAUGUAAAAAAAAAAAAAAAAAAAAAAAAAAAAAAAAAAAAAAAAAAGAUAUAUCAAAAAAAGAGAAAAAAAAAAGCACACCAUACAAUAAACAUCAAAAAACCACACCAAUAAACAUUGAAAACCGCACCAAAGUUUAGACUUUAUUAAAAACUGACAUCAGAUCGAUACAAACCGAAACCGCACUUAAAAACUACAAAACCAAGUCAUUGGCAAACCGCACCCAAACGGUUUUAAAAAUGCAAAAACGCACCUUGCGGUUUGCGGUUCGGUUUGACUUUAAAACGACACCAUGUUCACCCCUAAAAAUAAGCGUAGUAUCCAAAAUAAACAGAGAGACUUGCGGCCAUUACAUAUAAUAUACGUAAAGAGAAUAGGGGAAUACAUUAUUAUUGAUGUGAUUUAAUGCGUAUACAUAUCACAAUCUAUGCAAAUAGGUGAAAAGUUUGGGGGUUACUACAUCUUAAAAUUUUUGGUUAUUUUGGGAUAUGAUUCAUAACCCUACAAAGAAUAUAUAUAUAGAGAAAAAGAAAGAAUAUAGAGAGAAAAAUAACAUAGAAUGGUGGGUCUACUUGCUCUUUAUUUUUCUUUUGGUACAGAGGAAAAGAUAAUGAUGGUGUCCACAUGUGGUUUAAUUUUCUUCUCAUAUAAACAAAUAUAGGAUACAUAAACAGUUUUGACAUCUUUUAUUAAUAAAGUUAAAAGAGGAAUUAAAUUGGUUCUUAUUUUUUUUAUAACUACAUAUAUACUUACCCACUAAUACAAUGACAAUUGGCAUUAUUCUGCCAUCCAUUUUAAUAUAUUUUGCUAUCCCUAGUAUACCCUUAAUAAAUUAAGAUAACUGGAAAAAAAAAAAAAAACUCACGUAAUCAGAUGCAUCUCUUCCCUUUUCAUCGAUUAUUCCCUUAUGAUCUUCCAUCGCCACCUGAUCGAAUUAGUUGAGUACAAAACAAAUGCCCCAAUGAUUCAGCUACUCCCCUUCCCCUCUAAGCGCAACUCCAGAUUCACCCCAAGUCCCCAAUAAUCGACCACCAACAAACAUGAUUCUUGGGGAUUUUCUUUUUUGUUGAUGCACCAAAAAUUAAAUCGAAUACUUUUCCUGAUUCUCAGGUAUUCAUCCAUCCCAUUGAAAGGUAAUUCAUUGAUAUCCCUAUUAGUUCUUCACAAGGGGUAUGCAUAUACAUUAGGCCGAUGACAAAUAUGUCUUACUAAAGAAGAGUUUGAUUAUGGUAAUAACGUGUUUGAUGAAAUGCCUAGGAGAAGUUUCUUUUUCUGAUCUGUUACUCUUCUACAGGUUCAAACAGAAAUAUGCAAUGUUAAUAUGAAUCUAUGAUCUUUUUGCAAAUUUAUUUAGCUAAGCUUUUAUAUAUAUAUAUAUAUAUAUAUAUCCAGCCUUACACCUUCUAUUUGGCCAUGACACUUUCAUCAAUCACAAAUGUUGGAGACUUGGAGUCUUUUUAGUAAGUUAGAAUAUUUGAAGUUAUCAACUUGUCAUUGUUAAUAUAUUGAUGUUGUUGGUUUUAGGUUUUUAUAGCUUAUAUACAUCAAAUGUUGGUUUUUCACAAACCUUCAACCUGUGUUUGACAAUGGAACAGUAACAAGAAAAAAAAAACAGAGCACAAAGAUUGCCUAAAGCUUAUAGCUUUGUUGACUAAAUUAAAGAGAAGGGGUGAUUCCAUCAACGUACAUACUACUAACCUAUUUAAACUCAAAGAGUGCUAAGGUCUUCAGGGGGGUACAUGAAUUUCAUCUGUGCAUUCGUACAAAUCUGUAAGAAGCCUGAACCGUUUGGGAGCACCACCCCUGUAGAGCUAGAAGCGGUGCUCGGAGUUGCUGCCUGAGACGAUGAAUCGAUCGUAAUGGGAUCACUUUGUGCGACUGGGGUAUAUGGAGUAUUCGACGGUAUCGGACUACCUGGUGGGCUUGAUUGCGGGUGACCCGACAUAUUUGACUGCUCACUAUUGGCCCAAUCAGACAAUGACCCAAUUCCUUGAUCCGAUCCGGUUUCCUGAUAUGGAGUGUCUGGCACCCAUUCUCCAUCAUCAUUAUAGACAUUUUUGUUGAGAUCAAAGCCAUCGACGGUGAAGCUUACUCCUGGAGUCACCUUGAUCUUAUCACUUUUCUCCCACGUCCAACUACGAUUUUCUUCAAACACAACCUCACAGCUCACGUACACUUUCCCUGUGUCUGGAUCCAGUAGUCUAUAUGCUUUCGAACCCUUUUCAAUUCCAAGAUGAACCAGACGAAUACUUAUGUCUUCCAAUUUCUUCAAAUGCCCCUUCACGAUUUUCAUAUGAGCCACACAUCCAAAUACCCUAAGAUGAUCAAUAUGUGGUUUUCUCCUGGUCCACAUUUCAUAUGGGGUCGUGUCUUUCAGGGCCUUCGUUUGGACUGUGUUUAGAAUAUAAACAUGCUACAACUUCAACCUUUAGAACAUUAGGCAUUGAUAUGGUCUUUAUGUUGCAUCUUACCAUCUCCAAUGCAGUCCGAUUACAUCUCUCCACUACUCCAUUUUGCUGUGGAGAGUAUGGAGACGUAUAAUGUCUUUCCAACCCAGUUUCUUCACAAAUACUUCUUGAAUUCAUUUGAUAGAAAUUCACCUCCACGAUCGGUCCUGAAUACCUUCACUUUUUCCCGUGCAUCAAUCUCUACCUUGCUUCUAAAAAUCUUACACACCUGUAGAGCUUCAUCCUUAGUCUUCAUGAGGUACACCCACAUUACUCUGGUGAAGUCAUUGACAAUCAUCAUGAAGUACCUAUUCCCAGAAGGUGUUGGAGGAGUGACUUGUCCCCAUAAGUCACCAUGGAUUAAUUCAAGCUUCUUCUUUGCCCUGAAGUUUGUCUGAGACAGAAAUGAAUUCCUUGUCUGCUUUCCCACCAAGCAGCCUUCACAGGGUUGUGAGGGAAUUUGGAUCUGUGGCAUUCCUUCGAUCAGCUUCUUAUACUUCAUCUUCUUCAUUGAAGUGAAGUUUGUGUGCCCCGUUCGUUUGUGACAUAACCAAGUUUAAUUAUCAACUUCUGCAACAAAACACUUUGCAGUAUCUUCUUCUAACUCUAUUUUGUAGAGCCUAUUUGUUGAUCUUCUAACUUUCAUGAGCAACUUUCCAAUUGAAUCAUGAACCCAUAAGAAUGGAUCUUUGAUUUUUAUCUCAUCUCCACCUGCUAAUUGACCCAGGCUAAUGAUGUUGCUACGUAAAUCGGGUAUGUAGUAUACUUCAUUUUGUUUUCGACACUCUCCAUUCUUGCACUUGAAAACUAUUGAGCCUUUGCCUUCAAUUCUCACUUUCGAUUCAUUUCCAAAUUUCACAAAGCCAUGAAUUGAUUCAUUCAAGCUUCUGCAUGAAUUUGGUUUUGUCUCCAGUCAUACGGUUACUGGCACCUGUGUCCAGGUACCAUGUGCAAGAUGACUUCUUUGGAUUACCAUGGGUUCUCAAUUGUGGACUGAGAUUGUGCAUGGGUUCUCAUUCAAGAACACUAAGCUUUCAUCUUCGUAUGUUGAUAGCAGCAGGGCAGGCUCGUUAUCAUGAAGUUCUUGGACGAGGUUGUUCUCGUGACUUCGUUCCUUUCAAGGGUUCUUACAUUCUGAUGCAUAAUGCCCAUAUUCUUGGCAAUUAUAACACUGAAUGUCACUCUUAUCAUGACUGCUAGAUGCAGUGGGAUUGCUUCCCUUUUGGUGAUGGGUUCCUCCUCUGCCACCACAAGCCCCUUCGUUUCUUCCUCUACCUCUGCCACGACCACCACGUGAACCACCAAGUCCACCUCGAUCUGAUCUUUGCUUUGAGUCACCUUCUGAUUUCUUUUUGUUUCUAUCAGACCAUUCCUUGUGAGUCAACAGGAGUUUCCGAUCAUCACUUUCACCUAAACUCUUCAUCCGUUCUUCAUAUGCCUUGAGUCUUCCGAUCACCUCUUCAACUGACAUUGAGUCUAAAUCUCCAAAUUACUCGAGUGUCGAGGCAAUCUGAAGGAAUUUGGACGACACCGCCCUGAGCAACUUCUUCACCACUAGAGAUUCUUCGACCUUGUCUCCCAAGCUUUGUAAUGUGCUAACUGUGUUGAUGACUUUUCCGGUGAAGUCAUCAACACUCUCCGUCUCUUUCAUGCUCAUGGCUUCAAGUUCAACCUUGAGUGUUUGAAUUCUGGCAACCUUGACUCUAUUUGCCCCUACAAACAUAACUUUGAGGGCUUCCCAGGCUUCUUUAGCGGUCUUCUUCUCCGCCAAUGUCAAGAGCAAAUCCUCAGGUAUUCCAUGAUAGAUGGCAUCCAAGGCCAUGUUAUCCUUCUUUGCUUCAACAAGGGAGUUGGGUGUUCUGGGUUCUACAGCAUCCCAAACACCUUGGGCCAACAUAAACACCAUCAUCUUUAUUGCCCAUGCCCCAUAGUUGCAAUUUGCCUGUCUUUGUCACCAUUCCCAUUGUCGCUGCUUCCUGUCAUUUCUUCGUUUCGGGGUUGAUACUUAGGUGCUGUUUGUUUUUUCUGAAGCAAAAUGUCUGCAGUCUGCGGACCACAUCUGUAGACCUCUGCAGUAGAAGAGGUGGACCAAACGUCUGCAGUCUGAAAAAAGAAGACUGUUUGUUUUUUUAACAUCUGCGGGCUAUUAAAAUAAACUGAAAUCUAAAUAAAGUGAUUUUUUAAAACUUCAAAGCGAAUUUUUUAUAUAUCUUUACGACUUUAUUAUAAAUAUAUAACGAAUCUAGAUAAACUUUUAUGUAUUAUUAUAUAAAAAAUAAAAAUAAAAAUGGUAUUAAUUCAUAUACAUAUUUGAUAAAACCCAACAACUUUGAUUGCAAAGUUAUAACUAAACAUUAUAAUUAGUGAUCAAAGAAUUUGAUACAUAAAUAGAUGGAAAUAAACUUCGAUUUUUUCAAAUAAAUCUAUUAAAAACGUACGAUAAAUAUUUUCUCAAGAAAUUGAUGAUACUCUAUUAAAUAAAGUUUUACAAAAUUUUGGCAAAAAAAUAUAAGAAUAUAUUAUGAUUUUUUUUUUCAUAUUUAUAUAAACAACUUCAACAACUAUUAUUAUAAUAAAUUUUUAUUUAUAAAUUUGUUAAAAAUAUCAUGUUUGUAUCGUCAAAUGUUUUUUUUUAAGUUUUGUAAUUUUUUUUUCAUAUUGUUUAUCAUUAAUAAAGUUGGAAAAAAUAUAAAUUAAAAAAAAAACUUAAAAAAAAUAAAGAUAUAUAUGUUUUUUUAAGCUAGAAGAUGUCUGAAGAUGUUAGAAGACUCUGGUCUACAUCUGCGCCAAGAAGAGGGCGCGCAGACAUUUUUAGGUCUGCAGUCUUCAAAAAAACAAACAGUCUUCGAAGACUAAUGUCUGCGCGUGGUCUGCGCGGCGCAGACAGAAGACGUCUCGCAGAUCUGCAGACAAAAAACAAACACUACCUUAGGCAUGUACCAGGUUCGCUCUGAUACCAAAUGUUGGUUUUCACAAACCUUCAACCUGUGUUUGACAAUGGAACAGUAACAAGAAAAAAAACAGAGCACAAAGAUUGCCUAAAGCUUAUAGCUUUAUUGACUGGAUUAAAGAGAAGGGGUGAUUCCCUCAACGUACAUACUACUAACCUAUUUAAACUCAAAGAGUGCUAAAAAGAUUGCAACUACCCCUAGUGGCAUAAGACCCGAAUUCAACAUCCCAGAUGGCUUUGAAUUAUUCAAAACACAAAAAAAAAAAAAAAACAUGACAUAAAACAAUUUAAAAUAAUUUCUGAAUUACUCCAUCAUCAAGAAUCAUUUGAUAAAACUUGUAGUUUGAAUCCUAUAAAACCUAACAUCAACUAGAACAUGAUAGAUUAAAUUACAUGUUAAUAAAGCAUUUGAUAAAAAGGGCUUCUAGCCCAGCGAUAUCAGGUGGUGCCCUCUUUCUUUGAGGUCGAGGGUUCAAGUCCCGUGGUGGACAUAGGUGAAAUUAGGUGUUAGUUUAGGAGUAAAUUAUAAUAUUUAUAUUUGCCGCUUCAAAAAAAAAAUAAAGCUAUCUACUUUUAUUUGUUUUUCCUUGUUCUAAAAGUAUAAUUCCAUAUUUUCAUUGAAUAUGUGCAAGUUUCAACAUUAUUUGAUUGUUGUUUCCAUUUCAGUCUUGCAUCUGAAAAUGGAAUAAGUUGCAAUGGAAAUUGAGGCCAUACAAUUGUUGAAAAAGAUUUGGAAAAGUAUGGAGGGAAAACCCAAAGCUGGAAUAGAUAAAAUGCUCGGAGGGUUAUAUGAUUUCAUGAGAUACUCAAAGGAAAAGUAUGAAGCCAUAGCCUGUUGGAUAUCUUUAUCCGAUAGUUAUAUACUUAUAUUAAUCCUUUUAGAUUAGGAUUAUUGUUUCCUUAUUCCUAGUCUUUUAGUUGUUAUCUUUUAUUUGCUUGUUCCACAAGCUUUUGUCCUAUAUAUAUGAACCUACAAUUGCUUUAACAAAGAUACAGAAUCUGGAACAUAUUUUUCCAGUUUUAAGUUCAAUUAUCAAUUCUUUAUGGUAUCAGAGUGGGUCUAUUGAUCCACAACUAAAUCAACAUGGUCGACGGUGUUGUCACCAACACCGGCGGCAACAACGAUUCAGCCAACCCUUCCUCCGAUCCAAACACGCCAUAUUACAUCCACCCCAAUGACUAUCCAAGACAGAAGCACGUUGACAAGAGCCUCACCGACAACAACUAUUCCUAUUGGUCUAGAGAGAUGAAGGAUUUCUUGUUUGCUAAAAACCGUGCAGGAUUCAUUGAUGGAUCUAUUGCUCAACCGACUCCAGACUCACCAGAAUUGAAGCCAUGGCAACAAAGUGAUGCUAUUAUAAAAGGAUGGCUCAUGACAGACAUGGAGAAAGACAUCAGGAAUAGCGUAAAGUAUUCUAAUACUGCGAAAGAAAUCUGGGACGACCUUGAAGAGCGAUUUGGAAAAGAAAGUGCUCCUCGAGCAUAUGAAUUGAAGCGUACCUUGACUGGUCUAAGACAAGAAAAGGCCUCUGUUUCAACCUACUACACCAAGAUGAAAUGGAUAUGGGAUGAAAUUUAAUCGGUUUCGCCAUUCCCAAAUGUAUUUGUGGCAAGUGUACCUGUGAUCUAGGGCAAAGAAUUUUUGAGGCCAAAGAGAAGGAACGGGUCUAUGAGUUUCUCAUGGGACUCAAUGAAAUUCUUUAGGACUAUUAAAACACAAAUACUGAGCACGAAGCCCAUGCCAUCCCUCGGCACCACCAAUCAUCUCAUUGCUGAAGAUGAACAACAACGCAACAUCAUCACAGCAAGAAAAGUGAAUGUUGAUGCUGUUGCCUAUCAAAUCAAUGCUCAGUUGAAUACCGAGAAAAGCCAAAACGAAAAGAAAAACCGUGAAAGCUUGAAGUGCAAACAUUCUGGAAAAACCAGUCACACCAUUGAUGGGUGUUUUGAGAAAAUCGGUUAUCCCGAGUGGUGGGAAACACGUCAACGAAAGGCAAAUGGAGACUAACAAAAUCAGGCGAAGACAAAGCCAAAGGCAGCAAAUGUUGAAGUUGAUUCCAGUCCAAUACCAGGUUCAACCUUGGAACAAUACACCAGGUUGAUAAAGCAACUAAGUGAGACACAAAAACCUGAGAUUAACAUGGCUGGUAAGCACAUUUUCAACAUUCCAUGGGUAAUCGAUUCAGGAGCCACUGAGCAUGUUGCUUGUAAUAAUUAGGUUCUUUUUUAUUUAAGAAAUUCAAAAGAUGAUGUGCCACUUAGAAUACCAAAUGGUGAUAGUGUUCCUGUUCAAGGAGUUGGGAAUGCUAACCUUCCAUAUAACAUCAAAAUAGAUGAUGUACUCUAUAUACCUAACUUUAGAUGCAACCUUUUUGUCAGUUAGUAAAAUUACUAAGAGUCUUAAUUGCUACAUGACAUUCUUUCCUGAUUUUUGUUUCAUCUAGGACUUACCUACGAGGAAGCUGAUUGGCAUGGGUAGAUGUGAGAAUGGUCUAUACAAUAUGGAAGAGAUGGAUAAGAAGGUUGCAAUCAUGGCGGUUAAGACCGAUUCUGAAAUUUGGCACAAGAGCCUCAGUCAUUCUUCUAAAUUACAUCAUAUUGAAUCUAUUGGUAGCGUAGUUAACAUAGAAAAUUGUGAUUCUUGUAUACGGGCUAAACAAACUCGACUUCCUUUUCCAAAUAGUAAUAUUAAAACUUCUUGUUUUGAGCUAAUACAUUGUGACACAUGGGGUGGUUAAAAGGUUCCCUCACUUUCGGAAAUUGUUUAAUAAAGCAAUGUAGUUUAUUUUUGUAAAUACUUUACAUGAAUUGUAUUUUUGCACCUGGAAUCAAAUGUCCAUUAGUUUCAUUUCUCAUUUGUACACAAAUGCCCCUCAAUUUUACUUUGUAAAUCUGGACAAAAAUGGCCAAAGAUUCCAUUAUGUUUUCAAAGUGCAUUGUCAUUCUUGGUUCCAUUUUCAAAGUGCAUUGUCAUUCUUGGUUCUAUUUUGAAAAUGCAUUACCAUUUGGUUCUAUUUUGAAAGUGCAUUGCUAUUUUUCGUUUUCUUUUGAAAGUGUAUUGCUAUUUUUUGGUUUCUUUUUUAAAGUCCAUGCUAUUAUUGGUUCCAUUUGUAUGUAUCAAGUAAAACUCUAUCGAUAUGCAUCAUAGGAAACUUCAAAAAAUUACACAUUAAAAUUACACAAUAUUAGACAAACCCCGUUACAUAAUAAAAGGACCAAAACACCCUUUACUCAUCGUCUUGUCAAAUAAAAUCUCAAUUAUUCCAUAAAUGAACAAUGUGUCCCUAAUUUUGAAAUCAAAAAAUCCAAUUCCUAAUACUAUCACAAUGCCAAUCAGUUCUUUCAAAAUCAUUAAUCGCAAAAUAACUAAAACUAAAAAUCAUUCUUUUCUCAUAAAACUUGUUUUAUACUAAUUCCACCUUCCUCUUAUUCUUUCUUCUUCAAACUGGUAAAUUAAGAUCAAACUGGUAGUUCGAGUCAUCAUUAUAUGAAAUUGCUUAUUGCUCACGACUUGCAUCUGUUUGAUCUUGUUGUAUGUUCUCCGUUCUUUUAGGUACCUAAAAAACUUAAUUAUUAUAAACUAUAUUAAAAAAAUAAAAAAAAUAAAAAAUCUAAAUAGAUAAAAUAUUAUAUUUUUCUUUCUUUUCUUUUUUAUAACCUUUUCUACUCUAGAUUCCUUUCUCUUGGAUGGUGGGCGAUCUUUACUACGAUCUUGCGAGGGUUGUAACAAUUUUGUAGUCGAGUCUGAAACACGAACAUCUUCAACUACCAAAUUUACGUUACUACUACAACCCCAAAUUGAAUCAUUGUUUAACUUUUCUUUAGCCAUAUUUAUACAACUUAGCAAGUAUUAAUACUAUUCGCGAGAAUUAGCAAUAUGCGCAACCUCAUAAAAAUUGGAACACAAGUGAUCAAAUUGUUUAGCGUUUUCACCACUCAUCAAAUCUUCAUAACAAUUUAUCAGUAAGUAGUGUCCAUGCUUCACAUCUUUCCUCCACCGAAACAAAAUAUAUUGUGGAUGAAUUUAUUUAAUAUCCUUCUCAAUCAAUAUCUUCACCAUAUGCCUACAAAUAAUUCCACGAAACUCAAAUAAACAACAAGAACAUUUUAUAUCACAUGCACUCUCAUCAUAACAAACUGUAUAAACUACUCAUUUUUUAGAAUCUUCAUGUUUCCCUUCUAGAACAUAUGUGACAUGAAAUACAUAUCGUGCACCAUCCACUUUUUCCAAUGAAGAAUUGCAAAACAACGUACCUCGUAACUCAUCUUGAAACAACUUAAAAAUUGCAUUCGUGUACACCUCGUGAAACUCUCUCAAAAUAAAACCCAGUUACUAAUUUAUAUGAAGAAUUAAGCGACUCAAAAUCAGGCUUAGUUUCUUUCUCAAUCUUGCUUUUCAACGCGUUGUCAUAUUGUUCAACAAAUUGUCGUAAUGAGGUUUUAGAAUUAACAUACACAUCAAAAGAAGAAUUCAUGCUUUCACUUCUUUGCGUAGUAGACAUCCCUGCCCAAAAGUUGUCUUUUACAUAUAUCGGCACCCAACGCCUUCGAUCAUUAAAUAAAGAACUGAACCACUCAUUUUUUUCAAGUGUGUACUUUUCAACCAGCUUGCACCACCAAUCUUCAAACUCUUGAGUGUCCGUAGACUCAUAUACAAGGGUUUUUAGAGUCUUCUUUAUUACUUUUUAUUGAGGCAACCUACUUAAUUUUUCAGGAAUCUUUUUCAUAAUAUGCCAACGACAAAGACGAUGAUGAGAUUCAGGAAAUACCUGUGUCACGACUCCUUGCAUUGAUCGACAUUGAUACGUUAAUAUUGCUUUUGGUACCCCGUCCAUUCAUGCAUUCUAACCAUGACUUGAAUAACCAUACCUAUGUUUUUGUAUCUUCUUGUGAAAGCAAAACACAUCCAAAUAAGAUAGAUUGUUCGUGGUGAUUUACUCCAACAAAAGGCGCAAAUGACAUAUUAUAUUUGUUAGUCAAAUAUGUGCUAUUAAAUGAAAUAACAUCCUUGAAUGACUCGUAUGCUGCCCUUGACCUUGCAUCUGCCCAAAAUACAUUUCGCAUAUGACCUUCAUCAUCCAUAUCAAUCACAUAGAAAAAAUUUGAACUCCUUUUUUUGCAUACAGACAAAAUAAUUAUGAAGUGCCUCGACAUCCCUAAGCCCAAGUCUUAGUUGUCUUACUUUUGCGAUGUAAGAUCUACAAUCUGUCUCGCCACAAGGCAAAUUGUCAUACCCUUUUGCUUCAACAACUAACGAGUGAAAACUUUUAUUUAAUGGAAUUCCAGCAUAAUCAUUCAACUCAAGUCUUCUCUUAGCAUAUGAAUCCAUUUUCUUAUGUGAUCGCCGGAAACGAGAUUUUUGGGACUUAAAGUAUGAUUAUUUCAAGAAAAACACUAGAGAUAAUGCACCUUCCAUCACCAUAUGCUAUUACACUAAUUUUUGCUUUACAGUUUGUUUUAAAAGACUUUUUAUAUGAUUUGCUUGUUUUAGGCACAUAUACCCCUCCUCUAGCACAUCCAAGCGAAUAGUAUGUUUUAGCACAAGAAUCUUUUGUUCUUGUACUAGAUUUCCGUAUACCAAAUCCAAUCUAGAAAGCAUAUGCUUUAAAGUAAUUGUAAAGGUCUUCUUCCGAAUCAAACUUCAUUCCAUCUUUAUGAAUUUUUUGAUCUUGAGGAUUGAGAAUUGUAUGCCCUUCAACUGAAUUUGCAGCCUCUUCAACUGAAAUUGCAGCCUCCAUACUGAUCAAAUAUCAAAUAUUUUAUUAACAAUAAACCAAAGAUUUUAUCAAUAAUAAAGCAGCAUAACCUACAAAAACGAAUCAAUGUAAUUUAAAGAUAGAAUACCAUAUUACCAUAGAAAACAUACUCUUGGCCAAGAUUUUGACAUAGGUUUAAAAAUCAUGAAAGACACAAAGGCCUCCUUUUCUUUAAAAAAUAAAAAAAUGAUAAAAUAAAAUAAAAAAACUGUUUUGUAUAAUGCCUACUUUAGAUGACACGUUUUACAUAAUAUUAGAUAAAAUUACAACCACAUUAAUAGUAAGAUGAAUUAACAAGCGUUGGUUUAUAUGUAAAAUCUAAAUACAUGAUAAAUCAAGAAAAAUAGCACAUUAAACAGUAAACGAAGUUCCAGUCAACAAAAGUCUUUAACAAAAAAAUAAAAAUAGUCAGAACCCACAAACACCAUUACGUGUGUAGUACCUUCACAUAAUUAAAACAAAAAUUACCUGAUUGUUGCUGUUGUGAUUGUUCCUGCCUGCUGUUGUGAUUGUUGUUGGUGGCGCUGGAGUAGCAAUUGUCAUGGGCAACAAUAGACGAGAAGAAGGGUUUGGGAAGGAAUCGGGAUUGCAGGUCUGCUAUGCACGUUCAUCUGCAUCAUCUUACGUGAUUUUUUUUUGUUCUUUUUUUAAUUGUUCAUUAAGGGUAUUUUAGGGAUAUCAAAUAUAAUUAAAUGGAAUUGUAGAAGUAUGACAAGUCUCAUGAUAUUAGUGGGUAGGCAUAUAUGUAGGUAUAAAAAGUAGAACCAAUUUAAUUUCUCAAGUUCAAAUUACAAUGGAAUUGUAAAUACCUUCGUAAAAUACUUUUUUUUUUUUUUUUCAGAACAGAUUUUGUAAUGAUUUGCUUAUAAACAUCACAUGGAAAAAGAUAGAAUUAGAUUUAAAGAAAAUCUUUCUAUACUAAUCUUUCUAUACUAAUAAAAGAAUAUUUUUUUUUUGUUAUUUGUCAUCCUAUUAGACCUCUUACUUAAUGUCAUGUCACUUGUCAACAUAUUGAUUCUUCAUUUUAAAUUUCUCACUCUAAUUACAUUAAACUAAUAACAUUAAAAUAAAAAAUAAAAUUAAAUUAAUAUAGAUUAUAAGGUGAUAUAAUUUUAUGUAUUUAUUUGAAUCAACGAUUAUAAUUUUAUAUAACUAAAAAUAUCGCUUAAUUAAUAAUUUAUUUAAAAUAAUUAUUUAUUAGUUUUGAGUCUUUUAUUAUAAAAAUUUAAUUAAUUUAGUAGUCGUGGUUCCCACGGGUUAUAAACUAGUACUUAAUCAGUUACUAUAUGCCUACAAAUAAGUUUCUAAUCGUUAUAUUCUUAAUAUGUUUUGUUUGUGCUUAUAAGGCAAUUGAAAAAAAAUAGUUUUUCUUAAAUUGCAAUGAAAAGACAACAAAUAAAGAAUUAGUAAGAAUCUCACCAAAGCCUUUUAAAAAAAAAAUUGAACAACAAAGAAUAGAAUAAAUACCAAAACCCUUUCAAUGCUUAUGCUUUUCCCACUUCACCAUUCUUUAAUUCUCCAGCUGGUAUUCUCUUUAGUAAUGUUAAUUUACAAGCAUUUCUAUAUAAUCCAUGGUUUUUUUUGUAUGUUUUCAAAAUGAACCAAAAUUAUGACAUUUGUGCUUGAUGACUCAUCGAAAGUUGCAUGAAUUUGCGUUUGUAAGAACAAUGGGUGUACAGAAAAAGCAAUAAAAAUCAGAUAAACAAAAUUGAAAAUCAUUAUUUGCAGUUAAUCUCGGCUUCAAUUACUAUCAUAGAGUGUAGAACUAUAAAAAGUUUAUCUUCAUGUCUAUUUUUAGAUAGUACAAUCCUAUGUCUAUGGGAAAACGCUAAUACAACCUUACUCAAUGAAAUGAAUCUAAGAUAUACGAAUUUGCUUUAUUAUAGAUUUCCAUUGAAUUGCCUUUGUUAAAUUAUUGGUACAAUUAUUAACCAUCACAUACCCCACACUCCACCUUCCAUUGUCCCCUUACCUUUCUAACCAUCUCAAAAUUAUGUUAAAUAUAUUUUGGAGAUAUUUACUAAAAUAGCAAUUAAUCAGAUCCAUUAUCCCAAAUUAAUCAUCACAACUUUGCAAAAUUACUUUAAUCAGUAAAAUUGCUUUUCUGACCAUAUGAGUAAACUUUGACUACUUUUGCAAAUUAAUGUAAUUUGGCUAAAGUUUAGGUUUCGCUUAACAUUUCCAAAGUCACUACUUUUUGGAGAUGACUAGUCCUUUUGGAAAUGAUAAGAGAGAAGUUAAACCCAACAACAAAGAUGAGAGACAAACGUAAAUAUCCCUCUAACCAAUGUGGAGUGGUGUAUCCAAAAUAAAACAAAUAUUUCUGAUAAAAUCAAAGAACCUGAAUUAAUCAACCAUUAAAAAUAAUAAAUUAGUAGAUGGACUUUGUAAAUGAAGUUAAUGUUCUACAAUACAAAUUAUUUUACAAAAUCUCUGAAGCUUUUUAUUUGUAAUAAUGAUGAUUUAUAAAUAAGUUUGAUAAAAUUAAAAACGCACUUCACAUCCAAGUGGGGUACAUAACCAUAAAAAUGACUCCUGCUCCACAAAUGUUCAUACUCAAAAGGGGUGCACCAUUGUUCUCUUUCUGGAAAAGACCAAUUAUAAAAAGCAAUAGGUGUGAACAUCUCCUAAUUACAAUCAUGCCCUUUCCCCUCACAAAAGACUCUUAUAUAAUUUGCUAUUAGUGAGUCAUUCUUUAAUUUAUCUUUCACAAUUCGUAGUAUUAUCAUCCUUCAAAAAUUUUGAUUUCUGUUCUUUACAGGGAAGAAGAAAAGAGAAGCAUAUACACAAAGAGGUACUCUCCUUUAUUAACUAAUUCACAGACACAUACGAUAUUGUUUUGUUUGAUACAAUUAAUCAAUGGUUUUGUUAGUCCAACUACACUCAACCCACUAUACCUCUUUAGUUUUCUCCUUUGAUUUUCAAAAGAUUGGUUUGUAUAAGAACAAUAGGUGAAGGAAAGAAACAUAAUCUCAUUACAAAUUCAUAUUCGUAGGUAGAUCAAUUGGGAAAUGGAGAAAUUCGAUUGAUCCUUUGGAAUACAUUAUGUAGGUUUUGAUUGUUGUUAGUAUGUUAAUUUUUUGGAUUCAACUUUUUUACCAAAUAAUAUUCAUGUUUUUGUUUUGUUUCUGUUGUGUGAAUAAUGUCUACUGUUUCCGAAGAUAUUAGAAAGAAACCAUAUCAAUUUGAAUCUCAUAAUUUAUACCACUCAACGCCUCUUGAAAGUCACUACUCUCCACUCGUUUGGAGAUACUAUCGACUUUCUUUCGUUACAAAAUCAUGUCAACUCACCCACAAUAUCUUAUGCAAGAAAACCCAUCAAGAUUGUCGCUAACCUUCACCAAACAUCUUCCCAUAAACAUCCACCUCACAAAAUGCAGCAGCACCCCUGUACUUGAACCUCAAGAACAAUGUAAUCUCGUUCAGGACUUUUAUCGAACAUCUUGUGUGCUAUCAUUCAAGACCCAAGCUCAAAACAAACUUUCAUUAUGGAAGAACCCAAUUUUCAAUACAAAUCACCAAAAACAACAGCAAAAUGAAUUAUACCUUCUUUGUUAAUUCAAAAUUGAAAAUUUUCCGAAAAAACGCUACUGUGAUUCACACUUUCAAAUCUUGCUGCUGUGCUUUUUCUGGUCAAGAUACCUUGUGAAACUAUUAGAGAAUCAUCACUCAAAUAAUCAAUAAUACCUUCACACCUCUUCAAUUGAUUCCAAGAAAAUAACAGCCAAGAACACACCAGAAACAGACCUGUUCGAUUAAUAAAAAUUCCUCUUCCCAUGCUCCGAUACCAAUUUGGUGCGCCAGUAAUCUGUUUGAAGUUUGUGAAAUAACAAUGUCUUCUAUUACUCUAUGUAAGUGUUAAGAAGUCAAAACUAAAUUUUCACUAAUUACCCCUAGACUCUAUCCUUUAUUUAAAACUGAUUCUUGACUUUUAUGCAAUUUACACAUUAAAACCCAAAGGUUCAAUGUUUUUUUUUUUUGAGCUUUGUAUCUUAAUUUCUAGAGAAACAUAUAAUAUGAUAAUUGAUAAAAAAAAAAAAAAAAGUAAAGAUAAAUUUGGUGGUGACGAGUAGUUGGACAUGUUUUUACCAAAGUUAAGGGUACUUGGGAUUUCACUUAAUAGAUUAUCGUUAGCGAUAUUGAUAUGAUGUAUUAUGGAUCAAAAGUUAAAAAAAAAAAAAAGCUUAUUACUUAUUGUUUUGAUAUUGAAAACUAUAGAAUAUAUAAUGAUAAAGUGUUUAGUUUACUUUUAUGAAGGUAAACUUUUUUAAAUAGAUACAUAUUUGAAAAAAUUAAUUAUAAAAAGUGUUAAUAUUUAGCAAAGCCCAAUCUAUAAUUACUUUACUAUUUAGUGUACUAUUAAGGGAAACAAAACUCACAAUCAUUUAAAAGGCGACUACAUAAAUGACUAAAAUAAAUAAAAAUAUAUAUUACAAGUUGGGGCCACCCACUUGGCUAAGAGCAUUCAUAAUGUAUAGUUUAAUGGGAAAGUUGAACUAGGUGUUAUGCCUAAUUGACAUUCAAUUUAUUAAACUCUACCAUUAUGGGAAGCCAUGUUUGCAUUCAAUGGAUAUAGAGUUUAAUGGACAUUGAGCUCUUUAAUGAGAAAAAGGUUUUAACCAUUAAAUAUAUAUUUCAUUGAACUUUAUUGAGUUCAAUGCAUUGUAGGGAAAUUAAUGUAGAGUUGUAUAGUAAGUAAAAUGAUGAUGUGUUAAUCUAUUAAACUAUAAUAAACUUAAUACAUUGUGGAUCCCCUAACAUGGUUAACCAUUUAAUGUAGAUGAGCUAAAUUGAAACAUCUACUAUCAUGUUUAAAUUUAUAAACUUUUUCCUUUAGAUUCACUUGUCUGGAUGUGUUUAAUAAAACCCAAUUUCCCACAUGCGUAGAGAUCAUAGAUGUAACUAUUGUUAAUCAAUUUUGCCUGCCAAGUUUUAAUAAUUAUACUUGGAUAUUAACAAAACUUUAUCUAACGACCAAGGUAAUAUUAAAAAUAGGUUAUUAUUCUUCAUGCUAAUUAAAAGAUGGGUUGCAAAAGUGAGACCAUGAAAACAUUAACACGUUGAUAUUUUCAACUUUUAUUCUUUCAUAUUCACCAUAUUUUUUACUUUCGUAUUGAUUAAUCAUCUUUCAAUCACAGGCUCCUUGGCAAAAAGUCAGAUCUAUUAACAAAUACUUCCAUGUGGUUGCAAAUUACAAGGAUUUCAACAUAAUUACCAAAACAUAGCAUUAUCAUAAGAUCGAAUAAUAAUCAAAUUCUUCUAUAAUAUUACACAAAGGUAAGGUCAUUAAUUAAUUACGAUACGAGACAGACUUUUUCACUCGUGACAUCAACGGUCUAUUCUAACUUUACUUAAUUAAAUGAAUCUAGGAUGUGCUCAUAUGCAUGUAAUAUUUGCUACCGUCAUCUUUCAAAUGACCAUAUUUUUAUGUAUUUAUAAUGAAUCAAUGAAAAACCGGAUUUCUAUUUAAAAUUCUUAAAACUUCAUCUUUUAAGCCAGGGUGAAUACAAUUGCUAGAUCCACUGUUAAUUUCCAUCAAAUUAUGCCUGAUCAAUUGUUGGCUGCCUACGAUGCAGGUGCUACCACAAGAAUAUGGCCAUGGAAACUGCUAAUGAAAUUAUAAAACAAGUUGUUCCAGUUCUCAUGGUUCCUAUUAACGAUUACCUACGCUACCUCGUUUCCUGCAGAAAGUACAUCAGUGACAUGGAUUUGAAAAUGAAGGAAUUAAAAGAAGCAAAAGACAAUGUUGAAGAGCACAAGAAUCAUAACAUUAGUAAUCGUCUUGAGGUUCCAGCAGCUCAAGUCCAGAGCUGGUUGGAAGAUGUAGAAAAGAUCAAUGCAAAAGUGGAAACUGUUCCUAAAGAUGUCGGCUGUUGCUUCAAUCUAAAGAUUAGGUACAGGGCCGGAAGGGAUGCCUUCAAUAUAAUUGAGGAGAUCGACAGUGUCAUGAGACGACACUCUCUGAUCACUUGGACCGAUCAUCCCAUUCCUUUGGGAAGAGUUGAUUCCGUGAUGGCAUCCACCUCUACGCUUUCAACUGAACACAAUGACUUCCAAUCAAGAGAGGUAAGGUUUAGUGAAGCACUCAAAGCACUUGAGGCCAACCACAUGAUAGCCUUAUGUGGAAUGGGGGGAGUGGGGAAGACCCACAUGAUGCAAAGGCUGAAGAAGGUUGCCAAAGAAAAGAGGAACUUUGGUUAUAUCAUCGAGGCGGUUAUAGGGGAAAUAUCGGACCCCAUUGCUAUUCAGCAAGUUGUAGCAGAUUACCUAUGCAUAGAGCUGAAAGAAAGCGAUAAGAAAACAAGAGCUGAGAAGCUUCGUCAAGGGUUCAAGGCCAAAUCAGAUGGAGGUAACGCUAAGUUCCUCAUAAUAUUGGAUGAUGUCUGGCAGUCCGUUGAUCUAGAAGAUAUUGGUUUAAGCCCUUCUCCCAAUCAAGGUGUCGACUUCAAGGUCUUGUUGACUUCACGAGACGAACAUGUUUGCUCAGUGAUGGGGGUUGAAGCUAAUUCAAUUAUUAACGUGGGACUUCUAAUUGAAGCAGAAGCACAAAGAUUGUUCCAGCAAUUUGUAGAAACUUCUGAGCCCGAGCUCCACAAGAUAGGAGAAGAUAUUGUUAGGAGGUGUUGCGGUCUACCCAUUGCCAUCAAAACCAUGGCGUGUACUCUAAGAAAUAAAAGAAAGGAUGCAUGGAAGGAUGCACUUUCUCGUUUACAACACCAUGACAUUCGUAAUGUUGCGACUGCAGUUUUUAGAACCAGCUAUGAGAAUCUCCAAGACAAGGAGACUAAAUCUGUUUUUUUGAUGUGUGGUUUGUUUCCUGAAGACUUCAAUAUUCCUACCGAGGAGUUGAUGAGGUAUGGAUGGGGCUUAAAGUUAUUUGAUAGAGUUUAUACAAUUAUAGAAGCAAGAAACAGGCUCAACACCUGCAUUGAGCGACUGGUGCAGACAAAUUUACUAAUUGGAAGUGAUAAUGGUGUACACGUCAAGAUGCAUGAUCUGGUCCGUGCUUUUGUUUUGGGUAUGUAUUCUGAAGUCGAGCAAGCUUCAAUUGUCAACCAUGGUAAUAUGCCUGGGUGGCCUGAUGAAAAUGAUAUGAUCGUGCACUCUUGCAAAAGAAUUUCAUUAACAUGCAAGGGUAUGAUUGAGUUUCCAGUAGACCUCAAGUUUCCUAAACUAACGAUUUUGAAACUUAUGCAUGGAGAUAAAUCGCUAAAGUUUCCUCAAGAAUUUUAUGAAGGAAUGGAAAAGCUCCGGGUUAUAUCAUACGAUAAAAUGAAGUACCCAUUGCUUCCUUUGGCACCUCAAUGCUCCACCAACAUUCGGGUGCUUCAUCUCACGGAAUGUUCAUUAAAGAUGUUUGAUUGCUCGUGUAUUGGAAAUCUAUCGAAUCUGGAAGUGCUGAGCUUUGCUAAUUCUCGCAUUGAGUGGUUACCUUCCACGGUCAGAAAUUUAAAAAAGCUAAGGUUACUUGAUUUGAGAUUGUGUUAUGGUCUCCGUAUAGAACAGGGUGUCUUGAAAAGUUUGGUCAAACUUGAAGAAUUUUAUUUUGGAAAUGCAUUUGGGUUUAUAGAUGAUAACUGCAAGGAGAUGGCAGAGCGUUCUUACAACCUUUCUGCAUUAGAAUUUGCGUUCUUUAAUAACAAGGCUGAAGUGAAAAAUAUGUCAUUUGAGAAUCUUGAACGAUUCAAGAUCUCAGUGGGGUGCUCUUUUGAUAGAAAUAUCAAUAUGAGUAGCCACUCAUACGAAAACAUGUUGCAAUUGGUGACCAACAAAGGUGAUGUAUUAGACUCUAAACUUAAUGGGUUAUUUUUGAAAACAGAGGUGCUUUUUUUAAGUGUGCAUGGCAUGAAUGAUCUUGAAGAUGUUGAGGUGAAGUCGACACAUCCUACUCAGUCCUCUUCAUUCUGCAAUUUAAAAGUCCUUAUUAUUUCAAAGUGUGUAGAGUUGAGAUACCUUUUCAAACUCAAUGUUGCAAACACUUUGUCAAGACUUGAGCAACUAGAAAUUUGUGAAUGCCAGAAUAUGGAAGAACUCAUACAUACUGGGAUUGGGGGUUGUGGAGAAGAGACAAUUACUUUCCCCAAGCUAAAGUUUUUAUCUUUGAGUCGACUACCGAAGUUAUCAGGUUUUUGCCGUAAUGUCAACAUAAUUGGGCUACCACAUCUCGUAGACUUGAAACUUAAGGGCAUUCCAAGUUUCACAGUCAUUUUUCCGCAUAACAAGUUGGGAACAUCUAGUUUGUUAAAGGAAGAGGUACAUAUAUGUGCUUUAUGUUAAUACAAUUUAAACAAUAUUUUCAACUAAAAGUCUCAUAAUAUAUCUGUAAUUUGAUUGUAUAAUGUAUUAUUGUUUAUAUGUGGCUAUUAAGGGAUGAUUAUUUUGUAGGUUGUGAUUCCUAAGUUGGAAACACUUCAAAUUGAUGACAUGGAGAACUUAGAAGAAAUAUGGCCUUGUGAACUUAGUGGAGGUGAGAAAGUUAAGUUGAGAGAGAUUAAAGUGAGUAGCUGUGAUAAGCUUGUGAAUCUAUUUCCGCGCAAUCCCAUGUCUCUGUUGCAUCAUCUUGAAGAGCUUAAAGUCAAGAAUUGCGGUUCCAUUGAAUCGUUAUUCAACAUUGACUUGGAUUGUGUCGGUGCAAUUGGAGAAGAAGACAACAAGAGCCUCUUAAGAAGCAUCAACGUGGAGAAUUUAGGGAAGCUAAGAGAGGUGUGGAGGAUAAAAGGUGCAGAUAACUCUCAUCUCAUCAAUGGUUUUCAAGCUGUUGAAAGCAUAAAGAUUGAAAAAUGUAAGAGGUUUAGAAAUAUAUUCACACCUAUCACCGCCAAUUUUUAUCUGGUGGCACUUUUGGAGAUUCAGAUAGAAGGUUGCGGAGGAAAUCACGAAUCAGAAGAGCAGGUAACGCUUUCAAUUUCACUUUCUUAAUUAAUUAAGGACUAAGCUCCUGUUUUUUGAAUAAUAAAGAGGUGGGAUGACUAAACUUGGGCAUCACAAUUGCAACAAAAUGUUACAAACCAUGAAACGUUCAAACCAUUUCUUGAAUUAAGGUUUCAAUACAAGUCAUUUAAAAAUAUGGCUUAAAUUUUUUUAUAUUUAUGUAUCAACAUGAUUUUUCAUUAGAGAUCAUUAUUAUAAUAGUAAGUUUAAAGCAAUUUAAAUUAGAACUAAUUCUAACUUUAGCUAAUAAAUCGUUAUAAAUGUAAAUAAUUACUUUUUAGUGAAAUAAGCAACGGAUUUAAUAAGUUAACAACUUAAAUGUCAUUUCCUAACAAAAAAAACUAUUUGGUUCAGAAAAACCGUAAUUCAAGAUAACUAAAAUAAAAAUAUUUGACAUUCACUAAGAGCAUUUUUUUUCUAAAUAUGAUUGCAAAUGAAUAAAACUUAAAUUUAUACAGAAAAGAUUUUUAUAUAUGUUAUACAAAAUUUACAAAUUGAAAUUGGAUAUGUUAAUUAACGGUUUAUAAUUCUGGUAUCACAAAGGGAUAUAUAAUAAAAUAUUAUUUUUCUGUAGUCAUUUAUAAUUAUACUAGUUUAUAACCCGUGGGAACCAUGAGUUCUAAAAUUAGUUAAACUUUCAUAAUAAAAAUUUAUAAUUAUUAUUUAUUUUAAAUAAAUUAUUAAUUAAGAGAUAUAUCAAAAAUUUAAAGUUAUUAUAACUUCAAAUUUAACAUAUAAUUAAAAAAUAUAUGAUCAUAACUUUCCGCAACUCUUCUUUUGUAUUAAAAUGACCAGAGAAGCUCUUAGUAUAUUUUCUAAAUCAAAGUCACAAAACUAAUGAAGCAUAUAAUUUUGUGAAAAUCAAUUAGCAUUAGGUUUUAAGAGUCACCAAAUUCAAAGAGUAAUCCAAUGCUUUCAUUACCACUAUGAAGAAAAUAUUUUCUUAGUUUAAAUGAAAUGAAAACAAACAUUCAAACUAAUUGUUGCUUAUUAAACCAAAGACCCAUUACUUAGCCAAGAGUUUAACCAAAAAAAAUUACAUUCAUGUAUCAUUAUUCAUGACUAGAUAUAUAUGAACAUGAAGGGAGUUUUUAUAGAAAAUAUAAUCAUAGAUAUUCAACAUAACUUCAUGGAAUUCCUCAAAAUAACCAAGUUAUUCAAGAAAUUACAUCCAAGUCAACCAAAGAGAAGUUUAGCCUAGCAUGGCUAAACUCAAGAAAAUAAAAUAAGGAUUAGAAGUACCAAACAUGUAGUAAGAAUCACAGUAAAAGAUGAUGUUGUUCUUGAUGUUCUUCUAAGUUCUUCAAGUCUCCAGUUGCUCCUAAUAAUGCAAAGGAGAGCCAUUAAAUUCGUAUGUAUUGAUCCCUUCAAAAGCUGCACCAACCUCCCUUAAAUAACACUCAAAGCAAAAAUGACAAAAUUGCCCCUGAAGGACCCUAUGCGGGUGCCUUGCGCGGGUGGAGCUGAAUACGAAAGGUCUUUGGUCUUUGUGAGGGUGAUGUUGUGCGGGUUAGCUUGUCGCAUGCUUCCGCGCGGUUCGCGCACAUGUGCACAGGUGAUGCACGGUGUGUACGUUCUUGAGUUUUGAGCCUCCGAUGCUUAGUCCACUUGGCCCAAUUCGAGUCCAAUCAACUUAUGACCCAUUUUUCUUCAAGUUAUCUUCAAGUUAAGCCCAAUUUGCCUUCUCCAAAUCAUCCAUAACUUCACAGAAUCGCCCGUUCAUCUUAAUCCCGAAUGAACAAUUAUUCUCCCGUCUUCAUUUUAAGCAAGAUACCACCUUCUUCAUGCUUCAUCCAUCAAUAGUACACUUCAUGUAUCAUCUCUACUAGUUAUUUAGUCCACAGUCCUUGUUGUCCUCCAAAUUUAAUUAUCUCAUUUAGUUCCCGUUCCGCUAGUUUCCUUAAAAUUUGCAAUUAAGCUCACAGAAAUAUUAAGUACCCGAAAUGGUCAUAAAAUAACAGAAAGGAAAAUAUGCAUGAAGAUUAACUAAAUGAUGAACGAAAUAUGCUAAAAUAGACUAUAAAAUGAAGUAAAUAAAAUGAAAUUAUCGCACUCCGACCACCCUUAUAGGCUUGUAGUCCACCCACCCUUCAUUCCUUGUACCAAUAUGGGAUGGAAACAUCAUUAAUUAAGCCAAAAAACUAACAUAUAAGGGGUGAGUGACAAAGGUAAGUACUAAAGAUGAAAAAAAAUCCAUUUUUCUUGUAUAUACACAACACACACACAUAGGGGCAGACGUAGGAUUUCAUAGUACAGAUUGUUGGUGGCACAUAAGUGUUGUUGGUGACACUUUUUUUUUUCUUUUACGUAGUGGCACAACAGUAGAAAAAACGAAAAAUUCGAAAUUUUUUACAAUGUGUCUAAAAAAAACAGUGGUUGUUGGUGCCACUAUGGACACCAAAGUUGAACUGCCCCUGCGCGCGCACACACACACACACAUAGAGAGAGAGAGAGAGAGAGUUUGGGAUGUGAUACUUCUUUUGGGAAAAUGGAGUUAUAUCUUUGAUAUUGUAUUUUUUUAGUGUAAUUUAUAUAUUUAAUCAUUUUAGUUUAUAAGUUUUAUUUAUUUUGAUAUGAAAAAAAAAAGUCUUUUAUACAUUGGAUUUAACAUAAAAAUCCAACAAUAUUAAUCAAAAAGACCAAACAUGUGGACAAUUAUGUAUAUAAUUAAUUCACAAUAGUCUUUAGGAAUAGUAUUAUAUAUAUAAUUAAUUCUCAAUGGUCUUAGGAAUAGUAAGUUCUUAUAUUUCAAACUUUUGCCACAAUUCUUUGCUUACUUUGACACUUUUCCUUCCUNNNNNNNNNNNNNNNNNNNNNNNNNNNNNNNNNNNNNNNNNNNNNNNNNNNNNNNNNNNNNNNNNNNNNNNNNNNNNNNNNNNNNNNNNNNNNNNNNNNNNNNNNNNNNNNNNNNNNNNNNNNNNNNNNNNNNNNNNNNNNNNNNNNNNNNNNNNNNNNNNNNNNNNNNNNNNNNNNNNNNNNNNNNNNNNNNNNNNNNNNNNNNNNNNNNNNNNNNNNNNNNNNNNNNNNNNNNNNNNNNNNNNNNNNNNNNNNNNNNNNNNNNNNNNNNNNNNNNNNNNNNNNNNNNNNNNNNNNNNNNNNNNNNNNNNNNNNNNNNNNNNNNNNNNNNNNNNNNNNNNNNNNNNNNNNNNNNNNNNNNNNNNNNNNNNNNNNNNNNNNNNNNNNNNNNNNNNNNNNNNNNNNNNNNNNNNNNNNNNNNNNNNNNNNNNNNNNNNNNNNNNNNNNNNNNNNNNNNAUAUAUAUAUAUAUAUAUUAAAGCGCAAAGGUCAUAGGAAUAGAAUAUUUUCUAUUAUUCUACGUUUUGUCACAAAAGUUUGAACACUUUGCCACUUUUUGUCCCUCCUUAACCUUUUCAAUGUUUUGCGACAAAAGUUCCAAAACUUUGCCACUUUGAUCAUUCCUCAACUUUUCACCGCAUUAGUUUGUGGAGUUGGCAGUUUUGGUCCCCCUAACUUCGAUAUUCUCUACUGCUAGCCAAAAAGGGUUCCAGAGUUUCACACUUUUGGUCCCUGACAGUAACCAAAUGUGAGAUGUCAAAUUUUUGCCACAUUAGUUUGUGGAGUUGUCCCUUUUGGUCCCCCCACAUUCGAUAUUCUACUAUGCGAUCUUAUUUUUCUCAAAUAACAACACGUAUAUUUAAUUACUAAUGAUAGAAAUAGAUAUCAAAUAAAGUAUUUGUAACACUGUGUAAGAACGGUGCUACUAUAGGUAAAAAUAAACAUUUCAAAGUACGAUGUCCUAACUAGAAAAAGAGUUUUAAAAAAAUAACAACUAGGGGCGAGUUUUUUUUACAAGUUUGUAUCAAAUCAUAUCAAAAUUUAAGGUGGAACGGUGACCACAUUAACCAGAAAUGUAACUUAUUCUUUGAUUUUGAUAAUUUUUAAUAUUUUGUUGUGAUUUAUGUAUUUAAAAGUAAACAACAAAGAACAUAAUCCAAAACCCUAAAUUGCAAGUCUCGCCCAAUUUCUCUAUCACUAGUCCUCACUUACGAUGGCGUUACGUCGCUCUCUCACUGCUUACAACCCUUUGUUGCUACUCAUUACAAUAACGAAAAGUUGAAUAUCCAUAUAUUUAUUUGGAUGUGGAAUUGAACGAAUCUCGUCAAAUUUUUUAUUUUGUUGAUGGAUUUGAGUAGAAGUUUGGGCAGAACGGGAAUGAUGGUCUGCAAGUGGUUAUAAACUUGAUUCUGAGUUAUUACUAUAUAUGUAGCCUCUUUACAACGACCAAGGUUUCUUCCAGGUACCAUUUGAUCUUUUUAGAAUUUAGUUUUCUGAAACACCCUGAUUUGGAUCAAAUAUCACCAACAACUCUUAAAAACUUGAUUAAUCAAUUGUUUUCUUCAUCUUGAUAACAAGUGGAAUGAUUUUCUACUUAGAUUAACUUGAAAAAAAAGGUCCAUGUGCGUCUGGUGGAUCUGGUAAAUGAAGAUGGAAGGGAGAGCUGACUUUAAAGACACAAACACGUCACCAUAUCUUUUAUUUUAUUUUAAAUUUGCUUUUUUCCUAUUUCUUUCUUUCUUGAUCUCCAGAUGGUAUGUGGUGUGGAUAAUUUACACAUAGAGAUUGGAACGACUGUGUUUUAGAGAGGACGUGGCUUGGGGUUGAGGAUGGUUUAUGGCUGGCCGAGUUUCAUUUAUAUAAACAAACAAAUAUAUAAAACAAGGGGUAAAAUGGCCAUCUUAUAUGUAUUUAACCGUCCUUUUUUAUUUUUUUUUAUUUUUAAAUUUAAGAAGGGGUAUACCAGUGUCAGCCUCUUAUUCCCAACCAGGCAACCAGUCAAAUAGGGACUUAGGUUGUUUGGAAACAGUUCCGUGAGACCGUGACUUGGAUGGUAGAUAAAUUUAGUAAACUUAACCCUUCAAUUAACCUACCUUUUUCUUAUUAACUCAAUUUCAACCUAAAUUCUGAUUCUUGUUUGAAAAUAAGUUGCAUCUUUAUGUUUGUAUUAUCCUGUUGCAUAGGAUCCUUAGCAUCUUUUAAUAAUUUAUUUGAAGGUGAAAGAUCCAACUAUUUUUUAGCUGUUGGCAUUUUCCAUCAUUUGCAACUGUUUCUUGAAAAAAAAAUACCUAAAAUCAAAAUAACCAUUUUCAAAUCCAAAAUUAUAAGAGAGAAUUGUAAAUGGACAUGGAAUCAUAAAUCAUUAGCACAGUUCAGUAAACAAGUUGCUAAUUACAUUUCUUGCUGUGCAGAUUGAAAUUCUAUCAGAGAAAGAGACAUUACAAGAAGUCACUGAUACUAAUAUUUCUAAUGAUGUUGUAUUAUUCCCAUCCUGUCUCAUGCACUCUUUUCAUAACCUCCAUAAACUUAAAUUGGAGAGAGUUAAAGGAGUGGAGGUGGUGUUUGAGAUAGAGAGUGAGAGUCCAACAAGUAGAGAAUUGGUAACAACUCACAAUAACCAACAACAGCCUAUUAUACUUCCCUACCUCCAGGAAUUGGAUCUAAGUUUUAUGGACAACAUGAGUCAUGUGUGGAAGUGCAGCAACUGGAAUAAAUUCUUCACUCUUCCAAAACAACAAUCAGAAUCCCCAUUCCACAACCUCACAACCAUAAAUAUUAGCAGUUGCAAAAGCAUUAAGUACUUGUUUUCACCUCUCAUGGCAGAACUUCUUUCCAACCUAAAGAAACUCCAUAUAGAAAGAUGUGAUGGUAUUGAAGAAGUUUCAAACAGAGAUGAUGAGGAUGAAGAAAUGACUACAUUUACAUCUACCCACACAACCACCAUCUUGUUCCCUCAUCUUGAUUCUCUCACUCUAAUUUUUCUUAACAAUCUGAAGUGUAUUGGUGGAGGUGGUCCUAAGGAUGAGGGGAGCAAUGAAAUAUCUUUCAAUAAUACCACUGCAACUACUGCUGUUCUUGAUCAAUUUGAGGUAUGCUUUGUACAUAUUCAAUUAUUUAUUUAAUUUCCUUUUUUCUUUGCAAUAUUCUAUAAAUAAUACAUUUUAUACCCACUAUACUAAGAUAAUAAUUACCUAGAGGGAUGGAUGCUAUGACACAGCUGCUACACUUCAGAAACUCUAGUAAGGGCAGUUAUGGAAGUUCAAUAAAAUGAUAAUGGCAUCUUUUGAUGGGUAAUAUAGGCAAUUUAAGUUUUAUUUCUGUUAAAGCAGUAUUUAGCAAGUACUGGCCAGUAGGAGAGGAGAAUAUCACCUUUUGUGAAAAUCUGGUCAUUGUACCCAGAAUUUAGUUAAAUGUAACAUUUUAGAUAUCAGGGGACAUCAGGUGACAGAUAUUGUAGAAUAGAACAAUAUAUAAUAUUACCCAAAACUAUUUUUUCUAAGGUUAUUCUGUUAAAUAUGUGCUUUCUUGAUUUCAUUGAAUUUGCAUUCCUAUAUUUUAGGUGGUAAAGUGAUUGUCUCUUCAAUAAAUCCCGAAAUUAAUUAAAAAAAAAAACAAAAGUAAAUUUUUGAUAUGUAGAGCACUGGUAUCAUUUAGUAUAUAAAAAAACUAGAUUUUGAAUUAAGUUUCUUAUAUAAAAGCUGUGUAUAUAGUUUAAUUAGUUUUACAUCAUUUUUCCAUGUGGUGUUGCAGUUGUCUGAAGCAGGUGGUGUUUCUUGGAGCUUAUGCCAAUACGCUAGAGAGAUAGAAAUAGUUGGAUGCUAUGCAUUGUCAAGUGUGAUUCCAUGUUAUGCAGCAGGACAAAUGCAAAAGCUUCAAGUGCUGACAGUAAAGUAUUGUGAUGGUCUGAAGGAGGUAUUUGAAACUCAAUUAGGGACGAGCAGCAACAAAAACAACGAGAAGAGUGGUUGUGAGGAAGGAAUUCCAAGAGUAAAUAACAAUGUUAUUAUGCUUCCCAAUCUAAAGAUAUUAAGAAUUGAAAAUUGUGGGGGUUUGGAACAUAUAUUCACAUUCUCUGCACUUGAAAGCCUGAGACAGCUCCAAGAGUUAACGAUUAAGGGUUGCUACAGAAUGAAAGUGAUUGUGAAGAAGGAAGAAGAUGAAUAUGGAGAGCAGCAAACAACAACAACAACGAAGGGGACAUCUUCUUCUUCUUCUUCUCCUCCUUCUUCUUCUAAGAAGGUUGUGGUCUUUCCUUGUCUAAAGUCCAUUGUAUUGGUCAAUCUACCAGAGCUGGAGGGUUUCUUCUUGGGAAUGAAUGAGUUCCGGUUGCCUUCAUUAGAUAAUGUUUUCAUCACGGAAUGCCCAAAAAUGAUGGUGUUUGCAGCUGGUGGGUCCACAGCUCCCCAACUCAAGUAUAUACACACAGAAUUAGGCAGACAUGCUCUUGAUCAAGAAUCUGGCCUUAACUUUCAUCAGGUAUAUAUAUAUUUCUUUAAUUGGCAUCAUCUAAUUAAGAAAGAUAUCAUUCCUGCCAAGUAAAUUUACUUCAAACACAUUCACACUGGUUUCAGUCUAAGUUUAUGUUGUUCUAAGAAGGCCAAAAUGGGAAAGCAAGAUAGGGAAAAAUAGUGUAUUUCAGUGGAAAGGGUAUUUUAGGUAUUUUCUGUCAAAAGUUGUUAUUGCAGGCUUUUUAGUACCUGGAAUCGUGUGUGGGAGGAGCCUUUUAAUCUUUUGAUUUUCAAUGACAAUUUUUCCCUGUUACUCUAUUUGAUUGUUGUUCUUCAUGGUUCUAAGUGAGUUAUUGGCUCAUCUGUUACUUCUUUUGAUUGUUAUUUUCAUAUCAUGUUAGUCACUUGAAUCAAGCUUUUUCAUUUUCAACCAGGGCAAAAGGUCAAAAGUAACCUACUUUAUGAGAUCAAAAACAGCAACCCAUCGGAUAACUUUUAGUUGGAGUUAAUACUUACAAUUACCAUUGUGAUUAAUAAUUAUAAUAUCCUGUAUUAAUUCAUAAAAAUUGGUACAGCACAUAUAUGACAUUUCAAAGGUUUUUGUUUGACAUAUAUAUGCCUCUGGCGUUUUCUUUAUUGGACUUGCAGACCUCAUUCCAAAGUUUAUACGGUGACACCUCGGGCCCUGCUACUUCAGAAGGGACAACUUGGUCUUUUCAUAACUUGAUCGAAUUAGAUAUGGAAUUUAAUGAUGAUGUUAAAAAGAUUAUUCCAUCCAGUGAGUUGUUGCAACUGCAAAAGCUGGAAAAGAUUCAUGUAAGGUGGUGUAAAAGGGUAGAGGAGGUAUUUGAAACUGCAUUGGAAGCAGCAGGGAGAAAUGGAAAUAGUGGAAUUGGUUUUGAUGAAUCGUCACAAACAACUACCACUACUCUUGUCAAUCUUCCAAACCUCAGAGAAAUGAAGUUAUGGCAUCUAGAUUGUCUGAGGUAUACAUGGAAGAGCAAUCAGUGGACAGCAUUUGAGUUUCCAAACCUAACAAGAGUUCAUAUAUGGGGAUGUGAUAGGUUAGAACAUGUAUUUACUAGUUCCAUGGUUGGUAGUCUAUUGCAACUCCAAGAGCUACAUAUAUCCAACUGCAGUGAGAUGGAGGAGGUGAUUGUUAAGGAUGCAGAUGUUUCUGUUGAAGAAGACAAAGAGAGAGAAUCUGAUGGCAAGACGAAUAAGGAGAUACUUGUGUUACCUCGUCUAAAGUCCUUGAAAUUACAACUUCUUCAAAGUCUUAAGGGGUUUAGCUUGGGGAAGGAGGAUUUUUCAUUCCCAUUAUUGGAUACUUUGGAAAUCUACGAAUGCCCAGCAAUAACCACCUUCACCAAGGGAAAUUCCGCUACUCCACAGCUAAAAGAAAUUGAAACAAAUUUUGGCUUCUUUUAUGCUGCAGGGGAAAAAGACAUCAACUCUCUUAUAAAGAUCAUACAACAGGUAAAUCAGAUCUUUGUUGCUUUAAUAAUUCUUAAACUACAUUUGAAAAGCUUCAUGCAAGUUCUUUUGUUAUAUUGUCAAAAACCGCAACCUACAUUUUCAGCUUUAUAUUUAUGUACUUUAUGCAGGAUUUCAAACAAGACUCUGAUUAAUGUGAAGUGAAUAUUAAAGGUAAAUUAUAUUUUCAUGUUCCUAGUUGCCUAUUAAUUAAAGGCCUUUUAGUUCGUGAUUUUUGGAUGUAUUCUUCAUGAUGAUGUCAAUCUUCUAAUACCCCAUUCAUUGUUUGGUUGAAUGUUGACUCUAUGUCAGGAUGAAUAUUCAAGGGAAGAAUUGUUCAUCAUAUGAAGGACAUUAAAGAAGAACAUGGAUGCUAUGAAGAUGUUGGGAAAACAUAUGUAUCAAGUAGUAAGCUGCUUAAUGAUCUAAGUUUGUUGGUUGAGGAUGUUGAUUUUAAUAUUUCAAAUUCAUUGGUAUCAUUAUAUGGGCUUAUCAAUAGUGUUAAUGGGAUAAUGAGUGACUUAACCUAAAUUAUGUUGUUGGUAAAUGUUGGACAAGUAUGGAAAAUUAGGAAUGACUUGUGAAAAAUAUAUGGAAAAGUAUUAUGAAACUAUAUAUAGUAUAUAAAUUAAUGCAACAUACUCUUGGAAGCA